AAGGGAAUGUUAACGACUUUCAGAAAGAAUGUUUGUGAAUACAUUUGGUGUGUACUAAAAAGCUGGAGACCCCUAAAUAAAUGCAGUAUCGAUAGAAAGCGAGUUUCUUGAAGAGUCACCUGCUACACUCCACUAGCAUCAUCUCUACAGUAAGUAUUCCUGGCUCUUGCCUAUGAAACCAGACACCUCCACCCCNCCCCCGGGGGGGGGGGGGGGGGGGGGGGGGGGGGGGUCUUUACAUUCAUAAGGCAUAUUUCCAGUGUUUGUAAUACUUAGACCUGCAGUCCUUCCCAGGUAUAGAAAAAAAGUUGAUCAUAAUACGUGGCCCAAUGGAGGCUGAGUGAACAUGUGCCUGUUCCUAUGAUAACCGGGAAGUUGUACCAUUUAAAUAUAUUUCAUCUAUUUUAUUUUGGGAUUAAUUAUGAAUUAAUGUUCUUUUGGGAUCAUCUUAAACAUAAUUGAUAUUGUCUCCUUCUUGGUAACGUUUGGGAUGCUAUUGUGGUAUAAUAUCUUGAUUAAUGAUAGGAUUAUAGAGAUUCUGAUAUAUAUAUAUGUAUAUAUAUAUAUGUAUGUAUACACACACACACACACACACAAACAUCUUUUCACAUCCUCUCUCUGUGUUGAAUUAGAAGGAGUUUUCUAGAGGUGGUGAAUAUUGCAGCCUCCUGAGGUUUUGCAGCAUUUCUUGAAAUUUCCUCUCAAUCUUUUUUGCAAAUAUUUUUGUUAAUCCAUACAUACUUUGUUUAAAUUCAAGGCAUAUACAAGAGAGGGAGAAACAAAGUAAUCUGUAACAUCAUUGAAUAACACAAUAAAAUCUUAUAACAGAACUUCCUGUAAAUUUAGAAACAUUUGGCUGGGGAAUGAGAGCCAUUUGCCACAGGUACUUUAUAUAAACAGAGAACUUAAACUUCAUCCACUAAAGUCUGGUUACCGUAUAUUUUAUUUAGUCAUCAUCUUCUAACAUUAUAUAUUUUAGAAAAUUUAUUUUUAAGGUAUGAAAUUGCUUUUAUAUUUUUAAAUGAAUGUGUUAAAUUGUCAUGUUUUAAAAAUUACAUAUUACUUAAACUUGGAAACUUUUGGCAUAUCAAUAUUAAGUUCUAUCACAGACAUAAUUUUUGAUGUAGACAAACUCCAUAGGAAUUCUGGGUAUAACAUGGUUUAAUCAAUUAUUGCAAUUUUCAAAAUAGCUGUAGUAUAGUUUUAGUUCAUUAUUUUAUUGCUUUCAUAAAUCUUCAAAAUUGUAUUUAAUAUCACAAUCAGUUUAAUUUUUGAUUUCGAAUUAAAGGAUUUAUUUCCUAAUUAAAAAUAAAUUUGUUGAGCUAAAAAGUUUUAAACAUGGUAGCAAUUAAUUUAGGUUAUAGUUUUGUUAGAAACAAUAUUCCAGUUUAUUUCUUGUGGUUCAAAUAAAUAAGUGAUGACAACUUUCUACCAUUUACUCAAUAUUAAAGAUAGCCUGAGAAGCCAUCAUGAUGGUUUACCGCUAGGUGUCUCUAUAAACUGCUGUGCAGGAAAGUGAAUUUGGAGAGAAUACAGUGACAUGCAGAGACCAAACAGAAUUCCGGAGGAAAAACAUCACAGAAAUAAGGAAAAUCCUCGUUUGCUAGUCUUUGAACUCUUAUUUUCUUUGAAUAUUGACUAUGGCCAGAAAAGAAAUAAAUUAAUCAUGUAACAGGGAUCAAAUUUAAGCCAAGACUUUCACCUACACGAGCAAACAUAUCUAUGUUUCAGUCCAUACUAAACAAUAUAGUCAGAUGAGAUGUAUUCCCGGUUUCACAUAAUACUCCAAAGAAUGCACAGGAUUUCAUAAACACUUUGGGGAACUAGAAAAUGAAAUGAUUGAUCAAAUAGAUCCCUCCUGAAUUAAGGGCAUGAUACUAAAUUAAACAUUAUUUGAUUGAGUCGGUUGGAUGUGAAAAGUUGAGAAUCUGUGUCUAAAUAUUUGUGAACAUACGUGUGCAUAUUAUAGUUAUUAAUGAUCUAGUAUAAUCAUAAAUACGUUUCAUAUAUGGUAAUACAUUUGGCAAUAAUUAGUGUGAAUUAUGGACAUAAUCUGAUACCUCCCUAAUAAAAUUUAAAUUCAAACCACAACUAGCAUACUUAUCACUUGAAAUUGGCCAUAUAUCUUGGUGAAUAUGAAUUCACCAAUGAAUUCAUAUUCAUUAUUACCUGGAAUUAUCAUUUUAGUGUUUUAUCAACUCUUUGGAUGAAUUCUUAUAUUAAAUAAUUUCUUAAGAUAUCUCAUCAUAUUACGUUUGUGUAUUGUUGUGUGGUUUCUUUAGAAUAUUAAAAUGCUAAGUCAAGAAUUAUGGUCUCUCAUGAAAUAACCUAAAAGAGAUUAUAAACAAGGAAAUUCUUUCAUGAUAGUGAUGAGAUCUUGUAAAUACUAACCAACGUUAUUGAAAUCUAAAGCAAGUAGAACUUGCAUUUCUUCUUGUUAGCCUAACUGGUAAGUUAAGAUUAUAAAAUCCAAUGCUAGAUUCCAGACUCCUCCAAAAUCAGCUCUAAUAAGAGUACUUUUGUGACAGUGUAGCUAAAGGUCUAUACAACCCUAUUUGGCAAACAACACAUUUUUCAGAUAUAUAUCUUUUUAAUGUCUUUGAAAUUAAAUUAUAUAUGUCACAUAUUCCUAAAAGCAGAAAAGUUUCUCCUCGAAGGGAAAACAUGAGUCAUCUCUUAUGAUUGUUUCUCUGUGUAAUUGAUAAGCUAAAUAACUGUAGUAUAGCAUAUUUUUUAUCAGUUUGGUACAUUUGGAUUUACAACAAUUGAAAUUAUCAUGCAGUGAUAUUUAUCAAAUUCAAAUGACUAGUUAAGCUGAUUAAUUUCAGCAAGAUUAUUUAUUCACUUUUAGAUUUAAUUUGUUUUUUAUAGUCUUAGAUAUUUGCCGUCAGAGGCAUAAGAGAAAGAUGUACAUAAAAUAGACAAUUUUCUUCCUUGCUUCUAACACUUACUUAUAAAUAUACUCUGGUAGUCUUUUGAUAGAUUAGGUGUUAAAACCCUGUCUUUGGAGGACAAGUUGGAAAUAUCUUCCAGAAUUUAAAAUGCAUUUAUAUUUUCAACAAUUAUAUUUUCAGAAAGUAGGCUACAGGUGUACCAAAAUAAAAAGUACAUAUACAAUAUAAUGUACCUGUAAUGUACAUGUACAUGUAAUAUACAAUGUAAUAUGUGAGAAUAGUCACAUUUGUAAGUGACUGAGUCUAAGUGAAAAGUGGUACAUAUCUAUCUAUACCUGGGAAUGCUUUUCUGCCUUUCAUAACAGUGUAUGUAAGUAUAUGUUCCUGUCAUUAUUAAUAGCGUCCAUAGCAUCCAUCUGUGUACAUUGCUGGGGAGGAGGAGAGAAUCUUUCUGGAAGGAUACACAAAUUCAGUAACGGAGUUUGCCCUUUGGGGGAAGACUAGGGAGUGUUUAGUAGGAUGAAGGUUUUUCACUUUACAUUCUAUUUUUUAUUUUUUCAAAAUUUCAAUUUACAUGCACAUUUCCAAUAAAAAUUUUCAAAAUACAUGUACUUGAAAAAUAAGGAUAUUACAGAAGAUCCCUGACUUGAAUGGUUCGACUUAGGAGUUUUCAACUAUAUGCUGGUUUGAGAACAAUACACAUUUAGUGGGAACUACUUGGAAUUUUGAGUUUUAUCCUUUCCUGGGCCAGGGAUAUGUGGUACGAUCCUCUUUUGUGAUGCUGGGCUGUGGAGUAGCAAGCCUCAGUUCCCACUCAGCCAAGCGAUCACAAGCUAAACAGCCCAUAAACUUAACAACCAAUCUGUACCCAUGCAGCCACCAGUUUUCACUUUCAGUACAGUAUUCGAUAAAUUACAUGUGAUAUUCAGCCUAUUUUUAUAAAAUAGGCAUUGUGUUAGAUGAUUUUGCCCACCUAUAGGCUACCUAAGUGUUCUGAGCACAUUUAAGGUAGGCUAGGCUAAGCUGUGAAGUUUGGUGGGUUAGGCAUAUUAAAUUCAUUUUCAACUUACAAUGGGUUUAUCGGGACAUAACCUUGUUGUAAGUCAAGGGAAAUCUGUAUUUGGAACAAUGAUAUGGGAGGUGGUAGAGAGUUGAAGAUGACGUUACCAAGUUAAUCUCUGUCCCGCACUUCUCAAAACUAUUUUUUCUAUGACACAUUGCUGUCAGUGAAGACACCAAAUAUCUUUCUAAAUAUGUGACUAUAAAUUAAUUAGUUAAAAUGUUUUUUCUUCGUAGCUGUAACAUGUGACAUUGAAUUCUAGCUGCUAGUCCUAACUAUUAGAAUAAUAAUUAAUAGAAGCUGGCUUCCCUUUCCUUCUUCCCUGUGUAGAACCAUACUGGGUACUGGUGACGUUACCUUUAUUUGAUACUGUGGUGGGUGAAGGAAAGAUCAAAAUCGUUCUCUAAAGAAGAUAAGUGCUUGUGCUCAAAAUUGUCAGCAGCAGAUCUUUACUGCUAUGGGCAGGAAGAUGAGUGAGUGUGUAAUUGUGACAUAUUUUAAGUAUACAAACUAUCAUCAGGCCCUGUUAGAACAAAGGCUACUGCCAUUCUGCUUAUACUCGCAUUGAGAUAUGCAUAGUCCACUGGAAAAGAAACAGUUUUAUUAUAUAGCUAGAAUAGCUUUUCUAUGUAUCUUUCUAUUAGAGAUAGGAUUUGUCUCUUAAGGUUUAUCCGUUCUUGGGUCUCACAUAUCUCUAGUCGUUCUUAGGAAACAAAUCCAAACAGGCAUUAUGUAUAUCUGUAUUUCCUGUAUCCUUUUCAGGUUUUCAAAGAAAAACAAUGAGCCAUCCUAAAACACAGUUUCAUUACAAAAUUUUCAGAAGGACUGUUGUUUAUAGGAGAAUGUCUAAAUUGACGAUACUUUAUUCAACUUUUAUCAGCUAGGAUCUUUCAUUCAAGGGGAGACUCCCAUAAUCUCUCUAUCCCCUCAAAACAAAUCAGCUUUCCCAACUCCAAAAGUUUUGUUGUACUGCUCAUUCAUCUAACUGGCUCUUCCCUUUUCUUUCAGCUAUUGUUCUAGAGAAUUUACUGUAAAUCCUUUCUUCACCAAAAAAUUCCUUUCUGUCCACUCUAACCAACACCGAAGACUUCCUUACCUGAACAUUUUCUUCCAUUAUCUAGCACUUGCCUAGCACGAUGUUCUGUUUCCUGAUUAAGGUUGCCAUUUUCUUCUGGGCUAGAUUAUCAUUUCUUAUUAAGCAAAGAACUUGAGUUUCUUACCCCUCAAACAGUGGAAAACUGAGCUUCAAAAGACUCUUUGUAUACACAAUAAAUGCAUGUCCAAUUUUGAAUUUUUUCAUUCAACAAAUAUUUAUUUGCUAAAUAUGUUAUCCUAAACCAUAUUAUGUUUGAUAUAAAAUAAUUGACUCAUAUCAGGGUAGUUGAAGGAUUUCAGGGUCAUUUUUACUUUUUGACAAGUCACCUGCAUUCUCCAGUCAAAAUAAGUGGAAUAUAAUAUAUAACAAUACUAAUGCAUAGGGGCACCUGGGUGGCUCAAUCAGUUAAGCGUCUGACUUUGGCUAAGGUAAUGAUCUCACGGCUCGUGAGUUCAAGCCCCAUAUCAGGCUUUGUGCUGAUAGCUUGGACCCUGGAGCCUGCUUCGGAUUCUGUGUCUCCCUCUUCCUCUGCCUCUCCCCAGCUCACACUCUGUCUCUCUCUCACUCUCAAAAAUAAAUAAACAUUAAAAUAAUUUAAAAAAUACUAUUGCAUAAGUUGAAUACUUGAAUAGUAUUUUUUGUGACAUAUAUUUGCCAAGCCUCUAUAAAAAUGUUCUCCAACAGAACGUUCUGUGAUGAUGGAACUAACCCCUAUUUGCAGUGUCCAAUAUGAUGGUCAUUAGCCACAGGUGACUGUUGAGCAACCGAAAUGUGGUCGGUCUGACACAGCAAAUACAAUUUUAAUUCUUAAAAUUUUAGCUUAUUUAUAUAUAAGUAACCACAUGUGCCUUGUGGCUACCAUAUUGGACAGUACAGAUCUAGAGGAUAAAUCCCUAGAAGGCUGCAGCUGUGUUUCUCACACAAUUUCUGGGAUACCUUGAAAGUCAAUCAGUAUGAACAGCUGUACUCAUGAGUAAUGAUGGUGAUUAUGACACUCUCAAUAAAUAAGGACAAUUAUGAUUCACAUUUGGCAAGGGGCCUGAUUUGCAUUCUGUUGAGGGUCUGUAUUCAAUUCAUUUAAAUUGCAUUCAGUUGAAGACUCCUGCCAUUCUUUUAAAGAUUUCAAGGCAUUUUACAGGCAUUUCAAAAUUCCUUAUUACAUCCUUAUUACACCACUAUAAAGAAGGCAAGGUAGAUUAUUUUAUAUCAAUAGAAUUUUAUUAGAAGAUAAGUGCCUUUUUAUGUAUGAUGAAGUAUUCUCUAAGGUGCUUUUCUUCAGAUCACACAGUGGGAUGUUAGUAGAACUGGAGAAGAAAGUCCUAAGAGGGUAUUUUGCUUCAAGGAACUAUCCUGGAAUAGGCUUUUUGUACAGAGAAGUCUGUCAGUCAGUAACAAAACAGCACUUGAACUCUUACAUUCCACCAUUUGAAUACAACAGCUCUAUUUUGAAGUUCAGUGCUGUCUUGUACAAGUAGAGUGGGCAGAGUUUGGACAAGAAAUUAUAAUUAAUGAAUUUCUAGAAUGCAAAUAUGUCCUCUAAUUUCCAUGAAGAUCUGAAUAAAUCUCAGUUUAAAUAAAUUCAUAUUUAUAUAUUUGAAACAGAGAUGUAAUAGCUUGGUAACCAGUCCUCAUUACAAAUUAUUAUAAUAUUUGAGAUUAAUUUUUAUUUGUUUUCGAUCAGCUUAUCUAAAAUAUUAAUAAUAAAAUUGACCUAUAUUUCCAUUAUUGUAUUUCUUCUUUGGACAAAAUCAAUAUAGCUUCAAAAGAAGCAUGAAUUGCUUGAGAGCUUAAGUCUAAAAUUGAAUGGAAGCCAUCUGAUCCAUAGCAGUACAGUGGCGCUCAGAGACUUCAACGCCAUUCUUGAUUCUGGCUUGGCAACAACUAUACACUUGCAUUUCUGCAGAAACCACUCUGGGUAGAUCACAUAUUUUAUAUAUGAAAAAGUUACUGUGCUUCUCUUCAAUGGACCUUAAAAAAAACCACGCUGGUUAAUCAGAUGAUAAGUGUUAAAAUGUCCCUGGAAGAAAUGUAGUAUUAUUACCCAAAAUGUAGACUUUAAAUGAUUCACUUUAUCCUAAAAUGUAAAGUUAUUUUCAUUUAAAUAAAUAUUAAUAAUAGAAUGAUAAUGACAAUGGUGUACAUUUUGUGAUAAAUGGAUCUAAGGCAGCUAAUUUUUAUUUAAUAUUACAUGAUGCAUUUUUAUCCUGUGAUCAAAAGCAUUCUGUCAAUCUAAUGAUGCUUCUCUAGUGAAACUAGAUUCACAGUUAUUGUCAUGUGACCUAUUAUAAUGUAUGCUGCAAUUUUAAUUGAUUGUUACGUAUCCCAAUGAACAAAUAACCAGUUUGGAUUUGAAUCACUAGUAUAAGAGGCAUGCUUCGUUGUACAAUCAACUGUGUCCUUAACUGCAAUAUUAUAUGGAUAGUGACUGCGAUGAAGACAGACUUUGAUCAAUGACUAUACUGCAACUUGAUUGUAUGUAAAUACUAAAAUUUGUUUGUAGGUAUUUUUAUAUUAAAAAGUUUUCAUUAUAGUAUUGAUACAAUAGCAUUUAGAAGUCAUCUAUUAUAGAGAGAGAGGCUUAAAUUGAUUUGUCCCAAAGAAUAGGAAUCUAUUUGAUGAGGUUUUUCAAUUUGUAAUUAUAUUUACCAGCCACAGUUAACACAAGCAUCAACAAGCGAUUCUAACAUCAUUUAUAAUUCAAAAUCAAUCAACUAAAAUGUAUGCAUGCCUACAACAUACAUUCAUUUUCUGUUUGCCUGCUAUUUUGUGAGAUGGUCAUAUUCUUUCAUGUAAUUAUUAAAACAACUUCAUGUUGCCUCAAGGUAGUUGGUGAUAUUCCAUGUUUCAUACAGACAGUAUAGAGCAGAACCAUACCAUGAUAUGAAUUACAGGGACUUUUAGCAUCUUUUUUCUUUUUAUUUUUUAAAAAUUUGUUAAUUUAGAUGCACACUUUUGGACUUUUACUUCAGUUUAAAGGAAAAGUGAAAAUAAUGUCUAGCAAUACUUAGUAAUGAGCUUUAACAAGCAUACCUUCUAAGUGAUUAAUCAUUUCUAUAAUGUUGAAUGUUUUCUGAGAAAGUCAGCAGUAAGAAUACCUUUCAAAUUAUUAAUACAUAGUGUUACUCUUACAAAUAAAAUAUAUCUUAAACUGAUCAUUAAAUAUAUUUACAAAUAUAUUGUUCUACCUUAAGAAUAAAAAAAAAUUAUUAGCUACCAGGAGUUAUUGUCACAGCAACUAGAAUGCAUAAGGUUCAUAAAACAAUAUUUUUGAAUACAUAUAGUGUACUUUUCUAAUGUAAAAAAUGUCCAUAAUAGAAGGUUUUUCUAUUUUUGAGCUUUUGACUAAUUAUUAUUUUAUAUUUAGUAAACCAGUAGUCAAAGCAAGCAUUAUAUACCUGCUAAAAAAAUCAAUAAUACAAUACUAAAAUGGCUCCUUUGAAGAGCACUCAUACCAACCCUUUCAUGCAUAAGUUUAAGGAUACAACCCAUAGCCCUUUGGCAUAUGAAUUUGUUAUAGAAAUCAUAUAAAAUUGAAAAUGGCAUAACACAUAGUUUCUAAGUUUUCCAAAGAGUACAUAAAUGAGAUAAUCUCAUUGCCUAAUGAAAUGUCUUAAUAAUUGAUAAACCACUUAGGUUCAUGAAAAUAUUAAUCACAAAUGACUAAAACCCACUAUAAAUAACUAUACUUUAUUGACCCUUAAUAUUUUUAUCAUCCAUGUCUAAUAGCCCAGUUUUGUUAUGAAUGUCACACAGGUGUCUCCAUAAAACUCAAAGAAAAUAUUUGAGUUUUGGGGUAUGUUAGUACUUCCUCAAUGUAAGUAAAGUUGAACAUGGAAUGAUUUGACGUUAAGUAUGAUACGUCUUCAAAUAUUGAAAAUUUAUAAAUAUUAGAUUCAUAAUUGGCUAUUACUGCAUCUACUUAUAGCUAUACUGAAAUAAAUAUAUGUAGAAAAAAUACAGGUUUCUGUCCAUGCUAGCAGUUCAUGACGUUUCUGACCACCUUCUCCUAACAUGCACGCGGGGAGUCUGCAGCAGCCCUUGAGAAUGCAUCUUGGAGUUCUUCCAGAAACUCUGAGUCAAAGAGCAAUGUCUGCAUUCACAAAGAAGCAUUCACAGCUGUCAGAAGUUAAAUGUCCAUGAGACUCAUAGUACAGCUGCAGUCCUUCCAAUACACUGACAAUGCCUGUGGAAACUAGAAUUUGAUAACUAGUUCUUCCAUGGGAAAAAUAUCACAGAAGAAUGAUUAAUCUUUGCCCAACUGAUAAUGAAUAAUUAUGCAUUCACAGUACAUGAAGCAUCAUUGUCCUACAUUACUUAGCCUGCAGUGCUUUUGCUGCUGUUUUUCACUACCAGGGAAGGUACGCUGGUUGCAAUAAACUGUCAAUGAACAUCUUGUAGGCAAACACCUGCAGACACCUGCUAGCAGCGGGUGCCUCAGAUCCGGGACCAUAGAAAUUGCAGCAUAAACCAAAGUCUGCAAGGCAGUACUGGCUCUGAGUGAGUGUGUGAAAGCGUGCAUAACUGAAGAAAUGCAUGCAUGAACAGGUAUAUUGUCUUUCCAUCUAUGCUUAAUAAAAUGAAUAAGCUGAAUUGUUUCCCCCCAGAAAUGUGUAAUACAGUUGAGCAGAAUAAUAGAAAAGCAAGCUACAUCUGCAAAUAAGGUUUUCAAUUUGGGAUGAUUUAUCCUGAUUUAUGAUCAGAUGAUUCAGGACAAAUGGUUACUAUGCUGAAAAUGUUGAGCAUAUACUCUCUAUGCCCAUAUGGUGAUAACAAGUCAUUCAGAUUUUGAGUUACUUAAAAAAAUUAAUAUAAUACAUUUUGAACAUAUAUGAAAAAUUCUGAAAAAGGUUAUAAAACCUUUUCUGGAAUGGUUUAGGUGAGGCCAAAUGGAGAUAAGGGGAUUAGCUCAUCUUGGUAACUAUUCAACUUUAUGAUUGAAUGGAGAAACCCAUUUGAAAGUUUAUCAGUUUUUAAUUAUUGAGUCACUUAGAAGGCCAAUAGUCUUUAAAUAUAAAGAUCUGGUUCCUAAAAUCUAGUGAAUUAUUGAAGAUUUACUUCAAAGAACUUUUUAAAAUUACAUCUAAAAGCAAAAACAAUUAACUUUUUUAAAAUGUUAGUUUUUAAGUGUUUUCAGAGUUGUGGAAUGAGAAAUAAUGAAGAAAAAUAGAAAGCUAAUCACAUUAAGUUUUAAAAGGAAAACGUGGGGUACUAUCUCCUUAUUUAAAGGACCCAGACAGUGUAAAUAUUUGAACCAAAGUGCACCUCUGGUUAUUGGAGAAUUAGACUCCCAAUUUUCUGACUCCUUAGUGUACACCAGAAGGAACAGAAGUGGAGUUAACUUGAUAAUUAACGUAUUCUGAAAAGCACAAAAUAAAAAUAAGACACUAACAACCUCAGGUUCCAUGUUGCUUUGGCAGCAUUUCAUGUCAUUUGCAUAAGGCUUUCAUCUACUGAAUGGAUUAUCAUGAAAAAAAAAAGCUUGAAAAACUUCAAUAUAUAAUGAGAGCAAUAGGUAAGCUAUGAAACUGUAUUCUUACCAUGUGUGUUCACUGACAGAAAAAAAAAUGAAGCCAAAAGAUUGAUUAACUUUAUGGGGAAAAAUAAAGUGAUGACAGUGCCCUAAAAAUCUGGCUACAUGCAUAUUAAUUUAUGCAUGUUGGAGCAUGCUCAGGGUACCCUUAUUCCUAUCAGAGACCUUGUAUCUGUACAUUUCUGAUGUUACUAAUGUACUAUCAGGGCAUCAUAGUUUGGAGGUUUUUGUGAAUUUGAUAACAUUUUGACAGAAGAUAUAAUUAAAAUGUGGAAUAUUUUCCCCAAUGUCAUUCAGAUAGAUACUUUAAACGAGGAAACUGAACAAAAAUCUGAAGUGUAUAGAGGUUUCUUUUAUUCCUUUCAAAUCAUUGUUUAGGAGACAAACAGGUUUAAUGUGUUUAGAAUAUAUAUUCAUCUACUGUUUUAGAACACAGAGUUAUGGGUCCUUUUUGAUCGCAUUGAUAGUUUUCACCGUGUGAGGGACUUUUUCAAAGAUAGUGAGUGCAGUGAUUAAAAACAGAGGUUUGGGUAAAUCAGUUCCAUUUUUGCCUUUUAAUGACUGCUUAAAAUAUUGUGAAUUUAUUUACAUCAGGUAAUUACUUUCAUUUGUCAUGAGGAUUCAAUGAGUUAAUUCAUACAAAAUGUUUAGCAUACUUCUUUGCACAUUGUAAGCACUGAAUAAGUGUUAGCUGUUGUUUCAUGUUAUAUUAUUAGUUAUUAAAAGCACCAACAUGCUUUGAGUCUACUCUCUAAAUCAAAGAGUUGGAGAAGCCUACAUGGGAUUGCAGGAAGAUUUUUACCCAGAAUAGAUGUUCAAGACAAGUUGCAUUCAUUAUCAGCUGAUCCUGAUUAGUUAUGGAUUUAUAGCACCAAGAGUCUGCCAUAGAUUAAGUGGUUGCUGGCUUGCAGAUUUCACUAGCUCUUUUUGGCUACCGGAAUAAGAAAAUGGGAAUGCUUGCCAGACAGCACUUCCUAGUGAUGAAUUUUAGAAAACUCAUGCAUGUACAUUGUUCCAAAAGACCUGGAGGACAAAAUAGAGGAGAAACUAUGUUUUGUUUUUUUUUGGUAUCCUGACUUUAGAGCAUAAGUAACGAAAAACUCUAGUAAAUUGUAAGGAAAAUUAAGUAAGGUUUGAAUAUGAAACAUAUUUACUACACUAAAGAAAUUAUAAAGCAAUUUUUAUAACUGUCUCCAUGAAGAAUAUAUAAUUUAGAUUUAUUUAAAAUAAGUUUGUAGCACUACAGUCAACAGCUACAUAUGAAAGUGAAAGUUGCUUUUGUAGAAAAAUACAGGACUGUCAAUUUAAGUUACUACGAAUAUAAACUCUAGUGUAAAUUAGUUUAUCAUACAUAUAGAACAUUAUAUAUGCAUACCAUUAAUUCAUAUUAGUGCUCUGCUGUAUCAUCUAUUAAUUUUUGUCAGUAUCUAUGUAAAUAUAUAUCAGGAAUGUUAUUGUUUAAUUGCUAAUUUAAUAUAUACAUCUAUAUAUACAUACACAUACUUUUUGCUUGUAUAUUUUGAAUGAUUUCUGUCAUACCUGAAUUUAUAUUUUAGCACACAACCUUAUUAACUUUGAAUUCUGUUAUUCAAUACUUUGGGGUUUUUUUGUAACUGCCCGCCCCUAUUAAAGAACUUUUGUUAAGGUGCAAUUCUGAAAUCCAUGAGUAUGAUCUUGAAAGUCACAUACAAGAAAAUAACUUGUUUCUUCUUGAAGAAAAUAUUUUCACCAUGGGUAUUGUGUUUGAUUCUACAAAGGUUGAUUUUGGUGCAUUUCACUUACAAAUAUUAUUUUUGAUAUGAUAGCAAGCCAUAUAAUAACUGCUCUCAUAGCUGUGGAGAUGCAUAGCCUAGGUUACACACACACACACACACACACACACACACACACACACAGCCACACACACUAGCAGACAGUGAGUGAAAAUGAUAAAUGUAUAUACUAUAUAUGGUGCGUUCAAUUUUCAAAUAUCAGAGCAUAAUAAAAUGCACUCACCUUGAAUGUCAUCCUGAAAACAGUAAAUUUAAAAAAGUUGCUGCCAAUUUUAACAGGCACUUGCCAUAAAUAUGCAAAUAUACUCUUCAUGUGUUCACAAGAAUUGGUAAUUUUCUCCAUGGUAGGUAGUAACUUUAUUAUGCUAAUAUUUAUAUCUCCCAGUAGUUAGGCUACUUUUUGACUUUCACAUUAAGAUUGUGAUUUGCUUGCUACAUCUGCCUAUCAUUUCAAAUAAUGAUUAUUAUAUGAAUAUAUCCAAAUGUCAGUUAAUAGGUACUUUUUGCUGGGAGAAAAUCUGAUGACUCAAGAUUUUACUGAGUGUUGGGAAUUUAGAUGUUUAUAAAUAUUAUGUUGCUCUAUUUAUGUAAACCAAUGUCAUAUGUUAGGGAAGUUUUCAGAAGGGAUGUUUAGACACAGUCCCUAUGCCUGUUUUAUCUAUCUGUUGCUAUUUUCUAAAACCUGAGUGGAAGGAUUUGUGUGUUUGUUUUUAUUUUGUUGUUUAUAAUUCUAUUCCCUACACCCCCAGCCAUAUUGUCGCAGAAUGCAGAAUACCCAGGGCUCAGAGCUUGAGCACACGUGAGAGGAGCCUGGGGUCACAGUAGAUGUAACUUCUGGGACCCAAGGACCCCUUUAAUCGUGCAGGGGGCUUGGACCAGAAGAAACCUCUCGGAAAUUAUAUAUAGCUAUGUAAAUCCUGGUUGGUUGACGAGGCAGGUCGAAGCUGACCACUGAAGCCGUUCUGUGCUAGCUUUAAAGACUGCAGAAUCCUUCAGGCAGCUAUUAGAGCAGUUAUUUCUAGAAGUCCUUUCUUGUCUGCGAAGGUGAUUCUAAAGUGCUCUGUUCUCUGAAGUUCCUGAAUUUGCAGUGUGUAGUGUUAGGAGAGUCUGAUGAAUGAUCUCACAAAAUAAAACACUCUGAAAUGGAUUUGGGUUUGUUUGUUUGUUUGUUUGUUUUGUUUUGUUUUAAAACUCUUCUGAUUGUGAGAUACAAAAUGAGAGCUGCAUGUCUGCCAACAGGUAUAGACUUUAUGAAGAAAUUUGCACUUUAAGGGGAAGCAUAACCAGUAGGUGGAUAUACUAUUAUUUUAAAACUAUCUACUGCACUCAUAUUAGUAAAAGAUAAUGAAAUUUAAGAGCGAAAUGAUUAUUAAAAAGAGUACAUUUGGGUAAAUUCACUAGUCAAAUUAUAUAGAUGCUCAAAAAUUAGUUGAAUUAGGGGCGCCUGGGUGGCGCAGUCGGUUAAGCCUCCGACUUCAGCCAGGUCACGAUCUCGCGGUCCGUGAGUUCGAGCCCCGCGUCGGGCUCUGGGCUGAUGGCUCAGAGCCUGGAGCCUGUUUCCGAUUCUGUGUCUCCCUCUCUCUCUGCCCCUCCCCCAUUCAUGCUCUGUCUCUCUCUGUCCCAAAAAUAAAUAAACGUUGAAAAAAAAAUUAAAAAAAAAUUAGUUGAAUUAAAGAUGAUAAAUAUUUAAUCUUUCUAACCUGAUAUUCCUAAAGAGCUGGAUGCAAACUGCCUAACUUAGAAUGGGACAUGUGUGGAGAUUUUACUUUUUGCAUCAUCUGAUUUUAAUAUGAUACUCUUGGGACGUCUGCGUGGCUCAGUCAGUUAAGCAUCUAGCUUCAGCUCAGGUCAUGAUCUCACAGUUUGUGGGUUUGAGCCCCGUGUCAGGCUCUGUGCUGACACUCCAGAGCCUGGAGCCUGCUUCGGAUUCUGUGUCUCCCUCUCUCUGCCCCUCCCCUGCUCACAUUCUGUCUCUCUCUGUCUCUCAAAAAUAAAUAAAUGUUAAAGAAAAUUACUAUGAAACUCAGGCUUAUCUUCAACCCCCCACAGUUCACCCGUCAUCUGACCUCAUUUCUUAUAUUUGCUUUUCAACAUAAAUUAUACAGGAACUUCUCUUAGCAUGCAAUGACACAUGUAGAUUCCCACCCUCCAAAUAUAGGUACUUCAUUAUUACAUGCAUAAUUAUUUCAUUUCCUCAAUAUAAAUCUUAAGUGAUCAGGGUCCUUCUUUCCCUUCCAAGAUAUGUGUCAUGGUAAUAAUAUAAGCAGGUUUUAUUUAUAGUUGUUCAUGAGAAUAAUGUCAAAGCUACAUAAUCAACGAUCCAUGUGCUAUUUUUUGUAUUUUGUCUUAUUCCCUUCCUAUUUUGUAAUUAAGUGCAAUUGUGAAAGCUUUAUUUUUUAAAUGUUUAUUUAUUUUUGAGACAGAGAGCGUGAGCAGGAGAGGAGCAGAGAGAGAGGGGGACAGAGGAUUCGAAGCGGGCUCUGCUCUGACAGUAACAAGACUAGUAGAGAGCCUGAUGUGGGUCUCGAACUUGAGCACGAGACCAUGACCUGAGCCCAAGUCAGAGGUCCAACCGACUGAGCCACCAAGGUGCCUCCAAAUUGUGAAAGUUUUAAAUUUAAUAUCAUGUAUUUAAUACUGUUUUUUUCUGAGUCAGAUAUCUUUUGAUAUCUAUCUUCCAUAUUAAGGGAUUUGAUUAGAUGUAUACUAUUAAUAUGUGUUUAUGGGUUUUAUUUGUGUGUGUGCUUAUAUUUUCAAAUAUUAAAUUUUCUAAUAUACUUAAGUAUUUAACUAUCAUUUACUAAUCCCUUAACAUGUGUAAGGUUCUUUGUCAAUUUUCAAAACAAAUAGCAUCAAGAAGUAUAAGAUCUCACUUUUACGGAAUUCACAGUUUACUGGAGAUAACAUACAAAAAAAGAAAUAUUAAAAUGUAGUAAACUGUGUACUUUUAGUAAAAAAAUAUAAUUAACUCUUAGUUAACUUAAUUGUGAGUUAACAGCAAAUGUUCAUUAGACUUCUAAUCAUUAAAAAGUAUUCUAGUAAUUUAUUUAAAAAAAUUUUUAACGUUUAUUUAUUUUUGAGAGAGACAGAGUGUGAGCAGGAGAGAGGCAGAGAGAGGGGAAGACACAGAAUCUGAAGCAGGCUCCAGGCUCUGAGCUGUCAAUGCAGAGCCUGAUAUGGGGCUUGAACUCACAAACUGUGAGAUCAUGACCUGAGCUGAGGUUGGAAACAACCAACUGAGCCACCCAGGCACCCCAAAAGUCUUCUAGUAAUUUAUGAACAAAUGGAAGAACCAGAAUACUCUUUAUUCUGCUUUAUUCUGCUAUAAAUUUAGUGUAGAAUAAAUUCUGGGGUUGGGUAUUUUAGGAAAGCAGAGUUCUAGCUUUUGACAGGUUUGGAACCAUCUAGGAUUUGAUGCAUAAUCACUAUUCUAGAAGGGACAGAGUUUUCACUUGCAUUUUAAAUUAAUUUGUGAUUUAUUUUGCACAUUGAAUUUGUGAUUUAUAGUUUGUUGAGGGUACACCAAAUUCUUCUCUGUAAGUAAUUUAAGGUGAACAUCAUACCCAAGUGUUAGAAGCUAUUUGUGCAUGGUAGCUGAAAAGUAAGUCAGUGCAAAUACGAAGGAAUGAAAUAAAUCUAGUACGAAAUCCAUAGAAAUUCAUAGUGAGACAACAGAUACCUCUUCUCUCUCGUCCUCAGUGUCUCCUGUCUCUGUCUCCCUCUCCCUCCCACACUUUCCCUCUCCAUCUCCGUCUCCAUCAUCUCUCUCUAUGUGUAUUUCACCAAAUCUAAGGGGAAUUGAUGUUGACUCUUGCUUGAUCUUAACAGAAGACAUCAAUGGAAGUUUUUACACAACUUUUUAAUAGUCAUCUGACUGAUAGUGAUUAUAAGACAUUAUUGACUGCAAAAUGAACCCUCAUUUCCAUGAUGUAAAAAUGUGAAAAAAAUAUAUCUUAUAGGGGCGCCUGGGUGGCGCAGUCGGUUAAGCCUCCGACUUCAGCCAGGUCACGAUCUCGCGGUCCAUGAGUUCGAGCCCCGCGUCAGGCUCUGGGCUGAUGGCUCGGAGCCUGGAGCCUGUUUCCGAUUCUGUGUCUCCCUCUCUCUCUGCCCCACCCCCGUUCAUGCUCUGUCUCUCUCUGUCCCAAAAAUAAAUAAAAACGUUGAAAAAAUAAUUAAAAAAAAUAUAUCUUAUAAUUGAUAAAAAUUAUAACUAAGUUGAAUCUAAGCUAGGAAUUAAUACUCAGGCUCUACAGGAAGGCUUUUAUGUUUUUCACAGGCUUUCUGCUUUGUCUGUACUUUCUUGCUACAUCUUGAUCUAGCUAUUCUUCUGUUCAAUGUCCUUCAAAACUUAAAAGGAUCAACUCCCUUGGAGAGUCUUUCUCUGACUAUCCCACAGAAUUUCUGUCUGCCUUUCCUUUGCUUUCGAGAAACUGUGCAUACUUUUGUGAUUGUACUUACCACACCAGAACAUGAUGACUGGUUUGUCUUAGGGACUUAUUCUAACCUAAAUUAUUUGAACUUUAAGAUGCAAUAAAAAUUGUGUCUCUACCAUCAAGUAUCAUAUGUCAGCAGCUUAUAAUAAAGGAUCAGUAAAUAUUACCCGGAUAAAAAUUCAAUAAAUAAGGAAAUCUAUGAAUGUUAAAUAUUUUUAUCAAUAUAUCAUAAAAAAGAAAAAUGGAGAGUCAGGGAGGUUGAAUGACUUGUUCAAUAAUGGUCAGGCUUCAAACCCACCUCUUCCGUAUUCUAGCCCAAAAGCUCUCUCCAUUGUUCAAACCUAAUAUUGUGCCACCUCUUUUUUAAUUACACGACAUCAAGUGAGCACACACCAAUUAUUGGCUUAGGAACAAACAUGGUGGAGAAGAAGCCAUAUAUUUUUAAAUUUUUUUUUAACGUUUAUUUAUUUUUGAGACAGAGAGAGACAGAGCAUGAAUGGGGAAGGGUCAGAGAGAGAGAGGGAGACACAGAAUCUGAAACAGGCUCCAGGUUCUGAGCUGUCAGCACAGAGCCCGAUGCGGGGCUUGAACUCACGAACUGCGAGAUCAUGACCUGAGCCAAAGUUGGACGCUUAACGGACUGAGCCACCAAGGUGCCCUGAGAAUAAGCCAUAUUGAGAAUUAAUGUUUUGGCAAAUUAGGUCGUGCAUAAAUGUUGGACAAUUAUGUCCAAAUAGCCAUGGCAGUGAACCUGGAUAUUGUACAAACAAUCUUAAAUGGAUAGAUGUUUAGAAGUUAUUCUUAGUGGAUUCCAUCAUGUAAGGCUUAUUUUAGAAUAAAUUUUGGGCCUAAAAAUCAUAUUGGAAUAUAUCAACACGAGAUUUGGGACUUCAUUUAAUUAAUAAACAAUAAUUUUAUAUACAAUUCCAAAUGUUUGAUAUUACUUAACCUAUUUUCCAUAAUUUAACAGGCCUAAUUUAAUAUUUCCUUCAACUAAAAAACUGUGUAAAAUUGCACAAGUUUAUAAGCAUCUGUCUUCCCAAUGUCUCUCUGUUUUAAGUCUUAGCUUAUAUGUAUGUCAAUAACAAACAUUUUUAUGAUUAAUAUUGUAUUUGUAAGCAAACAGUAAUAUCUCUGAUAAUUCCUGAUAUUUUCACCUACAUAAAAGCACAUAUAUAUUACUAGACAAAAAGUGAAUAAUUUUGCUUUCAUUAUAAGUUUCAUAUAAAUUAUAAACAUGUUCCUUCACAAUUAUUCCUUAAGACAUGCAGGUACAGUCUAUGGAACCGUUGUGAAAUCAUCAGCCUGGUUUAUCUUUCAGGAAUUAAUAAAUGUCGGUCCAUAAUACAUUUUCCAACAUGAAUGCCAUUGUCUUAUCAUUAAAAGCAACAAUAUCAAUAUAAAAAUUAUAGAAUGACAUGGCGAAAUGUCCAAAAAUAUAGAUUGAUUAGAAUUUAUAUUUUGGAGGUUUUGUAGCUAAUGUAUAAUUUUAAAAAUUCAGUAAAGAAACUUUUCUCCAAAAUUUGGAAGGAUAUUAUUGCCACAAAAGAAAAUGUGUAAUCACCAGAAGAGAUAAUUGGUAUUGAUGGCAUAGCUUUGUUUAUGAAUGUUAUAUGUUGACUUGCAGUUUUAAAAAUUUGUUAUAUCUGAGAAAGCAUAUCAAGAUAUAUGCAGGGAUACCCGGGUGGCUCAGUUGGUUAAAUGUCUAUCUCUUGGUUUCCACUCAGGUCAUGAUCUCACAGUUCAUGGGUUCAAGCCCUGCGCUGGGCUCUGUGCUGGCAGUUUGGAGCCUACUUGGGAUUCUCUCCUCUCCUCUCUCUGUCUCUACACUGCUUGCACUCUUUCUCUCUUUCUCUCUCAAAAAUAAACUUUAAAAAAAAUAUGACAUAAAUAAAGCUGUCAAUAGGUUAAAUUAGAAAAAAAUUUCAAUGAACUUUUUUACAAAAGUGAAGCUUUAAUAUUAUUUGUAAGUAGAAAGAUUUUACUUUCCCUUGAGGAAUAUCUCUGGAAACCAUACCAUAAUUUAAGUACUAAAAAUGAAACCCCUGUCUGCAUUUCUGUACUAGCAAAUAUGUAGACCUCUAGGGAUCCAUUGAAUGAGUAUUAGAGAAAGAAUGUAGCCUUUCUUAUUUGCGUUAAGGUCUAGUCUGUGUUUAUCUUGAGGUGGUGGUGGUAAAGAUUCUCUGGUUGUAUCUUAAAGGCAGUAAGGAUUCCUUGGCCUUUUCGGAGGAAGUGCAAAUUGAGAUAAACAGGUUAAUAAUGAGAAAAAUAAACAAGAUAUGUAAAAAGUCAUGUUCAAUCUAGGGUCAAUGAAAUCUGAAGCACUACUUACAUAAAUGCUGUAUUUGUGCCAAAAGACCUUGUCUUUUAAGCUUUUGGUUUAGCAUAGAUAAAUCAGAUUCAUCACUGAUUAAACUAGAUUGAAAUUAUCUUUAAGGUAACAAUUCCAUAUACAAUCUUUAUCAACAGUGUUUACUUUUAUUUUUAAAGUUUAUUUAUUUUGAGAGAGAGAGCAUAUGCAAGCAUGCAUGGUGGUGGGCGAGGGGCAGAAAGAGAGGAAGAGAGAAUCCCAAGCAGGCUCCACCUGUCAGUGCAGAGUGACAGCUCAGAGCCCUAUGCAGGGCUCAAUUCCAUAAACACAAACCUUGAGAUUGUGACCUGAACUUAAAUCAAGAGUCGGAAGCUCAAUAGACUGAGAUACCCAGUUGCCCCAACAAUAUUUACUUUUAAUAAUGUAGUACAUUUUAACAUUAUUACAAAUUUGAACAUAUAUCUGUAGCCCAUGGUCUUUCAUAAUUCUCAUAACUUUUAUAAUAAAUUUUUCCUGUAUACCCCUACCCAUUCAAUCCCCAGAUUUAUGUUGUGGUUAAUAUCACACAACAUUUCGUUUUAGCCACAAUAUUUCAGAGUGCACCUCUAAGACAUUCAUUUUUUUAAGUAUAACAAUAAAAUCAUUUCACGCUUUAAAAUUAACCAUAAUUCCUUAAUGCUCUCAAGUAACCAAUCAAGUUUCCUUGAUUUUUCACAAAUUUUAUUGUUUUUCAAAUUAAGAUCCAAAUAAUAUUCAUAUAUAACAGUUUGUUAAUAUACUUAAAAUUUUUUUAAAUGUUUAUUUAUGUUUGAGAGAGAGACAGAGUGUGAACAGGGGACGGGCAGAGAGAGAAUCUGAAGCAGGCUCCAGGCUCUGAGCACAGGACGUGGGGCUCAAACUUACUAACCAUGAGUUCAUGACCUGAGCUGAAGUCAGACACUAAACCGACUGAGCCAUGCAGGUGCUCCAGUUAAUAUGGUUUUAAGCCUCUUUUAAUUUUAUGUUCCUAUUACAGCAUGCUCAUGCUUGCUGCCUUCUUCCCUCCCCCAAUCUUUCUCUCUCUUUUCUUCUCUCUCUCUCUCUCUCCCUCUCCCUCUUGGUUUUAUUCUGGCAAAAUAUCUGAUGAAGAAUUUGGAUCAUUCUCCUAAUCUGGAUUGUACAGAUUGCCUUCUGUAGUGUCAUUUAAAAUGCUCCCUGUUUCCUUGAAUUUUUGUUAGAACAGUAGCUACAUCGAGAGGCUAAUAUGGAUAUUUUGAAAACUCACCAAAACAAUGAAAAAAGCAAGGAAAAAUUGGACUGUAGAUUUAAAUAUUUUUCAGAUGUAUAGCUUAAUCAACAUAUUUUGUAGAUAAUGAUACUGAGAUCCAAAGAUACGUUAAAACUCAUAAAGCUUGUAGAUGGCAUAGUUUCUAUUAGAAUCCAGAUGUCCUGAUAAGAGAGAACAGAAAUUGAAAUUUCAGAACACCUAAUAAAAAGCCAUAGGAUAUAUUAGCAAUCAAGUAGCAGUUUGAGUCAGGAGAUUUUUGUCUUCCUUACUAUAUACUAACUCUGUAAAAUUAGGCAAGUUGUUGAUUUCCUGGACCCAUAGCAGAUAUCAGAAUAGUUAUUACUUUUUUUUCACAGAAAAAGCACAGAGAUACAAAUAUUUAGCCAAAUAAUAUUUAAUCGGGUGAAGUCAUCUGGACUUAGAGGGAAUUUAACCACUGUAAUUCAGAGAUGUGGCUUUGGGAAUAUCCACACUAGCAGAAGCCAUUGGACCUCUUACAGUGUGUUUUCCAGUGAGUUUUCCUUAGAGGCCAGAAAGACAAGCAUUUUGAGGUAUUUGUUUGUUUUUUUAAUGUUUAUUUAUUUAUGUUUGAGAUGGGCGGGAGGAGGGGCAGAGAGAGGGAGACACAGAAUCUGAAGCAGGCUCAGAGCUGUCAGCUCUGAGCCCAACACCGGGUUUGAACUCACCAACCUUGAAAUCCUGACCUGAGCCAAAGUGGGACGCUUAGCCGGCUGAGCCACUAAUCCAGGCGCACCAGGAUUUUGCGGUUUUGACAGUUUCGACGUGUGCUCUAGGGAAAGCUGCUAGCUAUAGUUCCAGGCACAGGUUUUGUUUCUGUCAUUCUGCCCCUCUUAAAUGUGUUUAUAAGAGGUAAUCACUUGUGCUAAAUAUUAUGUCAUCUCAUGGUUAAAAACUGUCACUUAAGGCUGAUGGAAUUUCUCCUUUUAGAUUUCCUACUAAAGGGAUGAACUUCCUUAGCUGGAUAACCAUUUAGAAAGUCGGCUAUCCUCAACAUCCCCAUUGUAUGAAACUGCCCCAUGGAAUUCAUGUUUCUCCUUUAUCAAGGAGGCAGGUGUGCAAACUGCAAACGCCCCGUGGCCUCUGGUUGUUACACCUCUGCUGUCUCACCAGGUGAAGACUCCGUGACAGUGUUACUGAAGACAAAAUAAAAAGAAAAAAAUCAAGGGCCAUUGCUGUAAAGGUGAACACCAGAAUUUGAAGGGUCAAAAAGUCCAUGCCUCCAGAUAUUUUCCCCCACAUCCUGAAUUAAGACCAAAAAUUUCAGGGGCGCCUGGGUGGCGCAGUCGGUUAAGCGUCCGACUUCAGCCAGGUCACGAUCUCGCGGUCCGUGAGUUCGAGACCCGCGUCAGGCUCUGGGCUGAUGGCUCGGAGCCUGGAGCCUGUUUCCGAUUCUGUGUCUCCCUCUCUCUCUGCCCCUCCCCCGUUCAUGCUCUGUCUCUCUCUGUCCCAAAAAUAAAUAAACGUUGAAAAAAAAAAAUUAAAAAAAAAAAAGACCAAAAAUUUCAGUAAUUUAUUUUAAGGUGUUGCUUCAAAAAAAACCCUGUUAAAUUAUAAAUAUUCACUUAAAGCUCCUUGUAAUUGCUUAUAUCACAAUAAUAUUAUAGGAAAUUUCAGAUUGAUAAGAUGUUAUAUAUUUGCUCUCUGGGGACCCAUAAAGUUAAAAAAAAUAAGAAGACUGGAAAAUGAGAAUCUUACAACCUGGGUUCUCCCUGUUCACAUGAGAGAUGUUCAGGUAAUUUGAUGGCACAGGGUAUGUGUAUAAGGUGGAUUAGACAGAGUUGUCAAAUGGCUGGCAAAAGUUUAUAAAGACAAAGUAAACAGGUAAUUUUCAUCAUAUUUGCUUACUUUAUAUUAACAUUUUUAUCUAAAUCCAGGUUUUACCUUUCUAGGAUCCCUUUAGUUAAUCAGAGCUGACUUCACUGACAGCUUGCUCUGGUUAAUUACUGAAGUGUUUUAACUGAAUGCCCCAAGGUAUUGAUGUACUCAACCACCACUGCAAGGCUCAGAACAUGAGAAAUCUUGGAAGAAAGCUGGAGACAGUUUAUCAAUAUCUCAGGUAUUUAGUAUUUAAAAAACUACACAGUCUAUAGAUACAUGGGUAAUGAUACUACAGUGUUUAAAAAGUAUGGUUUAACUGAAGAUUUCUUAAAAAAAAACGAAAAUCAUUCUCCUGCUAAUACUCAGGUCAUGUACUCUGAACAACUAUUAGCAUAUGCCUUUUGUAAGAUAAGCAUAUGCCUUUUAUUGUACUUCAUACAACAAUUCUUAGGAUUUUCAUAUAAUACAUAAUAUUUUAUUUUUAAUAGUUACUGGAACACUUAAUUGGGAAAACAUGUUUUUUCAGAGUAUAUAAGAUACAUCCUUGGUCUGGGCUUCAGGACGUAUCAACUUGUAGUUUCAACCACCUGUGAUCUGUGUGGCUCUGGGAAGAUACCUGGAUCACUCAGAGGUUUUUAUCCCCUAUGUGAGAGAUCAGUUUGCUCCCCUGCUUGUCUGUGCAGGUUCAUCUCUACGUUUGCCAAACCUGCCAUCUGCCAAACUCGAGGCCAGGGUACCCUGGUCCCAUAGCAUGGCUUGCAUUGUCUGAUCUGGAAAUGGUCUCUCUUGCUUUUAGGUCUUUACACCUGCUAAUUAAACCAUAUAAUUUAAUACUUAAAUAUAACAUUUUAAUAAAUAUGAUGUUCUAUAACUCUUUGUAGUUAUAUAUAAUCAUAUAUAAUAUAUUCUAUGUUGACACAUGUAUUAUACAUAAAAUAUAUACAUGCAUGUUGUUAUUAGGGUGUACAUAUAUAUAUCUCCUAAUUCUUUAGAGGGCAUGAAAUGGAAAUCAAUUUACAGUUUAUGCAAGUGCAUUACAGUAUUUUGCAGAUCUUUUAUGUAAUAUUUUGUGGAAGGAUUGGAAUUGACAGCAACCAUAAAGAAAGUAAAUCUCCAUAUAAUAGGUAUUCACAAUAUUUAACUACUGAAUCCAAGAUUUUGAAAAAAAUGCAUUGUCCUUUCUUAACUUGAUUCUUUCUCUACUCACCUUCCACUGCAGAGACAGAGUCUGAAAGGCAAUUAAUUUGCUACUUUUGCAUUUUACAAUAUAAUCUUCAUUGAAUAAAUGAAAAAUGCCACCCAGUUUUAUUUUUUUCAAUUUUUAAUGUUUAUUUUCUUUUUUUAUUUUUAUUUUUUAAGAUGAAAUUUAUUGUCAGAUUUAUUUCUAUACAACACCCAGUGCUCAUCCGAAUAGGUGCCCUCCUCAAUACCCAUCACCCACCCCCCAUCAACCCUCAGUUUAUUCUCAGUUUUUAAGAGUCUCUUAUGGUUUGGCUCCCUCCCUCUCUAACCUUUGUUUUUUCCUUCCCCUCCCCCAUGGUCUUCUGUUAAGUUUCUCAGGAUCCACAUAAGAGUGAAAACAUAUGGUAUCUGUCUUUCUCUGUAUGACUUAUUUCACUUAGCAUAACACUCUCCAGUUCCAUCCACGUUGCUACAAAAGGCCAGAUUUCAUUCUUUCUCAUUGCCACGAAUGCUACCCAGUUUUAAACUGACAGAAGAAGGAUCCAGGAUGUCAUUUUAUUCAGGCAAAGUAAAUGUGCAUUAAUAAUAAUAAUUCUAGGAUUUAUAUUUUAUUUAUCAAUGUAUCAAUAUAUCAGUAUCAUAUUUUUCUAAUUAUGAUAUGAAAAUGUAUUUCAUGAUUUUAUUUAGUUUAUGUUUAGUUUUAUAAAAUAGUUACAAAUAUUUGAAACAAUUGCUGGAAUAGCAAUGAUAGAGAAAUCCAUAGUUGCAUGUUUUAUUUAUCAAUAUAUUUAAAAUAGAUACAGUGUUUUAACAUCUCUAUAUUUGCACUGAACAAAAAUUAAAUUAUACUGAAACGAGGUCAUUAUCACUAUUUAUACUGAAUAAUGUAAAUAUAUACUUUCAUCUAACAUCCUAGUCCAUGCCGAUAUGUCAGCAUUGUAGGGCAAGCCAGCAGGCUUUGAGGAAGUGUGCCAUUUUCUUUUUUAUUUAAGUGUCUACAAGACAUAGAUUAAUGUGUGCUUCAAUUAAAAGGCUUAUUUGAUCAUUGUCUGUAUUUCAGUUCCAUGCUUAACUUAAAUUCACAUGUCACGAAAAUCACGUAACGAAGGACAUAUGGAGUGUGCUAUGCUUCCUUCCUUCAAAAAUUUUUCAUACAUUCCCUUAACUGUUCUGUCUAUGACUGUUUUUUCUUUUUCUAAGAGUCUACAUUUAUUGCAUUCUUCCUAAACUUUCAUGUAUAUGGAUGUAUUACAUGUGGGUUUAAAAAAACAAAUUUCUCCGUGGAACUCCAUACUUAUGAGAGCAUUUCUGGGUUAUACAUUAUGACAGUUUCACACAGAUCUCUGUCUUCCUUCUUUCUUCCAUUCUAUGCUUGUCUCCCUAUAUGUCCUUACUAAUGAAAAUGCCUCUUUCUUCUUUUAGGCAGCUAUACUUUUUCCUUGCCCUUGAUUUAUCACAACUACCUGCUCAAAAACCUUCCCCAGACUCUAUUCAUCUCUUCAUUUGGAUCUUACUAUGCACCUGAAAAAAUGUGACACACACAAUGUGAAGAAAGCCUUUAAAACUUGGGAAGCUAAAAUCUGAUUUUAAUACUCAUGAUCUCUUUGAACCUUAAACUGUUACCUUUAGUGUGUAAACACAUUUUUCCUUAUCUAUAGAACGGAUUUAGAACUCAUGAGAAUUAAAUUAAUGAAUGUAUUUAAAACAUCUGCCAUAGUAUUGGUACAUUUAUUUAGUAAGUGAUGGUUUUCUCUAAAAUUAAAAAAAAAUCUAUUCUAUUUUCUCCACUUAUCAUCAUGAUCUACAAUUAUUCAUUCAUUAACCUCCAUAACUUCCAGACAUCAAAGUGGAUACUACAGUUAGAAUGCAAAGCAUAUUCUAACAUCCUUGACCUUGAGGACUUGUAUUUUACUACAUAAUCUUGUCUAAAACCUGAAAUUGGAUUUCUGUCUGUCCUCCUUCAUUGCAGCUAUUCUUAAAAGUCAUCAAGAUAUCUCAUUUAUUCAACAUAUUUAGUAAUAUCUGUUGAACAUAGGCAUGGUGAGUGCCCUCACCAUUUUCCUUGACUUUGCAGCAUUUUACGUUGAUCUGUAUUUCCCCAUUUUGAAACUGUGUUCUUGGGAGCUUAUGGUAUUUUAUGCCAAAAUUCUCUUCUUCAUGCUUCUCUGACAGGUUUUUAUGCUUUGCCUUGUUGUACUUUAUUCCUUGUAUCAUCUGCAUUUCUAUUUCUGUGCCCUGAAUUCAGUUCAUACAUGUAACCCUUUUGUUAAUUGCUUAAGUCGCCUCUAAUUUCUCACUGAGCUUCAGUCCUGCAUUUCUAGCUGCCUGCUGGAUAUUUCUUUUUUUUUUUUUAAGUUUGUUUAUUUAUUUUGAGAGAGAGAGAGAGUGAGAGAGAGAGCACGAGUUGGGGAGAGGCAGAAGGAGAAAGAGAUAGAGAUAGAGAUAGAGAUAGAGAUAGAGAUAGAGAUAGAGAUAGAUAGAGAGAGAGAGAGAGAGAGAGAGAGAGAGAGAGAGAGAAAAUCUUAAGCAGUUUCCAAGUUCAGCACAGAGCCCUGUGUGGGGCUCGAUCUCAGGAACCAUGAGAUCAUGACCUGAGCUGAAACCAAGAGUUGAAUGCUUAACAGACUGAGUCACUCCUGGAUAUUUCUAUAUCUCAUUAUAUCAAAAUUUGCAUAUCUUUAAGACAGUUCCACAUUUCCCUUGAUAUAAAGUCCUUGCUAUUAUGAUUGUCCUAUUAUUAUUAGCACUAAUCUCAGAUAUUCAGCCUCAGUCCCUGUCUGUGAUGCUCCAGAAUUUAUGUAUAUGAGGGCAUUACAGGGAGUGGCUUGAUGACAUCAGAGGAAAAAGGAGCAUAGGUAGAUUUUUUCUUAGCUUUCCAAAGCAACUAUUUUAUAUGUUAUUAUUAAAAAUAUGAAAGUUAUGGAGUGACUGAGUGACUCAGUCAUUUGAACAUCCGACUUCAGCUCAGGUCAUGAUCUCACGGUUUGUGAGUUUGAGUCCCACAUCGGGCUCACUGCUGUCAGCUGGGAGCCUUCUUUGGAUCCUCUGUCUCCCUCUCUCUCUGUGCUUCCCCCACUCACACUUUCUCUUUCAAAAAUAAAUAAACAUUAAAAAUAAAAUAAAAGUUAAUACAAAUUUAACCAGCUUUUUUCUUUCAUAUUUUAUAUAAAACUGAAAAUAUCAAUUAAUGUUAUAUUAUUAUUAGGAGUAUUAUUAACAUUAGUACUUCAGAUGACUUGGGAAAGUUGAUGGAUAUUAUAAGGAGCUGAAGCCUCCUGCUGUCCCUCAUCUUAACACACCCCAGAGCACCAUCAUGGAGACGUGACUUUUCUUUAUACUUCUGUUUUCAAUUGUUCACAAAGCUCACUCAAUUUAUUUUACACAAUGCUUCAGAUCUGUCCCUUCCUUUCUAUUACCAUUGCCACAAACCUGCCGCAAGGGUCCCAUGACCUUUCAUCCAGAGAAUUACAGUAAACUUUUAUCUGAUUUAUUUGCCUUCAAACUUUUCUCCAUGUAUCCAAUAUAUUACUUUCAGGUGAAUUGUCUCAAAGCAGGAUUUUGAUCAUGUGACUUUUGCGAUCAAACACCCACCUAUAUCUAGUAAGACCAAUGGAUAAAUUCCAAGUAUUUUUGAAAUUGGGAUCCCUAUAUCAUCUGGCACUAAUAUCUGUAAUUACUUUCAACUACUCAUGUAUAUGAACCCAUCAAACUAGUGUAUGGAACACUGUAAAUGCAUUUUUCACCUUCCUGCUUUCUUACUUCUGCCCAUAAAUAUUUGUCCCUCUUUGUCUCCUAUCUAACUUCAUUCACCCUUAAAACUCAGAGAAAAUUUUUUUUUUUCCUGACCAGUCUAGUUGCAGCUUUGAGGUCUCAUAGGAUAGCAACAGGACAUCCUAUGCCCUUCAGGAUUUUCAUACAUUUGACAUAAUUUUUUUAAAUAUUGUAGUACAUAAACAUUAAAUUUAGAAAUGUGGAAGUUCCCUAAUUUCUCAUUUAGACACAAAGUGAAGAACCAUGUACUUCUUCAAAGUAGACAUGUAUGGGGCAACUGGGUGGCUCAGUUGGUCAGGUGUCUGAUUUUGGCUCAGGUCAUGAUCUCACGGUUCCUGAGUUCAAGCCCUGCAUCAGGCUCCAUGCUGGCAGCUUGGAGCCUGGAGCCUGCUUUGGAUUCUGUGUCUCUCUCUCUCUGUUCCUCCCUCAUUUGCACUCUGUCUCUCUCUCUCAAAAAUAAAUAAAAAAGAUUUUAAAAAAAAAGUUUAAAAAUGGACAUAUAUGUACAUACAUAUAGAUCACUUAUAUAAAUUACAUACAUACAUAUUGGAGUAUAUUUUAAAAAUUACCACAUGAUCAGUCAUCCAAUUAGUGUUAUAGAGAUUUAAGACAGUUGAUAUUAUCUCUGGAGGCUACAAUUCAUAUAUUGCUUUUAUCACAGACACUAAUCUUCACAGUAUUUUUAAAUAGUAAUCUCUCCUUUGCCUCUUCUUCUUAAUCUUCACAAAGAAGAAUUUAGAUUUGAAAAGAGAACUAAGGUAGAAUAAAAUUAAGUUAAUCAUUACCUUGGUAACAAUUGUGUAAAAUUAAGUAUACGGGAAAGCAUUACUAAUAGCCUUCUCAAAUAUGAAAAACUGAUGUGCUGUAUAUGCUGGUUCUAAUUGAGAUUAAACAUUGAAUAAGUAUUUUAAAAAGACUCUUUGAUGACAUUUAAAAAUAUUUAAAUUAGGCAAGGGUAUAUAUUCACAGGAAACCUAUUUUAAUUAGUUCUACUUAAUUAAUACUAUGUUAAUAGAUUUUAGUUCUUUUUGUGUAUCAUUUUACAUAUACUUCUAUUCAGAGUUAUUCACAUUACCUAAUAUUGAAUAUAUUAUAUAAAAUAAUGUUAUUACUUUAUUAAUUUAUAAAUUUUAAUAUAUACAAGAAAUUUAACAUAUACAAGAAAUAUAUACAGAAAUUUAAUUUCUGAAACGUUUGUCAGUCUUAAUUUGUUAGCUUCAAUAAUGUUCCUAAAAUUGACAUUAUAUCAUUUUCCUAUCUUUCCUAAAUUUGUACAACUAAAUUUAUUGUUUAUUAUGCUAAGCUUAUGUUUAAUCCAAUUAAAGUUUGCUAAAUAUAUGAAAAACUUUAAAGUUCACUGGGUUAGUUGUCAAUUAUUUUAAUUUUUGUGAUAAUGAUCAAAGCAGAUAAAUUAUUUUUACUUUUCAUGACCAAAUAACUAUUUAUCAUGUAAAAAUUAUUUAUUAUUAUUACUAUUACUUAUUUUUAAAAUUAUUUAUUACUUUUUUAUCAUGUAAAAAUUAACAUAAUGAAAUACCUGGAUAAAGUAUUAUUUUAUUAAAGAACAGAAGGAAGAUAGGCAGGAAGAAGCAAAGAAAGAAACCAUGAAAAUAAAAAAACAAGCAACCAUAACAAACCAAAGCAAGAAAUCAUGGCCUCUUUUCAGAUCUAUGUCAAUAAAAAGCAAGUAGGCAAUUUAAAUGUUUAUUUUACAAUUGAGAUAACAUUUUUUUUCUUCUAAUUCUUCAAAAUAAGUGAAACCAGUUAGGUUUUUCUUAAAUUAAUAAAAUGCUCAGUUUAUUUUUAAGGACUCGAUGCCUUUACUGGCUGAUUUUCAUACCUAUUAUGUUUCUAUUAUUUUCUGAGUUUUUGUAAGCAGAGCUCUCUUCCCCAACUUAUUUUGAUAAUGAUGAUUUUCAUAAUAAUGUUAAUAAAUAUUAUUACUGAUUUUUAACAUUGAAGCAAUAGUAAGGUUUUCACCUUGGGGGUAACUUUAGCAUCUGAUAUGCUCUCAGUGAGUUUGCAGAUAUAUUUAGUUAAGAAAAUCAAUCCUUACACAUUAAAGAUAAUCAUUUCAAAUUCAUAUGAAUCUUUCAUUUUAUUUAUUUAUUUAAAAAAUUUUUAAUGUUUAUUUUUGAGAGAAAGGGAGACAGAGCGCGAAUGAGGGAGGGGCAGAUACAGAGGGAGACACACAAUCCAAAGCCAACUCCAAGCUCCAAGCUGUCAGCACAGAGCCCCACACAGGGCUGGAACCCGUGAACCGCGAGAUCAUGACCUGAGCCGAAGUCGUUCGCUCAACCAAGGGAGCCACCCAGGCACCCCAUAUGAGUCUUUCGUUUUUGUUUUUUUUUUAAUUUUUUUUUUCAACGUUUAUUUAUUUUUGGGACAGAGAGAGACAGAGCAUGAACGGGGGAGGGGCAGAGAGAGAGGGAGACACAGAAUCGGAAACAGGCUCCAGGCUCUGAGCCAUCAGCCCAGAGCCCGACGCGGGGCUCGAACUCACAGACCGCGAGAUCGUGACCUGGCUGAAGUCGGACGCUUAACCGACUGCGCCACCCAGGCGCCCGGAGUCUUUCGUUUUAAGUGUUAUUUUACUUGAUAUCACCAAAAAAUAAUUAAAAUAGAGGGAAAGUAUAAGCCAGAUUCCUGCUUUCAAAUUCUACAGUAUUUACAAAAAACAAGUUAUAGUCAUUAACCUCUUCAUUUAAAAUAUAGUUUUAAUAAACAUUAAAAAAAUAUUUUGUUAGUAUCAGACAGUGGGCCAGGAGAUUGAAGAUCUAGUUUGCCUUCAAAGAGUUAACAUUCUGGUAAAGAGACAAAGUGAGUAAAAAUGAAUUACCAAUUUCAUGCAUUGUAGAGAAUCCUUGAAACAUUUUAUUUAGCUCUGUUGGCAUGAUCAGAUUUGAUUAUUAGGUAUAUUGCAGUUGUAGCAUUGUCUGAAAUAAAUCAAAACACCAGGGAAAUAAAGGAAACUAGUUCAGAGUAUGUUACAAUAAUUUCUACAAAUAAGAACAUGUACUUGAAAAUAAGAUAGAUCUGGGAAUGCUUUGGAGUGAAUUGAUUAGGGAGCUAUUAAGAAGAUAAAAUCAAUAGAAUUUGGUAGAAGAUUCGAAUAUGAGUGUCAGAAGAGAAGAACGUCCAGAUUUCUAGCAAUGGCAAUGGGUAUUCACCUCAUGUGAAAUAUAAGAAAGGGACAGAUUUUUUUCAUUUUGAGGGAUAGACCAUGAAGUCAAGUUUGUACAUUAGUUUUUCUUUUUUGGCUGUAGGGCAUGCAGGUGGAGAUAUCCUGAAGAAAAUUAAGUGGAACAAUGUCAGAUUAAUAAAUAAUUUAGAUCUAUAAAAUUAAAUUUAGAAAUUCCAAUUCAGUCACAUUUAAAUUUGUGUUUUGUCUGAGAUCCAGUACUUAGCCUCACCAUGCUUCAGUUUGUUCAUUUAUAUUCUAGCAUCUCAUGGAGAAAUAAUAUUAAUUUUAUUAAUACAGUUAAGGUGUUUCAAAACACCUUGCAUAGUUCUUGCAGUGUAUGUGCUCAAUCAAUUUGAGCUAAAACAGCAGCAAAAAGUGACAUCUCUAUUUACAUAUGGUCUGGGGUGAAAUUUUGUUCUAAUUAAGUUGUUCUGGAACCAGAUGGUCUUAAAAGAAUGUGAAGCAGCUUGUAAGAAGGAAAUAGAAACAUUAUCAUGAGUUUAGGUGUCUUGCAAGAAGGCCAAGUCCUGGACUCAACUGAUGGGAGAGAAUAAUGCAGUAAUGGGGGAUGAAUAUCUACAAUUUGUUCAGAAUCAUUUGGCAAAUAAAAGAUAAUGCCUAAUAUAUUCCAUUUGAUUCAAAUCUAUAUUUAUAAUUUUUUUAUUAAUCCAAUUAUCUAAAAUUCAUAAAUGGACAAGCUUAUGAAACCUAAAUAUUUUUGGUCUCUAUUUUGUUCCAUUGACCUCUAUCUUGUGCCUAUCCCAGUGUCCUGGUUAUUGUACGUUUAGAGGUACCUAGUUUUAAUUUUCUUAAAAGUGCAGAAAAAAAUCAAAGAAAUUAUUUUAUAUGUACUCUACCCAAUUUAAGUUAUAUCUAAAUAUUAUAUACAUGGUAGAACCCAACUCAUUGUUCCCUUAAUUAAUACAGUUUUGGGGCCUUAGUAAAUGUAUGGAACCAUGAAGUCACAAUGGAAAAUUCUAGAAUAUUCUUAUUUUACUGUUAAUCUGAGUAAGUUAUUAAUGUCAUCAGGUGACCGGGAAAGGUGACAAGUAAGUGAGAAAAAAUAUAUAUUUUGUUUUCCAUUCAAUCAGUGUCCAUUUCACAUAUAUUUUUAAUACUUAAGAUGCGUCACCUAUAACUUUGGAGUAUCUGCAAAGAACAAGAAUACAAUGUCUCUAGCUCCUGGAGGUUAAAAUCUAGUAGCAGAGACAGAUAAUAAGCACAUAAACUAAUGUAGUUUAGUUCAAUAGUAAUAAGUGCUAUAAAGGAAUAAAAUUGGGCACUGUAGGAGGAAGGAAUGACAAGAGGAACAAUUUUGACUAGAAUGAUUGGGUAAGUCUUUUCUGAGGAGGUGGCAUUCAAGCUAAAAGGUGAGAAGGAUCCACAUAAAUCAGGGAAAGUAUAUCCAAUAAAACAAAACAAAACAAACAAAAACAAAAACACAAGAACAAAGGCCUUCAGUUGAAAGGGUAUUGGACUGAUGGAAGACCACAGAGGAAUCUCUUGGACCUGCAAAGUAGUGAGAGAUGGUAAAUGUGGAAAUAAAUGAGGUUGGCCAUGUGACCAGAGUUCCAGUCAAGAAGGGCUUACUAGGCUCUGGCGAGUAAUCUGAGGUUGUGGCUUGUUUUCCCAAUUCAUCUGGAGAUUUUUGGAGGGUUGUAAGCAAGGGUAUGUAAUUAGUUGUCUUCUAACAUACCACCUCAGGCUUAUUGGCAUAAAACAACAGUGUUGGUGCUGGUGACAGGAGAGCUGGUCUUUGCUCUAUAUGACAUCAUUGGGGCAGCUCGAAUGGAAGCUGGAGGAGCCACUGUAAAAAUUAUCUCUUCUAUGGCUCCACGUUAAUAGUGACAGUUGGCUGGAAACUUAGCUAGAGAUGACAGCAAGGGGCUUCUGACCCUCUCCAUGUGAAUUUCUCCAGACCGGCCUCCCAGCUGGGCUGCUUGGACUUCUUUACAGCAUAGUAGCAGAAGAACCAGGAGACAGUUCUGGAAACUGGCAUAUUAUUUCCACCACAUACUAUUGGUUAUUGUGUAUAGAACCUAGAUUUGAGGGAGACGCAUAGACUAUUUCUCAAUGACAGGAAUUUGGGGGCCACAUUUUCCGUUAGCCACUGCUUGUUUAUAUUCCUCCCACAUGCAAUAUAUAUUCAUCCUGUCCAAAAAGUCCCAGAGAUUUCAUCUCAUUAUAGCAUCAGGAACAAGAUCAAGGAAGAUCUCUCCAUCUAAAUCAUGUAUAGCUGUGGAUGAGGUUCAUUAGCGUUGUUCCUUGGUUACUUCUCGAAUACAGCAAUCCUUGACAUGAAACUGUAGAAGAUAAAGGGGCACAUUAUUCGCCUCCCACAUGCCCAGCAUUCAGUGUUUGGACAGGAUGGGAUAACAGCAAUAGUAAUUAAAGGGGAUGAGGUGGAUAGGGAACACAGAGCAUUCUUUUGUCCAUAAUAGGCUUUAGAUCUAGUUGGCAAAAUGUUGCUACUUUACUGAUUGAGUCACAUUGCUGCUUCCUGGGAAUGAUUCCUUAGGGCUUAUGGCUUUUUUUUUGGGGGGGGGAUGUUGGUUCCGCCUUCUGAAAUGUCCUUCUCUUCCCAUAAAAUGUAGUUGAUAUUUGCAGCUGAGUAGCCUGCUUUCUCCCCAUAAAAGUUCAGGAGUUCAAACACCUGUUUUUAUUUUGUACUGUCUCUGUUCCUUCAGUCCAACCUGGUGCUUCUACCAGAACAAUUCUGUGGGCUUUCUGUACAUUUUAUUGAUAUUUACUCCAUUAAGUAGAAACCACAACCACAAAUCUUGCUGAGAUAAGCUUUAUUCUAACUUGAGAUCCUUGUGAGGCUCUAUGGGGGUAAUAAUAGCUGCUUGAACUUGGCAUUUCUCAUACACUUGCAGUCAGAGGUGAGGAGCUGGACAGCAUGUGGACUAUUGAGGACUGGCUGUCUCUGUCUUCUUUUAGUGUCAGUGCCUCCUCGAUCUUAUUUCUCCCUGAGGACUGAUUUCGGUUUUGUCACAGCACGUUUGCUGGUUUACAAAAUGUGGAAUUUUAUGACCUAGCCUUGGAAGUUACAUAUCAUUGUUUCUGUCAUAGACAUAAAACCUCCAGGAUUCAAGAGAACGGAGCAUAGAUCCCACCUCUUCACAGGAAGGUGGGCAAAGUCACAUUGUAAGAAGAGUAUGCAGAAUAAGACACUGUACUACAGUCAUGUUGGAAAACUACAACCUGCCACAGUUAGAAUUCAGACUAAACUACUCUAACAAAGAGAUCAAACCGCUAACAGUUUUAAAAAGUUGCAAGGUUUUUGUUGUUGCUGUUGUUGUUGUUAAAUGCCUAUCCUGCCUAUAAUGUAACUUCUGUGCUUUGUACAAAAUUGGAACUCUUCUAAAGAUCAUUAGGUGUGUUUCUUGGAGUUUUUCUCUGUGAACUUCUCUUUUAGAACACACUUCUGGCUGUAUAAUACCACAGGGAAGGGGCCUGUCUAAGAAGAUUGAAAACAUGUGACUCAGUUUGAAGCUCUUGGCCUUAUACAUGCAUUGUUUUUUCCCUAUUGUCUUUGGUGAAUUUUUCUUAGGAAGAGCUCUUUGCUGUCUUCACCAUUAGAGUCAUGGUAUUCAAAGAACCGUGAGUAGAGCAGAGGACUGUGGGAAAGGGGCCAAGAAACACACUAGUACUGCUUUAGUGUUGCCCUUAAGCUUGCCAGUGGCUUAGGUAAAGGUAGUUCUGAAAGCUGUAUACUGACUAACCCAACUCAUGAAGCCACUGAGCUUUGGACCAAAGCCAUAGUCAGUAAUAUAACCUGGACAUUAUCUGUCUAUAUAUAGUGGUGAUCUCCUUUUUUUGUUUGUUUAUUUAUUCUAUGGUUUUAGAAAACAGAUGGUUGAGGAUUCAUAAAUUUUAUGUAGAAGCCAAAUACAGUUUCAGUGUUGAAAUAACAUGCAGAUGUUAAAUGUUUCAGCAAACCUAAAGAAUAAGGAUGGCAAUUCACAAAAUCAAGAUAUCUAAGAGUCUAAUAUAAAUUUAGUGACAAGUGUAAGUAUGACAUAUGUAAGUAAGUAGAAGAACGGGACUUAAUCUGUUGGGGUAUAAAAAUAUGUGGUUUCCAUAUUAUAUGAAGUUGCUUAUGUGGCAGCAAAUGAGAGCAUCCAUAAAAGAGAGCCCUCUUUUCACUCCAAAUUUGUCAUAGUUUCACUGGAUCUGAGAAAAAGACGCAUGUCAUGAAGAAUUGGAGCUGGGGGAGAUACAGAUUUGCAGAAGGUGGGAUUUAGGUAUGAAUAGGAGAUGAAAAGGCAUCUUUUCAAGGUGCUGGAGGUGUAACAGGCAAAUAAAGUCUUUUAGAACCAAGUAACUUGUUCCCCACCUGCCACUUCAGCUGAGUAAUAGGUUAGGUUGAGGCUCUGUCAUAAGUAUAACAACCACAUACCCUGAUUUCCUCUAAGUGCCAUUCCUCUUUCUUUCAUGGUUUACUAAUGUUGUUGCAAAAAGUAUGAGUUUUAAUAAUUAAUAAACAACAUGAACUCGAAUUGUUUCAUUGACUGACUUGACAUAAGACUGGCAGGAUUGUUGUAGCCUGUUUUUUUUCACUCUGAGGACAUAAUUAUUUAUAGCAAAGGUUGUUGAAAAAUUUUAUUUUAAGAUACUCCCAAAUACAUUUCUCAUAGAUUAAAAAAGAUACACAUUCAGCCUAUAAUAAAAUAAGGCUGGAUUGUGGUAAACCUAUUUUUUUAGCUAUUUCUUUCAGUUUCAGACUUCAUCAAGAUUUAUGUGCUUUUCUCUCCUGAAGUGAACUCCAUAUCUCUUCUCAAAUCAAGGGUGUGAAGCAUGGGAUUCAAUGCAACUUGCCUAAAGUGUAACAAAAUUGACCAAAAGAAAGCCAAAAUUCACUUUUGCAAAAUAUGAAUAAUGUUACAGAAGAGAAUAACACUCAUCCUGGCUUUUUUUCUUAUGAAUGUCCCUUAAAGAAUUUAUUACUCAAGUGAAUGACUGGUCUAGUGGGAUGCAGUUUUCUAGGCUAGGGUAUGAAAUAUCCUAAGAACAUUUAUAACUGCUUGACUGCACCUGAACCUUUUUCAAAGGACAGGUCUGCAAAUCAGAGGUAUCAUGUUGGAAAAAAAAUAGUUUCUAUGAAAUUUGGAGGAUAAUAUAAAAUAAAAUUAACCUCUUUGAAUUAUCAUUUAUAUUUCAUUUUAUCUACUUCAUAUCCUCUGAGAAUUUAUGAGUAGUCUAGCUAAAUAUAUAACAACAGUAGUAUUAAACUGAGAAUGAUAUUCAUUUGGUUAUGCCGUUGUAGUUCUUUCUUAGAAAUGUUAUUUAAUGACUACUAUUUCCAGAAAGCUCUUUGACAAUACUACAAAUCUUUUCAGAUAGGGUUCCAUAAUAAAUAUGGCCUAGAUGACUAUUUAUUCACUGCUGAUACCUCUCAAAGAAAAGAGCAAAUCUGCAUGAUUCAAACCUUUAAAAUAUUUACCCUAAUAGUAGCAGCAGUUCCCAACUUAGCUCAAUCAUUACUUCCACUUUUCAUUUUGUCUCUAUAUUUAUAGACUUUGUAUGGCAUAUGUGAAAAUACAGGUAUAAAGUUAGCAUUUGAUAUAUUAUGAAAGCUAGUAAAGGGGCAUUUAUCAAAAUACAGAUGUGUUUAAAUAAGUUACAUAGAGAUUUCGUGUUGCACCCUAUGCAGCUAACUUUUUUUGCUUAAUUUUUAAAGUUUACUCAUUUAUGAGAGAAAGAGAGAGAGAGAACAGGGAAGGGGCAGAGAGAGAGGGAGACACAGAAUGUGCAGCAGGCUCCAGGCUCCUAGCUGUCAGCACAGAGCCCUUUGUGGGGCUCAAACACACCAACCACGAGAUCAUGACCUGAGCCAAAGUCAGAAGCUCACUGACUGAGCCACCCAGGUGCCCCUACAACUAAUUUUUUAAAAUUAUAGUUGCACUUAAUUACAUGUGGUUGAAAUGUUUAAAAAGAUGUAUCCAUUUUGUACAUUACAAUUUAUUGGUUGGUUGAGUGCACUUUCAUUUAAAAAAAGACACAUUUAUAAUACUUAAAAGGCAAAAGAUUAGAUAGUAAACUAAAUUCAUUCCCUUAAUUAAAAUAUGCCAAAAUGGAUGCCAAGUUUGACCUGCACACCAGUAAUAGCCAACUGCGUUUUAGAAACUCAGUUAAAGAAAAAUAGGCUGUAAGGUAAACAAGUUUUUCAGAAUAGUUGCAUUGUCCGAAUACAUUAGCAACUUGUUCAUCUGUACCUUUCCAUCUUUGCUAUAAGGAAAUAAAACCAUGAAACAGAUACAAAAUGAUUAGGAGAUUAAAGCAGUUUGAACAUAUUUUGGGAAGUUGCUUUAAAAUAAAUAUUAAAGAUUAGAAAAAUCUAUGCAAUGGACAGCUAUAAAAUCAUUAUUUGGACUGCAACCCUAGUAGUUUAAUUAGAAUAUUAUUUUUAUCAGUAAGUGAGUCUCUUUCUACAUUUUUUUUCUCAUGAGUUAUGCUGAGUUAAGUUUUUUCUAUUUAAAUUUAGAUUUAGGUGAAUAGAUCUGUUUCUUUAGAAGAUAUGAUUUCUUUUCAAUUCACAGUAGGGACAAGUGUUUUUAACCAUAAACCAAAUAGAGGUUAAUAUAUCUACAUACAAGAUUAUAAAUUAUAAGAACUUGGUGGAUGUCCAAAUAUAAAAUGUAUUUAAGAAGGGAAAAGACAAUUAUGAAAGAAGAAAUGUAAAUGAGCAAUAAAAUGGUCAACCUUUUAAACAAUGAGAUGUUGUUUUUACCUAUUCUCUGAGACUUUAAAAAAUAAUAGAUCCAUUGAUGGAAAGGUUCGUAUGAACGUUGUAAAAAAUGUUGGUAGGUAUCUACAUGUUUUGGUGGAAAGAAUUAACACAAAUGAAUUUGUAUAAUUUCCUUUCUCUAUACACCUGUAAAUAACCUGAACCAUUUAGGCAUCACCUUUUCAGUCUGUUAAAUUGGGGUAAUAAUAUUUACCUAAUGGAACAAUUGCAUAGAGUGAGAAAAUCAAGCACAAAAUAUUCAUGUAGGAAAUUAUAUUAGUGGUAACCAUGAUAAUGAUGAUAGUUUAUGAUCAUGUCUAUAUUUUCUAGAAAGGACUUUGGUAAUCUUUUUUUUUUAAAUUUUUUUUUUUUUCAACAUUUAUUUAUUUUUGGGACAGAGAGAGAGAGACAGAGCAUGAACGGGGGAGGGGCAGAGAGAGGGAGACACAGAAUCGGAAACAGGCUCCAGGCUCCGAGCCAUCAGCCCAGAGCCCGACGCGGGGCUCGAACUCACGGACCGCGAGAUCGUGACCUGGCUGAAGUCGGACGCUUAACCGACUGCGCCACCCAGGCGCCCCAGGACUUUGGUAAUCUUAAUUCAGAACCCUCAAAAUGUUGAGAUCUUUGGCCCAGUAAUUCUAUUAGUAGGACUUUAACCUAAGGAAAUAACUGUGAAGUUUCUCCCUUUCACACAAAUACCUAUAUGAUCAAAUUUUAUGGUAAAGAUAUAUUGAGUUUAUAAAAAUAUCUAUCAAUAUGAGAACAGUAAAUAUCUCUUUUUUUUUUAUUGAAAGUAACUUUUGUAUAUUGUUAAGGGCCUAAACUAAUUUGGUAUAAAUUUGGGGGAAAAGUGGAUGCUAACCCAUGGGAACAUGCUGACCUUGGUCCUUGGCUUGCACCACCCACUGUCCCUUUGGUUGAGCACAUAUCUCUGGAGCUCUCUUUCUCACACUUUACCCUAGAGAUGGUAUUUCUUUCUCCCUUACUUUCAGAAGCUUCUCAUUUAUUAAGAAAACUUUUUUUUCUUUCCGAAAUGGCUUGAGGUAUGUGUGUAACUACAUUAUUUUUCUCCCCUUUAUCUAAAUAUUUUCUUUUCCAUCAAUUCUUCACAUUUAAUAUAAGUAUGAAUAUUUUUACAUGUUUAGAAAAGUAUAAAACGUAAUGGAAUGAGCAAAUAUCCAAAAUCUGAUUUCAAAAAGUGUUGCUAUUUCCUACGGUUGCUUCACUAGCCAGGCAUAUAUUUACAAUGUAUAUUUACUUUGUAUUAUUGUAUUAUGUAUAUAUUUACACUGUAAAAUGAAUUACAAAUAUCUUGACAUUUCAUUCCCAAAUGCCUCAAGUAUGCAUCUCUCCUGCAAAAAAUUCUCCUAUUUUACCAUAAUACCAUAUCACAGCUAACAAAAUUGAGACAGAUUACCUGAUAUUAUUUAAUGCCAAUUCUACUAUUUAAUGCCAAUUUGAGAAUAUUUAGAUAUUCCAAGUGUCUUUUGUAGCUGAUAUGUUAACACCUGGAGUCAAUCAAAGACCAUACAUUAUUGUAUUAGGAUGUUUAACUUUAAUUUUUUUAAUUUUUAUUUUUUAAAUAUUUAUUUAUUUUGAGAGAGAGAAGGAGAGCAUGAGCUGAGGAGGGGCAGAGAGAGAGGGAGAGAGAGAAUCCCAAGCAGGCUUGGCACUGACAGCAGAGGGCUUGAUCCCACCAAGUGUGACAUCAUGGUCUGAGCCAAAAUCAAGAGUUGGAUGCUCAACUGACUGAGCUGCCCAGGUGCCCAUUUUAGUUUUUAAAUCUCUUUUAAUCUAAAGCAAACACAGCUUCUCUCUCCCUCCCUUUUUCUCUCUCUUUCCCUUUAUGAAAUAGAGUGGUACAUGUUCAGAUUUUUAACUUAGAAUUGAUGUCCUUUUUUGAAGCAUAUUACAUUAUUGUUUUAUAUACCAGCUUCCUUAUUUUAUUCAAUAAAUACAUAUUGAAUGCUGAAUAUAUCUCAGCCUUUGGACACAUUGUAGCUAUGGUUGUGAAAAAGAGAGAAAAAUCCUUUAUUCCAUUUCGUUUAAAUAUGUUUAUUCUUUUUAGAAUGCCACUUACUCACUUAAAAUAGCUGUUUGGAUAUAAAACUUUCAAGGAUUAUAAUUUAUUGAAUUAUAUUGGUGCCCCCCAUCUUAAGUAAAGUACAUCAGUAAAUGCUGAAAAAAAACAUACUAGAUACAUUUUUUAAAAGUUGAAUUGCAUUCCAAACUCUUCCCCCUCUAUUUACAAAAAAAUAGUUUUUGAGUAAGGUUAUGACAUCGGAGUCUAAGGCCAUCAACCAAGGAUGGGUCUGCUGCCCAGGUAAUUAUUUAUGGGGCAAAGAAUAAGAAUUCUGAAGAUCUGUGUCUGGCCUACUCAUAGGUGAAUGGGGGUGGGGAAGGGAACAUCUGUGAAUCUUCUCUAAGUCACAUGAGGAAGACUGGUUAUUCCAGCGAGCCAUUUCCUGAAACACAAAACUUGAGGAGAUUUUUAAACCUUCACUGUUUUCUAGGGGUACAGGAUUCAGGUAAAGUUCAACAUUGUCAUGGUAAUAAGAAUAACUCAUAUAUAUGACUACACUUAAUGCAAGUGGUGGCUGUGUCUGGAAGAAGCAAUGACUUCUCCCUAAAAUUAUAAUUUUACCUUAACAGUAUGGUACAUGCCAGGAAAGCAAUAACAGAGUCCAGCAGAUGUAGUCCUGCUCGGAAGCUGCUGUGUAGACAAGUACAUAAGAUUUUGAAUGGAAGCUUCUUGAACAUACCAAAAAUGAGAACCCAAAAAUGUCUCCUGAGUUAAAACAAAACAAAACAAAACAGAUCUGCAAAGGUGUAGACUUCCUAGGGUUCCUUGGAGAAAAAUCCAGUGAAAAAAUGGAUUAUUACUACAAAAGUGACUUUAUGUUUACAAAGUUUAAAAAAUAGGGGCACCUGGGUGGCUCAGUCAGUUGAGUCCGACUUUGGCUCAGGUCAUGAUCUCAGGGUUCAUGAGUUUCAGCCCCACGUUGGACUCUGUGCUGACAGCUCAGAGCCUAGAGCCUGCUUCAGAUUCUAUGUCUCCCCUCUCUCUCCUCUUCUCCACUUGCACUCUGCUCUCUCUCUGUCUCUUGAAAAUGAAUUAAUGUUAAAAAAAUUUUUUUAAUGACCUAUGGAUUUCCAUAACCUGUGGAAGUAUAGGCUACAGUCAUGUAGAAAAAAUUUACCCUUUACAUGAAACACAUUGACGUUUUGAUCAAGAAAAGAAAAAAAAACCAGAAUAGUUAUUUCAUUUUGGAAUGACUUGAGGUAAAAUGGUACGAUUGAGAUAAUUCAAUUCAUAAAUGGUAAAAUUCCAUUAAACUAUAUUAUCUGUAAUUUUUACAGUAAACAUGUUUUGCUUUUGAUAUUAGGGGGGAAAUACCCAUUAUGUAAACAGAAAUAUUCGAGAUGCCCAAAAAAGUAAAUUUCCUUAGUGAUUUGAGAAAACGACAAAGUGAAAAAUGGCGCACACUAUUUCUCUUCUUUGGUUAAAAUAGGAACUCCAGUAAAAGAUAAUAAGCUUCAGGCUAGUGCUAAGGAGAUAUUACCAUUAAGGAAAAAUGAGUUUCUAAGUAAAUGGGACUAAUCAAGAGCUAGUAAGGUGAGUAUUUUAAGGUCCCAACUGAAAGCAGUCCCUUUUCACAUUUCCACAAAGUUCUGAACCUCCUACUUCAAUAAUUAAAUCUACUUUUCCUCCAGCACCUGCAUUCAACAUUAAUUUAAAAAAUACCCAAUCAAAUGUUACUCUUGAGGUUUUGUUUAAUUAUUAUUAUUGCAAUACUUUGAGAAACUGCUGUAAAGCAAUUUACAUAAUUUAUAUUCAUAUACUGAAAAUAAAGUAGUGACUUUGCUGAAGUGAUUUCUAUUAUCUUUAUGAAAAUGCAAAGUUUUCAGUUAAAUUAUGAAGUUAAAUUGUCUUAUAAAGGUUUGAGUUCAAAACAAUUAUUUUGCCAUUCUCUUCUGGAAAAAAAAAAGUGGAUUCAUAUUUUUUUUAAAGUUUAUUCAUUGUGGGAGAGAGACAGUGUAUGUGCGCAAGCUGGGGGUGGGGUUUAGAGAGAAUUCCAAGCAUGCUCUGUUCUGUCAGCAUGGAGCCCAAUGCAGGGCUCUAUCCCAUGAACCAUGAGAUCAUGACCUCAGCCAAAUCAAGAGUUGGAUACUCAACUGACUCAGCCAUGCAGGUGCCCCAUCACAUUUCUAAUUAAUCAACUUAGAAAAAUUCUUUGGUAAAACUAAAAUUUAGGUUCCUAACAACUGAAAUAGUUCCUAAUACCAUUUGCAUGACAAAUGGUGUUUUUCCUUCUGUAUAGUGUUUCUCCAACUUUUUACUAUAGACACAGAGUGAUCUAUGUACAUAUUUUUAGGUCCCACAAAUUCUUUAUUAAACUUUUUAUUUUAAUUAUAUCUUUUCAUUUUAAAGGUAAUUUAAUCAUCACUUUAUAUAACCAUAUUCACUAUCAUUUAUGUGACCAAGUACAGGUCUAUUAUUUCAUGCCAUGGUUCCCUUUAGCUUUAUGAAUUCAUUGGCUCCGAGUAGCACUUCAAUAAUGACAAGUUAAUUUAAAAAUAUGAGAUAGAAAAGUCACAAAUACAAUGUGUUUGUCCCUCGUGAAGGUCAAAUUGCAGCCACAGAACACUACAGAAACAAAGAUUUGGUGGCACUUUAGAGUGAGGAAAAAGAAAGAAAUUGAAUCAUUGCAUGGGUCAAGGUUGACCACACUUGUGAAACUCAAAGCAUUUUACCAUAGAAGUCAUUUCACAUUCAGAUCAAGGUAGGAAAUUUACUGGUAGCAACAUAACAUGAUCUGUUACCUUAAAUUUAUGUUGUUAAUUUUAAUUUUAGGGGUUUCAUAAUUAUGUUUGCACCUAACUUGUAAAUUCCCUUUGGUUUUACAGUUACAAAUCCCAAGAAUAACUUGGAGUUUAUGCCAAGAUUUAUGUUUUCAAGUACUUAAUUAAUACCAUAAUGUAAUUUAAAUUGAUAUAGAGAUCACCUAGGAUCUUUUUUUUUUUUUAAUGUAAAAUGGGGCCUACACGUUCUUCAAGCUUGAGAAACUGUUCAUUGAAUUAUCUUCUUUCACUUUCAUAUUUGCAGGAUAAAAGAGAAAAGAGAAGAAAAUUCACUGAAUUAGAAGAAUUUUUUUCAAGUUUAUGGUUGAAAUUAUUUGUUGAUACUAUAUCAUCCAUUCGAGACAUUUUAUUAGUAAAUAUUUUUAAAUUUCUCAGUUUUAAUUUCUAACACAGCAAUAUCAAUAAAUAUAAUUCACAUUAAAGAAAGUUCUUUGGAGUCCUCCAUAAAAUUAAGAAUGUAAAAGUACCCAAGAGAGAGAAGUUUGAGGACCACUGCUGUAUGGAUUUGUGACAUUCUAUUUUCUCCUAUUACUAUUUGAUGUUUAUAUAGUUACUAUUUAUUUAAGUUGUAAACUUCUUGAAAAUGAAAAUAAUGUUGUUUCUUUUGUUUGUCAAUGUAUGUAAUACCAUGAUUUGCACCUAAUUGGCACUUAUAAAAUAUUUGGAGAUUGUUGAUUAGUGGGGAUUAAUUAAUUUAUCCCUAUCUUUAUUGAAUUUAAGAUCAGAGUGGAAAUUCAAACCCAGAAUUAUAGUAUACUUUAGAGUUACAGCUGGAAAAUAAAUGUCUGUCCAAAAUUGGAAGAUUUCCUAUUUUAACACUGGAAAAUUAUUUCCCCUUGUUAGAAUAUUCCAACUCCCUCCUGCUUGGUGCUCCAUUUGUUGUGCAGUCAAAAACCAGGACAUAAAAUUGAUGUCUUCCUAAUAAAAAAAAAAGAAAAGAAAAGAAAAACAGUUUUCCUUCAUUUUAAAGUUGAAACGUAUUUUCAAAAUAUGAGUUUUAAAGUAUAUACAUUUAGGUACAACCUGAAAGACACAAAUUAAAUUUAUUCUAAGCGUAGAGAUAAAUAAAAUGGAACUUAAUUUUAGAAAGUAUGUUUAGGCUUUCCAAUGGCUGGAAAACCACCUGUCUUUCUCUUAAGAUCUUGGAUUCUUACCUUUCUCUGUGUGCAUAUAUUCGUGUCUUGUUUCUGUACAUGGCUGCCUGAUUUUAGCUUGUGGCAAAUGAAAGCAUCCCCAAAAUGGGAAUUUUAUACACUGAUAGCUUAACAGGUCAAUCUUGCACAGCUAAGUGACACAGCAUUGUUUUGUCUCCAGUAUAAACUCCCUAGAAAAAAGAACCAAUUGUGUGUUAUCCUCACUGGAUACAAUUGUCUGAGUCUGUGGUGGUAAUAUAUUUGGGUUAGGAGAGGAAGGUUGUUUCAGGUGGAAUAUAAGGUUAACUAUAUGUCCUUUCUGAAGGAAUGUAAAGAAAUAAAUAUAUAGAAAAGGUCGCUAACUUUAGUAAUUGAAAUAACUAAGUCCUUCAAAAGAUGUCAGAUCUUUAGAUAAAGUAAUAGAAAAUCCCUACUGAUUUAUUAAAAAUCCAUUUCAAAAUUAUAUAAACUUUGCUUCAAUGGUCUUAAUAUUAGUUGUCAUGAAGCUUCUGGGAGUUUUGAUCAAAAAUGGAAAUGUUAUAGCUAUAGUAGCAAGUCAUAUAUAAUGCCUGAAUGGCAGUUUAAUUUCUUGCCCUCAAAAAUAACAUUAUAUUCCACAUAGAUAGGUUUAUUGGUUUCAGAAUGAGAUAAAUGGGCCUAUCUUUGAAACAUUAAAAAAAUUAACAUUUAUUCAUUUUUGAGAGACAGAGAGAGACAGAGCGUGAGCAGGAAAGGGGAAGAGAGAGAGGGAGACACAGCAUCUGAAGCAGGCUCCAGGCUCUGAGCUGUCAGCCCAGAGCCCAACGCGGGGCUCAAACCCACCAACCGUGAGAUCAUGAUUUGAGCUGAAGCAGAUGCUUAACCAACUGAGCCACCCAGGUGCCCCAAAACAUUUUUAAAUAUAACUGCAUACUUAACAUAGUGAAACUUUGCAGAAUGCAUGUUUUUAUGAAUUUGCUCUAUCUGUAAAGUAAAGGAAUAUUAAAACAUAAUUUUUCUUUUCUUUAAAGUUUAUUUAUUUGAGAGAGAGUGAGAGCAAGAGAGAGAGCGAGAAGGAGGAGCCUGGAGAGAGCAGAGGGAGAGAGGGAGGAGAAAGAAUUCCAGGCAGGCUCUGUGCACUGACAAUGCACAAACCCGGUGAGAUCAUGACCUGAGCUUAAAUGAAGAAACACUUAACCUACUGAGCCACCCAAGCACUCCAAACAUCAUUAUUUAUAUAAUGCACGUGGGGAUGAAAUUACGUAAUUUUAAAAUAAACUCUUAUUAUCAUUAUAAUACACUUGUAUAGAAAAGGAGUUAUCUGGAAAACACAAGGAUUUGAAGUCAGACCUAGGUCAACAGGCAGAAAGCCUGGUUUGUUUUCCCUUAACUCUGUCCAGAAGUUACAUAAGAGCUAAAAAGAAGCUUAGAGGAAGGCUCAGAAACAAAUGAUUCUACUGCCAGAGGUUGUCACUACAAUAUUCCCUAGGAGUUCAUUAGGUCUGUUAUCCUGAAAUAUAGACAGUGCUAACAAGUUUGGAUCAAUAAACAAAUCCCCAAUAAAGAGAAGUCAACAUAAAUUAAUAUAUAUUUUAAUAAUAUUCUUAAAAAUAUUCAUGAAGAAAAUAUCUAAGUCAAGUUAUUAAAUAUGAAAUUGACUACAAAAUACAUUGAACACUGAUCCUGUUCAGUAUUUAAAACUCCAGCCUCAUAUGCAAAAGGAAUAUAAGAACUAUAUAGUACAGUAUAUAGUAUUUAUAAUAAUUCUUACGUGUGGUUCUCACUGUGUAUUAUUUUUAUUAUAAGUGGUAACGACUACUGUAUGAUAGAGCUUUCUAUUAUGGACUGGUAAAGGGAAGACCUAGGCAUGCCCACUUUCCCUUUUGGGAGAGAGGUUGGGAAGCUGAGUAAAUGACCAAAAGUGCCAUAAAACAGAUUUACAUGAGCGUGGAAAAGCAAGAUAAUCCAUUAUGUUCUUCAUCAACACCAUUCCAAACCAGACGGGUACAAGGUUGACUUUAGCACUAACUUAAAAGAAUUUUAAGGAAUUGCACAUUUGAAUUUGUUUUUAACAAUACAGCCUUUAUUAGGGGAAACAGUUAUAGUGUUUCUGAAAAGAGGAAGAAGAUAAAUCUUUUUACCAAUUACUAGAUACAAGAAGAAAAACAAAACUGUGUGAGGGACACUAAGAAUCAAGCUGGGGUAUAAAGGGAAGGGAGGUUAGCUAAUGGCUUUGAUUAAACUUUACUUGGAUGAAGAGAGGGUAGGACAGGUUUUUCCAAGUACGUGAUGCUCAGUCUAAGAUCUGAAAAUAUGAUAAGUUUUAACUUGCCAAAGUAGGUUGGGUAAGUUGAAAUUUCCUUUGUAAAACCAUUUGCUCUGAGCCUGGAUGAGUAAAAGGCCUUUCUCCGUUUUCUUUGAAUCUCUCAUGCAUAGUCCUGGAUUCCAGGAAAAUUCCAUUUUCAAAUUUGGGGUAUCACCUCCUGUAUAAAUUAAAGUGUAGCUUCCUCUCUGUAGCAAAAAGGCCUACAGAUUUUUAGUAACUUAAAUAAGUAAAAUCAAUUUCUGUCUAAUAGAAUAAUCCUGCCAGUCCAGGCUCUUAGGCAGCUUUGCUCCACAAAGAUAUUCAGGAAUCAGGUUAUUUUCCUCCUGGGAACUAUUGUCCAAUAGUUUGUAUCAUUAUGUACCCGGUCAAAACAGUUGCUUCCACAUCUUCAUUCCAGCACACGUGAGAAGAGGGAAAUGGAUAAAUAUGUUAAGUUGGAGCUGUGGAUGUGCCAUAGCAUGUGACAUACCCAUUCAUACCAUUGACCCAAGCUUAAAGCACAUGUGCACAUUUAGCCAGAAAGUAAACUGAGGAAAUGCAGGUUUUAGUUGGUCGGUCAAAUGUCUAGAUAAGUAUAUUUCUAUGAAAGAAGAAGAGACAAAACACAGGGAGAAAAUCAGUUGUCUGAUUUUCUUCCAUUGCCUUCUAUUCAGGUUGCGCAUGAGACUUCUGUCUUUGGCAUCCUUUCUUUACACAUGUCCUGAUCUUACUUUCAUACCUGGCUCUACUUUCGCUAUCCCGUUAGUGUGUUCCAGUUUUUCAGUUAUUUUCUGAUCCUCACUCCUCAGUUUUGCUCUAAGCCCUUUUAGCCAAAAAUUAUCUUUAGAUCCUUAUCUUAUGCAGGAAUGUGGUGAAUGUGAAGGUCCCAUUUAAGGUACAAAUAAAUUACUGUAGGAAUUCAUAAAGGAUUAUUAUUUAACAGUUAAGUACAUUGGACAGGUUAUCAUGUACACAGGGCAUUUGAUUUGGGUUUUGAGUGUUAUAGUAUUUAGGAGUUCUAUAAUUGAAAAGAAAGUAUGCUUUUAGUUGCAAAGGACAAUGUAUUAAAAGAUGCCAUUCUUAAAAAGUUCAAAGUAAUGCAACUGGGUUGACCUCUUGUGCAUUCAAUAAAUUUUUGUUUGUGCGGAGUAUAUUCUUGCUUUGAUUGCUUGAAUUCAUUCUUGAUGAAAACACCCCAAACUCAGUGUCUAUGUGAAUCUAAUAUACUCCAGGAGGGAGAGGAAUAUUUAAUUUAAAAAAAUGUAAAGUAGGCAAAUUAUAUAGUAGUUUAGGAGACAUGAUAGACUAUAUUGAUCCAUCUAUCUUGCUAAUUAUCUAUCUACUUAUCUUCCUACCCAUCAUCUAUCUACCUAUUGAUACAGUGGCAUAUAUUUGUGACAUGUUAGAUUAUUCAUUUAAGAAGCUAUUUAUUGAAAUCUAACUAUAAAUGCUGGAAAUGGUCAUACAUAAAACUGAUGUUAUCUUCACUCUGUUAGGAUUCAUAAUAGAGCAAGGAAUGUAUAUAUGUUAUGUGUAUAUAUUAUUAUUUUAGUUAUUUACUGAGUAAUUACUAUGGCCAAUCACUGAUCAAAACACUUUAUGUUUGUUUAUUUAUUUAUUUAUUUAUUUAUUAAUGCAAUUUAUUGACCAAGAUACUGCUAUUAUUAACAAUUUUUCUUUUUCUUUUUUUGCCCCAUUUUUCUGAUAAGAAAAUCAAAGCAUUGGUUCAGAAAUUUCAGAUUCCUUGUAUUGGUAUAUUUGUUAUUGUUUUCUUAUUUAUUUUAUUAUUUUUAUUGAAGUAUAAUUGACAUAUAAUAUCCUAUUGGCUUCAGGUGUGCAACAUAAUUGUUUAAUAUUUGUAUACAUAGCAAAAUGAUCACCCCAUAAGUCCAGUUAAUAUCCAUCACCACACAGUUACAAUUUUUUUCUUGCGAUGAGGACUUUUAAGAUUAACUCUUAGCAACUGUCACUGUCAAAUAUGCACUACAGUACUAUUAACUAUAGUCAUGAUGUACAUUACAUCCCAGUGGCUUAAUUAUUUUAUAACUAGAAGUUUCUACCUUUUGACCCCUUCACCUGUUUCUCCCACCCCCCUACUCUCUACCUUUAGCCACCACCAAUCUAUUCUCUGUAUCUUUGAGCUUGGUUUUGGUUGUUGUUGUUGUUGUUAUUUUUUAAAAUUCCACAAAUAAGUUAGAUCAUACAGUAUCUGUCUUUGAUUGAUUUCACUUAGCAUAAUGCUCUCAAGGUCAUAAGUAUUAAGCAAAUAACUGAACUGAACAAAAAAGUGAACAUAUCUUCUUUUCUGUGUAAAUCACAGAUUGCUUUGAGAGUGGCUACCCAAACAAUUUUGGUGUAAAGGAAGACAUUACAAUCUCAAAGAAUAAUUAGUUGAGAGUCCUGAAAAUAAGGAUGGUAAGUGAGUUUCAAGAAUUGAAAGAAAUGCAUCCUGUAUAAAGUAGGGAGAAGGAAUAGAGAGGCACACUCCAAUUGCAGGGCCAGCAAAGUCAAGAAAUCUGUAGUUCUUUAAAGUCAUGAUAACAAGUAGAACCAAUAGGAAUUGCCGACCAUAGGAUGGAGAAAGGGAAAGUGAUAAGCCAAGGAAGUUUAGGACAUUUUUCUCCUUUGAAAUUGAAAGACAUUGGAAUGGGGAAGACUACAGGGGGCAAGUUUUGAAGGGAAGACUCAGCUUCCCUUUUUGACACAUUGUUUGAUACAAUCAGCCAAGUGGGAGGUCUCAAUUGCAUAUUUAGGUAUAGAAGUCUACAACUAAGGCUAGAGGACUGUAUUGGAGAUAUACAUUUGGAAAUUUCAAUGCUUAAUAUUUAAACUAAUGAACUGCAGGGGCACCUGGGUGGCUCAGUUGGUUGAGUCUGACUUCGACUCAGGUCAUGAUCUCAUGGUUCUUGGGUUUGAGCCCCAUGUUGGGCUCUGUGCUGACAGCUCGGAGCCUGGCUCCUGCUUUGGAUUCUAUGUCUACCUCUGUCUCUUCCCCUCACCUGUUCACGCUGUCUCUCAAUCUCUCUCUCUCUCGUUCUCUCGCUCUCUCAAAAAUAAACAUUAAAAAAAGUUAAACUAAUGAACUGGGAUGAGAUUACCAAAGGAAUAAGUGAAUGCAGAAAAACAGAAUAUAGAGUUAUCUUGAGAAAAAAUGUGAAAGUGGACUUGUCCCAAUCUCAGUUCUCAUUAGAGAGCUCACCAUUCCAGAACGUUUGUGAAGCUUUUAGACUGGCUAUUUGAUUUGGGGCUUUGGGACUUGUGUUUAUAAAAAAGGUAUUGUACUCUAUACAUUGAACUGCAAUUUUUUUGGUCUGUAAAUGACAUGAUGAGGAAAGCUUUCUUUUUCAGCAUGUAUAUAAUUCUAUAGUUCUAUUUUUAACUGCUUCAUCUUUUUUAGUGAUAUAGAUGUACCAUGGUUUAUUUAAUCAUCGAUAAUGAUGGAGAAGUUAAUUUAAAUAUUAUAGGUAAUGCUGACUACCAUCUAAUUAAUUUGCAUAUGCUUAGAGGUGAAUAUGAAUUUUCAUGUGAGUUGUUCAUUACCUCAUCUGGUCUCAAUCCUACUUCUAGUCCUACUAAUAUCCAACUAAUAGUAAGAGAAUCUUGCCAUCAUGAUGAGUGGGAUUCUAAUGUUUGUAGAUAAGUUUUUAGUAUCACCAGGGUUUUAAAUUCCAGAGCCCUACUUCAUUUGGUGAUCAGUUGGAUGAAAACCUAUUUCUUAAAAGCUAAAGGAAAGUACAGUGUUUGCAGGACUGACUGAGAGAUGUUAUGUAAACCUUUAAAUGAAACUUGCCUUGAGAUUUUUCACAAAUAAUGCUCUUAUUAUUUAAUAUUCACCUCAUGUGUUUCUCUUAAAACUCGAGCCCUGUAUAAAAUGCCACAUCACUCUGCAAGUAAUGGUGGGACAGACUUCCUGAGUGCACACCGUAUAUCUUAGUGCACGAAGCCAUAAUUCUGUGGGCUAUAUUUCUAAAAGUGGAAAUGCUGUGUCUAAGGGUUCACAAGGUUUUAAUUCUCCUCAUACUCCCAAACCAUCCUCUGGAGGCUGGAGGGUUUAUCCUCUUCCCAGCAUCUGAAUAGAGUUCCACUUUCCCCACUCUUGAUAAUAUGGAUGUUAUCAAUCUUUUAAAUUUUUGCAAAUAUCAUCCUUAUGGUUUUAAAUGCCAUUACUCUGGUUACUUUGAGAUUGAAUACCUUUACAUAUUGUUACUUCCGUUUAUAUAUUUUUAAAAUUUAUACGCAUAUAUUUGUCUCAUUUCAGUUGUGCUUUAAUUUCCUUUGAAGUGAUUUAAGCUGCCCUUUGUAUUUAAUCCAUAUUAAUUCUCUAUUUCAUGUACUAAAGCACUUCCACCAAGUCUGCACUUACUCAUAUUUUAAGUUAUUUAUGGUAUUGCUUAUUAGAAAGAGCUCUUAUUUUGUGAGUGACUCUGGGUGCCUUGUGAACUCUGUGUGUGUAUAUGUAUGUGUGUGUUUAAUGAAAAUAUUGUUAUUAUUUAUUUAUGGAUUUAUUAUUUUUAUUUUAUUUUUUUUUUUUUUAAAUUUUUUUUUUUUCAACGUUUAUUUAUUUUUGGGACAGAGAGAGACAGAGCAUGAACGGGGGAGGGGCAGAGAGAGAGGGAGACACAGAAUCGGAAACAGGCUCCAGGCUCUGAGCCAUCAGCCCAGAGCCUGACGCGGGGCUCGAACUCACGGACCGCGAGAUCGUGACCUGGCUGAAGUCGGACGCUUAACCGACUGCGCCACCCAGGCGCCCCUAUUAUUUUUAUUUUUGAUUCUAUAUCUUGCUUAGAGGUCUGCUAGGUACAUGAAAUGAGUUUGAGAGUUUACUGAUAUUUUCUGCAUACUGUCAUACUUUGAAAAAUAUUAAGACUUAUUUCCUGAAAUUUUCAUAGCCACACCCUUAAAACCAUGUGGGAAGGGUGAAUUUAGGGGUUCCCUUUGCAGGGGUUCUUUCUGAGCUUCAGCCAGAAUACUUUACCGAGCCUUCCUUUGAGUUUGUGUUGUUCUAGACCAUUUGCUCACUCUCAGCAUCCUUUUCUUUUUUUUUUAUAUAUCACAGCGAGAGAGAAAUAUUGAGUUCCUGCCAUCUACACUCUCUGUAGUUGGCAAGACUUUUCUAGUCCAGGCCAAGACAUUUUUGCUUCUUACCUCAACUACUCAGCUUCCCUCUGAAUUAGAAUUUAGUCUUGAGAAUUAAAACAAAAAAAAAUUCACUAUUCACUUCUCUUUCUUUUUUUCAGCUUCUAGAGAGAUGAUUAGGAGAUGUACUUAAGGGGACAAUGUAGUGGUUUAAAUUGAGGCAAACUGCCAGGAUAUCAGUUGUGACUGGGACACUAAUUAGAUUUUCAACCCCAAAGUUAUGUAAUGUCACUGAAUCUUGAUUUCCUAAUCUGGUUUUUUGUUUGUUUUGAGAGAGAGAGAACGAGAAAGAGCAUGUAUGCCCAUGUGCAUGCAUGAGCAGGGGAGGGGCAGAGGGAAAGAGAGAGAGAAUCUCAAGCAGGCUCCAUGCUCAGUGCAGAGCCAGGUGAAGGCUCUAUCUCAAGAUCUUGAGACCAUGACCUGAGCUGAAAUCAAGAAUCAGAUGCUCAACUGACUGAGCCACCCAGGAGCCCCAAUUUCCUAAUCUAUUAAGGGGAUAAGACUUCCAACCUCAUUAGGUUGUCACAAGCUAUAAAUGAGUAAAUAUUUGUAAUGUCCUCAGAAUAGUGCUUUCCCUAUAGGAAGUGCUAAGUAUUACCUAAUGUUACAGUUAUUUAACAAGGGAGUAUAAGGUUGAGUGAGGAUAAAUCAUUGCAGCCAUAUGUUAUGUGUGGCACAUAUAAAUCUUAACUCUCAAACUUAUGUUUGUAGAAAUAUAUACAUUAUAAAAUAAAAUAUUUAAAUGUUAUUUUCUAUAACUUAACUGCAUUUUCAUAUUCUUUUACUUACAUACGUAUUCUUUUACUUAACAUACAUAAAUUAAAAAAGCAAAGUAUACAUGUACAGUUCAAAAAACACUAUAACAAAGAAAUCACAUGUGUAACUACAACAUAUCAGGCAAUAGCAUAUUGCUGACAGUGCAAAAGCUUCUUUAUGCCUUUUUCCAAUUGCUACCCACUUUUGCCUCUACCUCACAGAUUUAUUUUGACUUCUAACCCUGUAGUCCAGUCUUGCAUGUUUUUGAAUUUUAAAUAAUAGGAAUAUAGGGCAUGCAUUCUUUUCUGUCUGGCUUGUUUCACUCAACACUAUGUUUGGCCCAGUCUUGGGUAAAGCAAGGUGAUGAAUGAUGUCCAACUCUCCAAAAUGUGCCUCAGUUUCUACACAUGGGAUGGAAGUGAGCUAGGGAGAAGUGCCACCUUCAAGGAAGAAGACAAACCAUCCAAGCUUUUAAUGACAGCACAGGCACUGUUUGAAUCAGUAAAUGAGAGUCUCCAAUGUAAAAAUAAAUUGCCUGCACCAAUAAUUAUUUUCACCUACACUACCUCAUUUUUCCCCAGACUGGAUUUCUACUUUAAUCUCUUAUUUUUUCCCAGAUAAAUUAUUUCAGUAAAUUCAGGAUUUCUUCUUUCAUUCCCCAGAGCAGUUGCUAUGUUCAAGGGAUUUACGUAGCUCCAAACGCAUGAGGAUAAGGGAUGGAGUGAAAGAGUAUAAUCUAUUGUCACCUGCUGCACAAACAUUGCUUUUAUAUCAGCCCUGACUUCUGGAAAUGGAUAGUUUUGGCUUUUGGAAAUUCAAAGGCGGAGACUUGUAGACAAAUUUAAUAACUCUUCUGUCAUGCCCAUACCUGAGACAGAAAGAAAUCAUUUACUAUUUCAAAAGCAUUAUUCUAUUAUAUGUAUUUUAAUAACUAGUGAGAGCCUGUAAUCAUCCUUCAUAGCACCUAUUUUUCAAAAAUAAUUUUGACUAUUUCCACUUGCUUCUUCCAGAUGAUCUUUAGAAUAAUGCUGUAAAGAUCCAUUGUGACUGUUCUCUGUAAAAGAUGGGUGUUGUUCACUGCAAGACACUUUUUUUUUUCUUUUUCUUUUUUUACUAAGCCACACAAUAAGACGGUAUGAAUUUGGUUAGAGGAAGAUUUUAGGACACAGCAAAAUGUUUUGUGAAUUUUUACCGUUCCUAAUUCUUACUGGAUUUUUGGAUGUUUUUGUUUCCUCUAAUCCUGCAGAGUUGGAUUGGAUUUCUGUGAAUGCUUAGGAGCUAUCUGUAAAGACUUGCUCUCACUGUCUACGGGAGCCAGUGCAGGAGACCAGCUGUUGGGGAGAUGGGCAAGGGGGUGCUCAUGGCCAUUUGGGGGAGAUCUGCAGGCAAAGUGUUCCAAGCUGUUAUGGGCAGGCCUCCUGAUGGAGUUUGCACAGCAGUUAGUAAGAUCCACGGCCCUUUAAUGAAUUCUGAGUCCUGGCUACUGUGCUCCCAGCUUUUGCCAAACUCUCAGCCCAUGCCCAUCACAUUAAUAUUCUUGUGGGGCUCCAAAAAAGUAGGUCUUCUGGGCAAUGUCCCAUACAGCUGGGGAAGUCAGGCACUCCUUACGUUUACUUUCCCCGUGACAAAAAUUCUGGCCUUAGGGAGUGUCUCUUGGACUUAAGCUGUGCUGCUAUUGUUAGUGUAAAGUAGAUAAAGUGAAACUGUGCUUUUAAUGCUCUUUAAUGCAUCUAUUCUCAGAUUUUAUAACCUAGUGGUGGUGACCCAGAACUUCUUCACUGGACUCGCAGAUUCUCACAAAGGUAUUCUUGUCCAUGCGUGGUUGUCAGAGUCAGUAUUCUGUCGAUGGUAUGAUGGUAGAUGAUGAUGAUGAUGAUGAUGGUAGAAAACUCAUAUUUGGCCCUCUUGCUAAUGCCAGUCCAUGAAUCAGAUUCUGAUGUUUUAAAAUUCCUCAAUUGCAAUUGCAUAUGAAAUUAUUAAUACUUCAGAUUAGGUCAUGACAUGCAGAAUUAUUCUUUCCUAUGGGUUGUAACAUUUAUCAUCCAAAAUAUCCUAUCACAUGUCAGUUUUCUUCUCUGGUUUGUAUCUUACUGAAGCUACCCCUCCUAACUCAGCUACCGAAUAAACAAACUAGGAGUCAUUCUAGAUUAGAUUCUUUCUUUCUUCAGUAUCCAUGCCAAUUUUGUCUCCUAAAUGGUUCUUAAAUAAAAGCAUAGACCCUCAGCAUGUCUUUCCUGGAUUAGAGAUUCAAUCUCUUGAUUCGACCUCUUUUCUCAUGUUCUGACAACUUCAAACUUGUUUUCUCACCUUUGGCCAGGCUACCUCAACCUAUCGUGCUGCUCAAUAGCUAAGAUAUGCUUUUUAAAACCUACUGAUAAAGAUCCCUCUUCCUCAUGUCCCCAUGCUUCACAAAGGGGUUACAGAUGUGGUUAGAUAUUGAUGUCCUCCCCUCUCAAGGCCACAACAAGAGGACCAUGACUUCUGUAGUGCCUCCAGCCAGAAGCAACAUGCUUACCUUAUUUCAUCAUGUGAACCUGCUCAUUUUCUAUGUAUUACUAGACAUGAAUAAAUGUGGAAAGCUCUAAACCAAAAUAGUGAAAGACCUUUCAGUCAAUGACAUAUAAGUGCUUCCAUACACAGCUACACCAUAGAAUGUGCUUCUACAAAAUUUUAAAAGCAUAUCCCUUACCUCUCAGUAGACAAUUUUAAUAAGUUACCCCAAGUGGACAGCAGGCUCACCUAAUGGUAUCUGUGUGCUUAAAAAAAAAAAAAAGAAGUUGCUCCUUUGCAAUAGAUGCAGCCUUGUGUCAGAUUGCAAUACUCACGGGCCAGUUUCAUGGUGUGACCCUGAACAGUGGGCCCACAUCCAUUUCCUCAUGUCUCAGUAUCUCCUGCCUUCUUUUGAAGUAUUUGUCAUCUUGUUUCACAAAUAAUACCUUUACUCUUCCUGUCAUCACCAAUUUGGGAAACCCUGUCUACUCUCUCUUCUUUAGUAAUUUUUUAUUUCCCCUUAUGUGUGCAAUUCAACUAUUACUUUUUGAACCUAUAGUUUUGUUUCCACUGAAUGUAUUGUAUACCACUAUCACAGUCAUUAUCACACCAUUUUCUGUUUCUAGUGUUUGUCUUUUCCAAGGUACAAAAACUCCAUAAAGUUAGAUUACUUCUUUCCAGAAAUUAUACUCCCAGGGAUCUACCUAGGAGUAAUAAAAACAUACAUCCACACCAAGACUUGCACAGAAAUGUUCUUACUGGCAUUAUUCAUAAUAGCCAGUGAGUGAAAAUAACCCAACUGUCCAGCAUUGUUGAAUGGGUAAACAAAAUGUGUUAUAACCAUAUCAUAAAACAAUAUUCAACUAUGAAAUAACAAACUAUGGAUACAUGCUACAAUAUGAGUGAAUAUCAAAAACAUGCACAGUGAAAGAAGCCAUAUACAAGAAAGUACGUAUUGUUUUAUUCUAUUUAUUUUAAAUGUCUAGAAGAGUCAAAUAUUUAAUGGCUGAAAGUAGAUUAGUGAUUGGCUGGAACAGGGUAGAGGAAAAUCAACAGUAAAAAUGCAUAGAUUUAUUCAAGGGUAUGAAAAUAUUCUAAACCUGAUUUAGGGUGCUGGUUGUAUAACUUGGUAAAUUUACUAUAAUAUCCUUGAAUCAUAUAGCUGAGAGGGGAUGGAUUAUAUGAUAUGUGAACUAUAUGAUAUGUGAGGAAAUUAUUCCUCAAUAAAGUUAUUUUAAUAACUUAGAUUUUUAUCUUUAUUCAUCUUUAGUUUAAAUUACAAACCCACUAUGUGGCCCCCACAAUUUUUGGAUGCCUUCAGUCUCCCAGCUAUUCAGCUUUUCCCUGCUUUCCUAGUUAUUACAUCUGUAUUUAUAAUGAGAAGAUAGAAGCUUUAUCUCCAAUUGGAAAAAUUUUAGUUGAUAACACUAUCAUCCAUGACUCUGAGUUCCAUACAAUAUUUUAUUUACUGUUCAGUAUGCAUUUUGCAUUUUCCCAUAGUACUUUCUGCUGAAAAUAAGUUGAGAUAAUUCCUGAAACAAAAGUUCUGUAAUGAAAUAAAAUUCUGUGAAAUUGCAUGCUAUUGGACUCUCUUGAAAAAUGCAUAAUAAAGACGUUAUUAUACAGUUUUAGGAAUCUUGACUUAAGAACACUGUUUAAGUUUGUGUUGGUCUGCUAAUGCUAUGAUAAUGCUACAUUUUUUAAGCCAAAUUUCGGGGUGCCUGGGUAGUUAAGCAUUGUACUCUUGAUUUCAGCUCAGGUCAUAAUCUCACAAUUGUAGGAUCGAGCCCCAUGUCAGGCUCUGCACUGAGCAUGGAACCUGCUUACGAUUCUCUUUCUCUCUCUCUCUCUCUCUCUCUCUCUCCCUUUGCCUUUGCCCCAUCCCUGUUCAUGCUCUUUCUCUUUCUCUCUCAAAAAAAAAAAGCCAAUAACUAUGUAUUUCUCACUCACAACUCUUAGGGUCAGUUAGAUGUGAGUCUAGUCACUUCAAGUGUCAUUCUUUCUGGGACCCAAGAAAGGAGCAGAAUGUGAUCAGAGUAGGGUCUUUUCAAGGUGAAUGACAGGAGACAAGAGGCCAUGCUAAACCACACAGACACAUAUAAAAACCUCUGCUUGGAUGUGGUAUAUGUUGUACUCAUCAAUCAGAGCCCAGAAUCAAUGGUCUGAGGAAAUAUUCUUUAUCCAUAGUGAAGUCAUAGCAAGGGAGGGAAUGGAAGGAAGAUCUGUGACCUGAUAAACAGAGUUUUCUUAACUUAUAAAUAGAACUCACUCCCCUACAUGUUCACAACAAAUUUAGAAUCCCAGAUUAAAGGGCCAUAUACUGAGGACAAUGACGAUGUGAAAUUGAAAUUUUUAGCUCUGGCUACAUAUUAAAAGCACCGGAAGUGUUUUUUCAUUUCUUUUCUUUCUUUCUUUCUUUCUUUCUUUCUUUCUUUCUUUCUUUCUUUCUUUCUUUCUUUCUUUCUUUCUUUCUUUCUUUCUUUCUUUCUUUAAAUGAUGCUGAGACUCAAUGUAGACCAGUUGAAGCAGAAUCUUUGGCCGGGGAAUAGGGGGUGGGGGUUGGGUAUCAGGCAUCGGUACUUAAAAAUUGCCUUCAUUUGAUCCCAGAAAACGUUGAGAACCAUUGAUGUAGUGAAAUGUAAUAUGGCAGAAUAUUUUCAUAUUCUUUAUCUGAACUUUUCUAAUUAGAUUUCAGUAUUUAUUAUCUCUAACCUUAAGUCCAUUUUACUUUAGGCAUAUAUGAAGGUUAGUCUUCUAGUUACAGAAGGAGUACUUAUCCUUAAAGUUUAGGCUUUAUUCUAGUCUUGUGGCCUUAUCAGGAUUCUAAAUUCUAUUUUCCUGAGGGUGAGUCUAUAAAGAACAGCAGAUUAUAAUUCUCUUGUGUGAUUUUUAGUCUCCUAUCUUUCUCUGUACAUUCUUCUAUUGGAGAGAAAAUAUAUUUUGAGUUACAGAUACAUUAUGAUUAACUAUUAUGUCUUCCAGGAGGAAGAGAAAGCACAAUAUGGUCUCAAUGUUCUAUAUUUGCAUAGUUUUUAAAAUGCAUAGCUAAGUAAUUGCAACAUUGUCUUAGAAAUGUCACAGGGUAUUAAAUCUUUCUGGCCUCGAACAUUUCAGUCACUCUAUAGAUGACUCUUAUUUUUACCAUAAACUAAGUAUCUGUUAUUUGCUAUGAAUCAUUUGUAUUGCUUUUUAAAUUAGUUUUCAAAUACUUUGAAUAUAAAACACUAUUUUAUAACUUAUAUUAAAUGAGUUAGAAACAUUCCAUUUAUAUUUUCAUUUUAUUCAUAUUUACAAUUUGAAAUUCUUGAGUAUAUGUAACACGGCAAUUCGGAGUAUGGAAUAAGAAAGGAAUGAAGAAAUCUAAAUCAUAUCAGGUCAUAUUAGCAGUAAAAAGGCAAGAAUCAAUACAAAAGAAAAGCAUAGUACAUAAACCAGGAUAAAGUAAUCAAUAGCUGUGGAUUAUAGUAUACAAUUGCAGGUGAUUACAGGAAAAUCCACUUGAGUUACAUAGUGAUACUAAAGAGGUAUAACAAAUAUUCAUUGCAAAUUUUCUUCAAACAAAGGACAAAGGAAAUCCCAAACAAUAAUGGCAAAGUUUAAAAUAAGACUGUUGACAAGAGAAAAUAAUAUUGAAAUUACAUAAAUUUCUGAAGCAAUUUAGAAAACAAUUUUUGGAAAUGGUUUUGCUUUCGAGCCACCAGAGAAAAAAAACUAUCUGGGUCCUAAAACACAUCACAGGGCUAAAUUAGAUAAUAUUCAUUAAGUAUUACUUUGGAGGGAAUUAGUGUGGGUUAUUCCUGUUAUUUCUACAUUAAAAAAAAUCACCACAGAAUUAGUGGAUUAAAACAAUGGUAAUUGUCUUCUCUUUCAUGAUCCUGGAAGGAGAUUGGUCUCAGUUGGGUGGUUUUUAGGGUGUUGCUUGUGGUGCCAGUCAGAUGGUGAUUAGGUCUGGAUUGUCUCAAGGACUUCUCUCUUGUACCUCUGCCUGGCCUAGUUUUCCUCACACCAUGGUAGCUGAGUUUCUAGAAUAAGUAUACUAAGAGGGCCAGCCUGAAGAUGUAUCCUCCAUAAUGAACUAGCUUUGAAAGUCAUAUGAUAGCACUUACACUGUAGUACAGAGACUCCAAUAGUGGAUGUGUAGAGCCCAUAUGUCAAGGUUACACUGUAAAGGCAGGUAGGGUGAAGAUUUGGUUACCACCAUCUUGGAACUACAAUCUGCCCUGGGGGAUCUUAAUUUUCAUUUAAAUUUCACUUCGUUGUGGGCAAUGGAAUUUUACUCACCCUGCUUACGUAAUGCAAACAUUGCAAUUUACCCCUCAAAAUAAUUGUAAUAUGGAGGCUGAAGUUUUGGGUGUUUAUAGGAUAUGAAUUAGUGAGGGUAUUCCAAGAGUUUACCUCACUGUUAAAGGUAUAAGACAGGUAGUCACCUGUGUGACUGAACACAUAUUUCUUUCCCUCUCAUUCAUUACAAUUCAUCCUUGGUCUUUUAAUUCCUCUGAAAUUCCAAGCUGGUCUUCACUUUGUAGUCUGUUUAUUUGGUUCAUCUUAUGCUUUGCACAGGUAGCUUCUCAUAUUUUAGCUCUCCACUCACAAAUCAGGCCUUCUAAGGCCAGCAUCUGGCAACCUCUUCCCCAGGAACUCUUCACUUUUUAUUAUAUUACCAUGUUUCCUCAAUUUUGUCUACACCCUACCUUCACUUUUGCAUUGGAUGAAAAUCUCAAUGAAGGUAGCUUAUCACGUUCAUGCUAGUGCCUGCCACAGAGAAAGCUUCUGAAAAAGGAGGAAAAGAAACAAUGAAUGGCUAAAUUGACUUUGCGUGAAUGCUUUAGUCAGCUUCUUCCGGGGGGCCAUCUCUGCCUUUCUUAAAUAGUCAUAAAUCAGACACCCUGAAGCCUUGGGGCAUGUCUUCCUAUCCUGUUAUUCUGAAGUCACACAGAAAAUGAUUAAUUCUUCCGCACAUCAGACAGUACUUCAAAUUUGAAUACAGCUUCCCUUCUCAUUUAUUUCUUCACUUGAAAGAUUGUGUAUGCUUUUAAAUACUUUUAAUGUGACAGGUUUCUAAUCCUCUUGUCAUCUUUGACACAUUUCUCUGGAGGUUUUUUAGUUUUCAAAUGACCCUUUGAAAGUGUAUGCUUCCAGUAGAACAUAAUACCUGAGGUAAUGUCUCACCAGCUGAGGAUAUAAUAGGACAGCACUUUCUUUGUGAGGGCUUCUAUAUUAUUAUUGUUGCAGAAUAAAAUGUUUUGCUUCUUCUGAAGAAACAUGUUUCACAAAAAAAUUAAAUGUUUAUUUCCAUCUUUAAUUGUAUAAUUUUUGCCAGAGUGAAAAUCAGAGGCCCUUACUUUGUCAAGUGUCAAGUAUUAAAAAUUUUAGGGCCUCUUAAAGCUGACAUUUAAGAACCAAGAAAACAAAAGUUAUUCUAAAUAGGCUACGCUUCUAAAAUAAAUCCAGAGGAUUGACACAAAAUGAGAUCAUGCUGUUUUCACAUCCGAGAUCAAAAGAAGCUUCCAAAUAAUUCAUAAGACUUCUGCUUUAAUGCCAUAUGGCUGGCAUCUCUGAAAUAUCCAGCCUGAACUUCCUAUUUAAAAACAGUAAGGACCUUCAAAAAACAGAAGAACAUAGCAAAACCUAAAAUCAAUUAACAACCAAUUGUUAGAAUUAAUCAAAGUUGCAAUUAUUUGGCUUCUAUGGUUGGGUGAAGGUUCUCAUCUCUCAUAGGCCUAUUCAGAUUUUGACUCUAAAUUCUGUAAUCUGUAGAAGUUGUUUAGCAGCAUCAGUACUGUGGUUAGACUUACUAGAUUCAAACCAAAGGAUCAUCAUUUAUUACCUUACUGAUUUUGAGGUAAGUUUCCUUAUCUGUGAAAGAAAUGUAUUAAUAUAAUCAAAUUAGAAAUGAAUAUAAAGUACUUGAUAUGUAUGCAAUGCAUAGGACUCACUAAGCGUAAAGCUAGUGCUCAGCUAAAGGGGCUAAUACUAGUCAAGUUCUUAUUAUGAAAGAACAUUUCCAUUUGCUUAAGACUAUUGAGACAUAUAAUCCCUUUCUCAAUGUUUUCUCUAUUGGCUAAGAAACCCACAUUUGUAGCACCAGAAUAUUGAAGUUCUCUUGCUCCAGUGCUAAGAAUUUACCUUUGGAGAAAUCUGGGGUUACCAUCUCCACCAGCAUCACCACCACCACUAUUGUGCCUCAAACCCCUUAUCUCUCCAGUAGCCCCUUAUUACUUAAGGUGUUGUCUGCAGACUGUCAGCUUGAGUAUCACCUGGAGUUAGUUAGAAUUCAGAAUGUAGGCCCUUUCCUGGAUCUACUAAUUCAGAAUCUGCAUUUUAAGAAGACCUCAAGUUUAUUCAUAUGCUUAUCAAUAUGUAAGAACUGUUACACAUUUAUUGGAGGACUGCAACUCCCAGCAAAAGACUGGCCAAAGGAAAAGAUGAGAGUAUAAAAUAGGAUCUUCAGAAUCUACUAGUAAAUCCAGGUGCGCUGGUUUGGAGUCAAAAGCAAGUGAUACACUCUGGAAUUUAAAGGUUUUCAUCUAUUUUUUUCUGUACACAGUUGGAUAUACACAAGGGAAUGCAGAAGGGAUUAAUGGUCCAGUGUUUGGGGCUAGAAACAGAAUAUAUCAAUUGACCUCCAGCUCCAGAUACAGGAAGAGGAUUUGAACUGAAACCAAUUAGAUGGGAAAUAGAAAGAAAGGACAUUGGAAAGUACUGUUUGUAUUUUUUUUUAAAUCCUUGGAUACAUUUCUCACAACAAAUGAAACAUUUAAAAAAAAUAACUGGAAGGGAGCCUGAAACACAGGAGAUAACAAAUAAAUAUACGUUGAAAUCAGCUAAAAAGUGAAAAUAGAGUGAAAAUUACAAAGAACAAGAUGGUCUUGCCGGCUUUAGGAGCUCUGUUUGGUGGCAAUGACAAUUAUAUCAGGAUGCCACGAGUGCAGUGCCGUGAGUGUGGGACUAGAAGUUUGCACAGGGCACAGGAGAACUCUUAGAGGCGCCUCAUCCAACUUUCAUGCAUAUGUGACAGGGAUUUUUGUAAAAGACAGCAGCUCACCUGAAUUUCAAAGGAACAAUUGGUGUUUCUGGGGAUGGAAGGGAAAGUAAUGACAUUCCAGAAAAAUCAAUGUAGCCUUUCCUGUGAGUCACAUAUGAUCAGGAAGCUGCAGGAGAUGCCCUUGUAGAAGUAGAGUCUACAGCACAGAGGUUCCUGCAUGCUAUCCUGAAGAGCGUUUGUAUAAUGCGGUGGGAGGAGAGGUAGUUUUAAAUGAGACUUUGAAAGGGAAACAUGUGGAUGCAUUUUUGUUUUGGAUAAUAAUGAUAAUAAGAACAUCUAACAACUGUAUUGUGUACUGCCAGUGUAUCAAGUAUGAGAUAUGUGUGUUUGUGUGUAUUUUUGUAUUGUCUUUUUUUAUUUUAAUAAAAUAAAACCCUAUGUAUUAGGAGUUAUAAUUAUUCUCAUUUCAGAGGUGAGAAAGUAUGAGCUUAGGAAAGUUAAUAUAUAUAUGUUGUUUAAAAAAUGGGGCUUUAGCAGGGUCAGAACACUGGGAAAGACCACAGAUCGGAUCAUUUUUUUCAUCCUUUUCAUGGUUGAAAACACAUCAUCAAUGAAAAUGAAUUUCUUUAUAUAUUUUUGCCUCUGACUUCACCAUGGCUUACCUUCAGUUCUCAGGAGAAGGAAAAAGCAAAUAAAAUAAGUGAUAAAAUAAGUGUGUGUGUGAUCUUCUGUGUGAUAAAAUAAGUGACCUCCAGAAAUGUAAGGCAGUAGGUGUAAAGAGAGAGAUUGAGACUUUAUUAAUGCAUAGUCAACACAAGCAAAGUGCAAAAACAUAUCCUGGCCUUGCUGAACAGAAUAUUUGGUCUUUAGGAUAUGAUGUAAUAGUAGUGAAGAUCUUCAACAGUAUUCAAACCAACCAUUUCUGUGUCACAAAACUUGUCCAGUCUGAAUUCUCCAUUGUCCUCCAUAUCUGGGGCAAAGAAUUCAGCCUGGGUUCUCAAUUUACCAUCCUCAGGGGAAUUUUACCCACUUUUCUGUUAUUCUUGAUCUGUUUUCCUUAUGCCAAUUCUUUCUUGGUUUACUGUCUUACUUGAAGAACACAUCUUCUGAAAAUAUUUAAAAUUGCUCCUUGGGAGAAAAAUGUACUGAGAUCUUCCAUGUCUGAAAAUAUUCUUAUUCUAUCCUCAUAUAUCAUUUUCUGGGUAUAAUAUUUUGGAGUUGGAAAUCACUUUCCAUCAAAGUAUUUUAGCUAUCGCUCCACUGACUUCUUGCUUCCAGUUACUAUUGAGAAAUCUCAAGUCAUUCUGAGCUGAUCCUUCUAUGUGACCUUUAGCACUUUUCUCAGGAAGCUUCUCAAAUCUUCUCGUGCAUAGUGCUCUGAUAUUCCACAGUCUUGUGCUUUCUGCAGUGAAAUCUGUUGGUUUACUUUCAUCAACUUUGGUUAUCACUUAGGAAUAGCUUUCAGUCUGACAGUGUGUGCAUUCUUUGGUUUGGGGAAAUUUGUUUACGAAUUUCUCUAUUCUAUUUUCCAUGUAAUCCGUUUAUGGAGGUGCUAAAACCUGGAUGCAGGAUUAUCUGGUCGAAUCCUCUAAUAUAAUUUUUUAAUCUCAUACUCUUCAUCUCUUUGUUCAAUUUUCUUUAAUAUUUCAACUUUAUUAUUGACGCUGCUUUUUUUUUCAUUUCUAUUACUGUGUUUUAAAUCCCAAAAGUUUGUUUUCUUAUUUCUUGAAAUAUUUCUUAUAUUAUGAUAUCUGGGUUGCACUCUCUUUUCUUACAUUUCUGAAGAUAUUUACAACAUAUUUUAAAUUCCUGCAUAAUUUCUGUGUCCCCCAAUAGGCUUCCUUUCUGUUGAUUUUCUCUUUUUCUGUCAGGUUAGAGGUUUUCCUCAGAUAUCCAAUAGUUCUUAAUUUCAGCUUUUAUUUAGGAAUAAAAUUCUGAACACAGGUUGAAGCGUGAUAAGCUUGGAAUUUACUGUCGGCUGAUCUGAGUGGAGUGUUUAAUGGGUCAUUUCUCAUUCUAGCAUAUUUGAGUCUUUCUUCUCGACUGAUCGAUGUUUGCGUAAAAGAGUGUUCCCAACUCUUGUUCGGAGAGUGAUGUAUAGCUUCCAGUAUUCUGAAAGAACAGAGACGUAGAAGAAUCAGAAGUUUCAGCAUUCAGCAUUCAAGUUUUUUACUCUAUAGUGGUACCCAAUGUUCAGUUAUUCCAGGAAUCAUCAGUUUCAGAACAAUCUGUGUUACUCUUUGGAGGAGAAUUGAGUGGUAAGCAGUAGUGGAGGUCGGCUUUUAAAUGCUUCUCACACUUUUUCCCCCACCCAUUUCUUAUUUUAGUCACAUCCCUUCACCAUGAGGUGAGGCUAGGAUGUGCUAUUUCACUUUCUAGAACAAGACCUCUCAACAUCAAAUCUGUUACUGUGCAUAAUAGAAGCUAAUAUGUUCUUUCGGGGUUGAUGUUUACUAGAAAAAUUGUUUGGUUGACAGGAAUACAUUCAUAAUUAUGCAUAUGGAUUUAAAUUUGUAACAAUUUCACAUGUAUACUACCUAACUUUCUCUUUUUUACUUUAGAGAAAUCUAAUAAAGUUUCUAUUUUAUAGAAAAUGAAUACACAAAUGGCAGUAUAUUUGUAAAGCUAUGGAAACGAUAGCAAUCUAGAGACAUGCUGAUUUUUUAUGAAUUAGUGUAAUUAGAACUAUGAAAGACACUAAGAAGUAUAAUAUUGACUAAAGUGUGAAAAUGAUACUUUGGUUAAUACCAAAGUCGUCUCUGUCAUUAAUAUCGAGAAUUGUGAAAGUGAAAUUGUGGAGACGUUUAAAGUUCAAGUGUACUAACAAAUAGUCAAUAUUACAACGGUGCAAUUAUAGAACCUAGCAUGAUUCAGAGUUUUUAAUUUAUAAAACAAACUAUAAAUAAAACAGGGUGUAAGGGAGUAUUUAAAGAAACAAAGAAAAUGCUGUUUUACACUAAAUUUUAAGUGACACAGAUUGCUGAUUAAACAGAAGACCCUGAAAGUUAUCAUUAGAGGUGGCAGACAAUGUUCUCCUAUAAGCAAUCGUUGUGACAUUGUGCAACGGGGCAGAUGAAUAGGGAGUGAAAUUAAAUGAGAUUGCACAUCUCUCUGUAUGUUUCAGAGAGAUAGGCAUUUUAAACUGGAUCAUGAAAUGGAUUGGGAGCUAAAAGGAAAUCGGAGAUAAAUGAGAAGGCAAGCAUGAGAUUUAGUGUAAUACGGAUUCGAACAAAAGGCUCCUGCACAAUUUAGAAAACGGGAAGUUGAGAUCUGUCCAUGUUACUUCAGAGCAAACAAAAUGUGAAUUUAAAAGGAGUCAAAGUUAAGGAAAAAAGCAUACUUUUCAGAGUACUGGGAAAAAUGGCCACAGGCACAUUUAGAGAUAUAAAAUGAGUGGAGGUAAGCUGAGCUUUCUAAAUGAAAAUGAUCAGGAAAAGUUGAUGGUGAUCAAAGGGAUGUAAAUGAGAUUAGAAGCCAGAGCUUGAAAAUGUUACAGAUCAAGAAGAAAUUGUGAUUUUGAAGUCUCUAAAUUAUUUUAAUGAGCCUUUAGGUCAUCCUAAAAUGUGCAGGGAAUAUGGAAUCAAUCAGACAUGAUUUAUCACAAUCAAUUUGUGCAUUUUGGAAAAAUAAGCUAGACACAUCAUGACUGAUGGCUGGAGCCACUGUGAAAAAACAUAACAACAAAGCCAUAAAGCUUCCCUGCUCUCUACAGAAUGAGUCAGAAAUAUUGGGGGGGGGUAUGGUUGUCAGAAACACCAAUUAAAUUGUGGUGAGUAGAAAGUGGAGAUUUAGGGGCACCUGGGUGGCUCAGUCAGUUAAGCGUCUUCCACUCAGGUCAUGAUCUCGUGGUUCCUGAGUUCUAGCCCUGCGUCAAGCUCUGUGCUGACAGCUCAGAGCCUGGAGCCUGCUUUGGAAUCUAUGACUCCCACUCUCUCUGUCCUCUCCCCCACUCAUGCUCUGAUUCUUUCUCUCAAAAAAUAAAUAAACAUUAAAAAAAUAUAUGAACCCAUCAAAUGAUUCUUUCCACAUGUUCAGAUAUUCCAAAGUUUAAUCAAAUAAUUUUAAAAUUAAAUGAUAUUUCAGGAUGUCUGGGUGGCUCAGUCGGUCAUGCUCUGACUUCAGCUCAGAUCAUGAUCUCAUGGUUCGUGAGUUCGAGCCCCACAUCAGGCUCUGUGCUGACAGUUCAGAGCCUGGAACCUGCUUCAGAUUCUGCGUCUCCCUCUGUCUCUGCCCCUCCCCCCAUUCAUGCUCUGUCUCUCUCUCUCUCUUAAAACUAAAUAAACAUUUAACAAAUUAAAAAAAAGAAAGUGGGGAUUUAUUGUUUCAUAUAAGUGAUUUUGAAAAGAGGUUGAAUUAGACUAGGGCAAGUUUCCACCCAGACAUUACAAACAUAUUAUUGGGGAACUGUACCUCUCUUUUCUUCUCUCAAAACCUCAGCUUGUUUCUGUCUUUGUGUUGCUUUCAUUUCCUGUGAGGUUCUCUCCAUACGGUGGGAAUGUACACCUACCUUUAGCAUCAAGCCUUAUCUUCCAACCAAGUGACAAAUGCCACCAUAUGAAUUAUUAAUUAAGGACGAGAAAUUCCCUGUUCUAUUUUCUUCAGCUAACUCAGUUCUGUCACUUUUACCACUGGAGAGUGGUGGGAGAAGUUGGUGGGAUAAACCACUCUCCACAAAUGGGAUAUACUGCUAUCCACCAUACCCUGCUAUAAGUACAUCAGUGCAAAAAGAAACAAAGAUUUCUGUUCUCAUGGAGCAAAAGAAAUCAGAAUAUAAAUAAUACACAUAAAAAUGAGUACAUUAUGUAAUGUUUUAGGAAGAGAGACGUACUUUGCAAAAAUGAUAGGGGUUAGAGUAGAAGAAAAGAGCUUGAUGCUACUGGGAUCUGGGAUAUAGCAAAGUUGGUACUUUAAAUAAGGUGCCUAGGGCAGGAUUCCCUGAGAAACUGAAGCUACAGCAAGCCUUGCAUGGAGUGUGGAAGUUAGCAGUGAAGAUAUCUAGGAGAGUAGCUCUCCUUCCGGGUCUAAGACAGGGACCUCUCUGACAUGUUAGAUGAAUAGUAUGCAGGCUAGUGUGGUUAUAACCAGAGAGUGAGAAGAUGAGGUCAGAAAUUGUACAUCAUUUUUGACCUUGACUUUUAUUUUAAGUGAAAUGUGCAGCCUUUGGGAGAUUUUGAGCAGAGGAGUGACAUAAUCUAAAUUAUAUUUUAAAAAGAUCACUCUGACUACUCUGUGGAGACUAAACUGCAGAUGGGCAGAGAAGCACAGAGAUCAGUUAGUAGGACACUGAGUGAUCCAGCAGAGAACUGAUGGUGUCUUGGACCAAGAUACUUCGUGAGCCUUCUGGUCCUUAAAGAGACACGGGGCAGGCAGAGAACACGUAUCUACUGAAAGAAUUUGGAUUCCAAUUUGUGUUUGAUUUGGUGAAAGCUUAAUGGAGAGAAAAAUGCAGCAUUUUAUCCCAAACAAUUACAAAAUUUAAUUAUGAUAUACCUAGUUAUUAAUAAUGUAGAUAAUCACAGCUUUAUAAUAGCAUUCUAUACAAUUAUGCAGGUCUCUCCUGUCAUUUAUUUAUUAAAAUUUAUCCUUCCAUUAUUCCGAUCUUGGUCAGCAUUCCCCCAUUUCUUCUUUCUUUCUUUCCCCCUUCUGGAGUUUAGAACAUAGGAUAGGGGACUUUUGUUUUGUGUCCUCCAACUCUCUCGCCCUUUGCUUUUUGUCUUAGUUCUAACCAUUUAACCUCGGGUAUUAAGGAAAGUGAGUUCUAUAUUUUCCAUUGAACACAGUGGAUACGGGGGCCAUGUUGUUUCACAAAGAGUGAAAACAUUAAGAAACCAAGAGAACCGAAACCAAGAGCCUGGACCUUGGUGUGACUGUUAAAAAGACAAGUAACUUCUCCUGGGUACUUAAUGGAACCAGAAAACAUGGAAUUCCCACCAUUAGUAGGUUAGGAUUUGAAUCUGUCUCAUGUGAAUGUGAGAGGACAGGCUACCCCUUCAGAUCACAGAACUGAGCUCUCUGUGGGAGCAGCCAUUAGUCAUUGUGCCAUGGAUCCAGCACAAUCUAGCCUGUAUCAUGAGGGAACAGCACCCAUUUUCUCACCUUAUUACCAUGAGGUAAGAAGAGCAUCAGUCCAAAAAGCCUGAACUCCCAGAGAAUUUCAGAGUUUUGUCACUGAAAGCAACCAGGGAGAUUUAAAAACAAAAGCAAAGCAAACAAGCAACAGAAACACACUAGUUAAAUCAGCAUCUCUGAGGAAGGAGGUAAGCUUAUAUGAUUUUUAAAGGCUUUUUAAGUGAUUUCAAUGUAGUUAAAGUUGAGAACCAUUGUUUUGGAUGGCAUAAGGGACUUUGACGUAUCCCAGUAACACUUUGUGUGUAUUGUUUUCAUAGCAGUCAAUGACAUGUAUGAAAUACAUAUUUCAUUUUUUCUCAUUGCCACAUAGUAUUCCAUUGUGUAUAUAAACCACAAUUUCUUUAUCCAUUCAUCAGUUGAUGGACAUUUAGGCUCUUUCCAUAAUUUGGCUAUUGUUGAGAGUGCUGCUAUGAACAUUGGGGUACAAGUGCCCCUAUGCAUCAGUACUCCUGUAUCCCUUGGAUAAAUUCCUAGCAGUGCUAUUGCUGGGUCAUAGCAACGUGGAUGGAACUGGAGAGUGUAAUGCUAAGUGAAAUAAGCCAUACAGAGAAAGACAGAUACCAUAUGGUUUCACUCUUAUGUGGAUCCUGAGAAACUUAACAGGAACCCAUGGGGGAGGGGAAGGAAAAAAAAAAAAAGAGGUUAGAAUGGGAGAGAGCCAAAGCAUAAGAGACUGUUAAAAACUGAGAACAAACUGAGGGUUGAUGGGGGGUGGGAGGGAGGGGAGGGUGGGUGAUGGGUAUUGAGGAGGGCACCUUUUGGGAUGAGCACUGGGUGUUGUAUGGAAACCAAUUUGUCAAUAAAUUUCAUAAAAAAAAAUAAAUAAAUUCUAUUUGUAUAAAAAAAAAAGAAAUACAUAUUAUUUUUCUCCUUAUUUCAAUAAAUUGAAGGCACCAUAAGAACAGGGACUUUUUUUUUUUUUUUAGUAUCUGUUAUAUCCUUAGUACCUAGCACGUUGCCUGGCAUAAACUAGGUUCUUAGAAAUACUUAUUUUAUGAAUAUUCAUGGUUGAAUACAUGAUUGUACAAUUCUAUAACUUGUUUUUUGUUCCCACUUGCAUUAGCUCCAACAUCUACUAGUAGGCUAUGUUUUCUCAUUUUUUGCCCAAGACUGGUUCCUUUCUCUGUUAUACACAGGCUCUGUAAGUUGCUAUAGUAACAUUAAUAAAACAGCUCUCUAGAGGGUCUCUUGUAAGGCUGCCCUUCAAAGCAACCCACACCAGGUGUAUUAGUUUCCUAGGGCUGCUAUAACAAAGGACAGCAAAUUGGAAGACUUAAAACAACAGAAAUUUGUGCUAUUACAAGUCCAGAGGCAAGAAAUUGGAAAUCAAGGUGUACACCAUACUCCCUCUGAAGUCUCUAAGGAAGAAUCCUUCCUAGCCUAUGCCAUGUUCUGUUGGCCCCAGGCAUCCCUUGGCUUGUGGCAGCAUAACUUUAAUCUCUGCCUCCAUCGUUACCUAGCCUUCUCCCCUCUGUGUAGCUCUGUGCCCUCCCCUUCUUUUUUUUUUUUAAUUUUUUUUUUAACGUUUAUUUAUUUUUGAGACAGAGAGAGACAGCAUGAACAGGGGAGGGUCAGAGAGAGGGAGACAAAGAAUCUGAAACAGGCUCCAGGCUCAGAGCCAUCAGGACAGAGCCCGACGCGGGGCUCGAACUCACGGACCGCGAGAUCGUGACCUGAGCCUAAGUCGGCCGCUUAACCGACUGAGCCACCCAGGCGCCCCUGUGCCCUCCCCUUCUUAUAAGGAUACGGGGCAUGGGAUUCGGGGCUCCCUCUAAAUUCAAGACGAUUGAAUCUCGAGAUUCUUAACUAAUUACAUAUGCAAGCCUCCAAUUUCCAAAAAAGAUCACAUUCUGAGAUUCAUGACCAUGAAUUUCAGGGGGAUACUAUUCAACUCACUAUACUAGGGUAGUUUAAGAAUUAAUUAGAAAUUGUCCCUGUUGAAGUGUUAAGGUUGGGUUAGUCCUGUGACAAAUAUCUAAUAGGACAACUUUAAAAAACAAUCAGGAAUCCCACCUUGAGUCAUAAACUGAAUGUGCUGCAUUGCAAGAGCCAAUAAAGAAUGGAAAAGUGUACCAUUCUUUGUCUUGUUUCUGAAAUUCUGUUUUCCUUCAGGGGAAAAUUAGAAUUGUUUAUUAAAAAAUUAUCACUGAGUAUUACAUAUGCAGAUGUAAAUGUUGUUUCUGUGUAUAAGAACUUUAUUAGACAGAUUCUAGAUUCAUCCUAAUGACUCAUAAUACAACUGUAGCUGUAAAAAUCAUUUUUACUAUGUCAAGGCAAGCUUAUUCUUAUUAUAGAGAAAAUGCUUUUGAAACAGAUUUGGGAACUCAAUAUUCAGGAACUUUCAGGUUUGUAGACUAUGUUUGUUUUACUAGUAAAGAUGUAUGCUUUACAUUAAUGAUUCUUGUAAGAUUCUUCCUAGAUGUGGGGCGUCAAAUUAUAACUAGUAUUAUACAAAAACUCACUGUCUUUUAUCUUGUAAACUAUAUCUGUGAAUGAAGAGUAACUGGAAAGCCAAGAAACAGAUGCUUUGUUAUUGAUAGCAUGUGUUUUGUGUUCCAAUACAAAGUUUGGGACUUUUUAGGUCAAGAAAUUUCCUCCAAUUAAUUUAUUCUAUAGUAUCUGUAAAAAAAAAAUGAGGAUAUUGACUCUGAAUUGGGAAAUACAUUUCCUUUCACAGUUUUUUCUUAUGAAAAUAUUAGUAAAAUCAAUAGCUCCUCUUAUCAUGUAUAAAAGCGGGUGCUUUGGCUAAAAUAUUACAUGAAUAGCUUUUAGAUAUUUCUAUUAUCAUCAACAGCAAUCAUGCAUAACAAUAAUAACAGUAAAGAAUUAAUAUUAUCAUGGGUUUUUUGAAAUUAAUAUUAUACUAAAAUCAAGCAUAUUUCAAAUAGCUAUGUUUCUUAUGUGUAACCUUAAAAUAUAACAUUUAUGUUCAAGUUUCAAUCCAAGUAUAUUACAUUUAUAGAUAUACAUUGACAAGUUUAAUAUGUAGGUGAUUUAACUAAAUCAAAUUGUUACGGCUGAGCAGAACUUCCCUCUGACACACGACUUUAGGUUAAGUUUACUCCUUGAUGUCUAACAAGUGAAAAGAAAUAAUGGAUGGAUUGUAAAGCAAAAGCAAUAAGCUUUAACAUGUGCCUAAGAGCAUUCUGAUUAGGAAGAACAAGGAAUCGUGUUUCUAACUCUCACAGCCUAAAGGUUGCUAGAAAUACGCAGACAGACUUCAUUUAGAGAAACUAACAAAAUCAAAUGGUGACUUUGUGGGGAAUCAAACACAUUGUGAGAAUUGUAUAGCUAGCAAUUUAUAAGAUAAUGUAGGACAUACUUAACUUGCCCUGCAGCCUGAAAUAAUUCCUAGAAAGUGUUCAAUAGUAUCUUUAUUAAUGAUCAGUCGGAAGAGAUAAGUAGCACAUGAAGCAUAAGAAUGCUACAAUUUUUCAAAAACGAAACAAAACCAGGAAAGGCAGCAUAUUGAGCAAGUUGCAUCCGAAAAAAAUAAAGGUGUAGGAAAGUUUAAGUAAAGGAUAAUACUGAACUUUAAAUUAAAAACUGGAGUGAAAUGAACCUGCAAGAUUGUUCAUCACCAGUUUCGAGUCAACAUGAAAAUCAAAUCUUAUAACUUCAUAAAGUUUAUUUCUUUUUAAAAAUUUUUUAGCAUUUAUUUAUUUUUGAGCGAGAGAGAGAGAGAGAGAGAGAGAGAGAGAGACAGUGCAAGUCGGAGAGGGGCAGAGAGAGAGGGAGACCUAGAAUCCCAAGCAGGCUCCAGGCCCUGAGUUGUCAGCACAGACCUGAUGCGGGGCUCAUACCCACCAACCGCAAGAUCAUGACGACAUGAACCGAAGUUGGACAGAUAGCCACAUGAGCCACCCAGGUGCCCCCAUAAUGUUUAUUUAAUGACAAAGAAGAAACAAUUGAGUAAGGACAGUUUCUGUCUUUUUAAUUUUAAAAUUUUAGCUAAAGCCAUUUUCUGAUUUCUUAGAUUUAUUUACUUUUCCUUCUCUUUCUCUGCUUCAUCUAUACACAUUCCCAUUUCAGUCUGCCUUUAUGAUUUGACUUUGAUUCUAGAUUCUUACUUCUGUUUUCCUACCCUGGUGGGAUAAACCAAAUAAUUUUCAUCCUCCUUUUUAGAUCUGUUCCCAGAAAUAAGAAUUGCCUGAUGAAAUUAUAAAGGAAUAUAAUAGAAAGACUAUCUAUUGUCCUAUAGCAAAAGUCAAGCAAAAUCUGUAUGAGUGCAUGCUACACAGUGGGUGUUUGUUAAAUGUAGAUUAUAGACUAUUUCAAACUUACAUAUGGAAGAACUCUAAGUGUAGCUCUGUUAUACAUAUGUCCAUCUUUCUCUCUAUUCUUAAGGUCUCAAAACCCAAAUGUUAGGUUUACAUGUAAUUUUCUUUAGUUCAAAACAUUUUAACUCACAUCUAACUCACAUAUAUGAGUAUAUACAUACACAAAUAUAUAUAUGUAAAUAUAUAUUUUAAAACCCAUUGUGAUUAAGAAUUUCUGCUUCUCGGGGCGCCUGGGUGGCGCAGUCGGUUAAGCGUCCGACUUCAGCCAGGUCACGAUCUCGCGGUCCGUGAGUUCGAGCCCCGCGUCAGGCUCUGGGCUGAUGGCUCAGCGCGUGGAGCCUGUUUCCGAUUCUGUGUCUCCCUCUCUCUCUGCCCCUCCCCCGUUCAUGCUCUGUCUCUCUCUGUCCCCAAAAAAAUAAACGUUGAAAAAAAAUUAAAAAAAAAUAAAAUAAAAUAAAAAGAAUUUCUGCUUCUCUACAGAAUGAAAUAGUUUGCAUGUGCAUUCCAGCCAAAGAAAAUUUAAAAAGCUGGUUAAAAUAGGGAAUUAUCUCUUUAAAAGUAUCAAAAAUUUUCAGUGUCAGUGAGAUUUGGGCCGGUGGGGGGGAGUGGUGGUGGCUAAAACCCUAAGGAUGAAAGAACCUCUGAGAGAUGAAUUGACAGCUGCAGCCACUUUUAUUCUAGAAGACUUCACUGUUUCUAAGCAGGAACAGAUGUCCGAGAACUGAACCUUUGUGUUGGCAGAAAGCUAUUGGGUGUGGACAGAGAGCUUUUGGUAGGAACUUGGGCUCCAGCAUACAGGGCGUGCCAGUCUGGGUUUUUACAGGGAAGGAACCUAAAAAUCUAAACUGAGUUUUAAACUCAGGCAGCAUUUUCUCAGUCUUGUGAGAAAAUUCUAGAAUCAGGUAUCGAUCAAGGGAGGGGCCCUCAUAGACACUAGGCUCAGAGUUUAAAAUCCUAGGUGAUCGAUCAAAGGGUGCCUAAGUGGCUCAGUCAGUUAAAUGUCUGACUUCAGCUCAGGUCAUGAUCUCAUGGUUCGUGAGUUCAAGCCCUGCAUGGGCUUGGUGCUGACAGCUCAGAACUUGGAGCCUGCUUCCAAUUCUCUCUCUCUCUCUCUCUCUCUCUCUCUCUGUCCCUCCCCCUCUCACUCUCUCUCUCUCAAAAAUAAACAUUAAAAAUAAAUAAAUAAAAUGAAAUCCUAGAUGAUCAACUAUGCACCAAAUGUAGACAACUGUCCUGGUUUCCAGUGCAGAUUGAACACAAUCCCUCUUUGGGUUAAGAUGGUCAGCCUCUGCUCCAUCUGCCCAGCAGAGGGAAGGCUUAAUCAUCUGUCAAGGAAGCUCAUCAUGUGGCGACUUUUAAAACACAUUUAUCUGACCCAACCGUAUGACCAGAGUGAAAAACAAAAGCAUAGUAAACUCUAAUCUGCAGUGAUCCAUGUAUUGGAAUUACUGACAAAAACUUUAAAAUAACUUUGAUAAAUAUGUUAAAGAAAAUAAAGGGAAAAAAUAAGGAAUUUCACCAGAACAGUGGCAUCUAUGAAAAAGAAACAAUUAGAAAGAAACAGGUAAGCUAACAGAAAAAUAGGCAAAAGUCUUGCACAGGCAUUUCAUAAAACAGGGUUUUGGAACGAUCAAUAAAUAUAUGAAAACUUUCAACUUCAUUCUCAUCAAGGAAAUGCAAAUCAUGAGAUGCUAUCACUAGACACCCACAAUGAUGACUAUGAAGAAAAAGUCAAAAAAUGGCAAGUUUUGUUAAACAUGUGGAAAAACUGGCAUAAAUUGGUGUGAUCACUUGCAAUUAUUAGGCAGCAUCUUAUAAAAAUAGAAUAUACAGAUUCAGUGUGAUCCAGACAUUCUACCCCUUCGUGUCUCUCUAACAUAUAUUUAACAAAAGACAUACAAGACAUUCAGCACAGCUGUAUACAUAAUACUCAAAAGUUGAAACAACACAAAAUGCCUGUUUACCGUAGAAGUGGUUUCAUGUAUAACCUAGUGCACGAGCAAUGAGAACAAAGACUACAGGAAUUGACAGAGAAGAAUGUCUCGAAGAUAAUUUGAACAAAGUAAGCCAGAUACUACAGUGUGCAUACUUCAGAUUACAUUCACAUUAAGUUAAAAUGAAUGUAAAAUUGAUCUAUAGUGUAUGAAUUCAAGAUGGGUGUUUUAAGAUUGAAAUGGUGCACAAGAAACAACUUUGGGAUAUUAAUAAUGUUCUAUUUCUCGAUUUGGAUGUUAGUUAUACAAUUGUGUUAACUUUGACAAUUCAUUGGACAAUGCACACUAAUUCCUUUUGUUAUAUUUCAAUAAAGAGUUUACAUUAAAAAUAAAACUGAUUUUUAUUUUAAAGUCAUGAGAAGUUUUGGGGCACCUGGGUAGGUUCCGUCGGUUAAGUGUGACUUUGGCUCAGGUCAUGAUCUCGUGGUCUGUGGGUUCCAGCCCCGUAUUGGGAUCUGUGCUGACUGCUCAGAGCCUGGAGCCUGCUUCGGUUUUUGUCUCUCUCUCUCUGUCUCCCUGACCCUCUCCCAUUCAUGCUCUACGUCUCUCUCUCUCUCUCAAAAAUAAACAAACAUUAAUUUUUUUUAAAGUCAUGAAAAAUGUUAAUGAAUUCAAGGGAACGUAUAUAAAACCAAGGUAAUGUUAACCUUUAAAGUACUCAUAUUUGAACUUUACAUUGUAUUUUAUCUCUAGUGAUGAAGCUAAGACUACAUAAUUUAUUGCCUAAACUUUUAGAAUUGUGUUUUAAUACCUUUGUGUAAAUUAUUUUUGAAAAUUUGGAUUAUUACUGUAUUUUAAUCUUUUUGCCAAUAUUCAAUUAUUAAAAAAUUAAAAAGUAAUAAAUGCUGAAAAAUUUCAUAUUAUAUUCCUAUAACAGUAAGUAAUAAGAGAAAACAAUGUUCUAGAAAAGUAGAAACUUAGAAAAAGUGUUUAAAACACUGUGCUAUUGACAAUGACUAGUUUGUUUUCCAGAGAGCAUUGGGAUACUUAUAAAUCUAAAACAAAAGCAACGUGGGUUAUUCUGAUGACAUUCCCAAGGAAAAGUAAGAAUGAAAUAAGUGAUUUUACUUGUGUGGCUUGUCCAAGGGCCUUGCUAUGACAAUCCUGUUGAUAAAAAUUUAACCUAGUCAGCAAGAUCCUUUAUUUACUACAAUAGUUGGUUUAGUCAGACAUUACCCCCACAGGUAUCAUAAUUAUGACAUUUUAAGAAGCUUUUUAUAAAUUAAGUCAACAGGCCAGUUUUUAGCCAAACAUAAGUACAAAAUCCACAGUGAAUAGGCUCACUAUUGAAUUCUCUUAUCUACUGAAAAUUAUAUUUAAAGGAGAGCACAUAGGAACUGAUGGAUGGUGAAGGCGCAUGUUUUUGGUAGCAUGCUGAAGGUAGGUAUCUGAUACCUUUGUUCAGGUCAUGCGUUCAAAAUUAAAGAACAAAUAUAAAGCCGUGAAAUAGCUGAUACUUUUGUCUGUCAUUGUUCUUGGAAUCUCCACCACAUGCAUCAUUGGGUGUUUUAAGUUUUUACUUAUUUAUUCAACUUGGGCAAGAGACCUGGAUUUUUCAUAAAAGGCAUUUUCAACUUGCAUUUCACCAUAUUCAUCAGGCUGCUUUAGAAUUAUCCUCUUAGAUAUUAGGUUGAAUUACAAUUGGAUGUGAAUUUCCUCAAGGAUCUAGUGGUCAGGAGUUUGAUGUUUCCCCGCAGGAAAACUCUUUUUAUAUGCAGAGGUUUUUUGUUGUUGUUGUUGUUUGUUUGUUUCCCCCACCCUUUGUUUUUGGUGAAGCUGCUGUCUUGGGGCCAAGAGUUUAUUUGGAAGGUCCUCCCUGUAAGACCUUAUGGUUGAGUCUGGCCGACAUUUGGGUACUGAUGACCAAGGAACGAGAAAGCCAGUUGUGCGGCUGGGAUUGUGCUAGUUUUGAUCCACAGCGACAAAAGGGAUUCUGUGUUGUGUGUUCACACAUGGCCCCCUAUUUUCAACAUGCACACCAACAGUAUUACUGGUGGGCAGUGGCCCUUGGACAAUUUGUCCACUAUGUAUUUUCCCUGAGGCUGUUGAGAUUUUCACACAAGAGGAGUGUUUGGUGGCCUUUGUGUACUUUCUUUCAUUCUGGUGGGCUCAGUGUGUUGUGAUGUUACUUGUUGUGCUGGCACCUGUUCGUGCUUUCCCAACUAAAGAAAAGUUCUAUUUGUUAUUUUCAGCAGAUUUAGGGUCGUGGUAAAUGGUAUAAGUGCCUUGAGAGAAGUGAAUUUAAAAAGGUCAAUUUUCAAUACUAUAAUCCAAAAUUAGAUAAAAUAAUUGACUUUGAGACAAACAGAGGGUCUCAGUUCAAGUUCUUGCUUCGUCAAUUUCUAACUGUAAAAUUGAACAAGGUAUAUCAGGCUCUGAAGUUUCCAUUCUUUAUCUGUAAAAUGUAAUAAUCAUACUAUCAAUUUCUUAGGUUUGUUGUGGAGAUGGAAGUUGAUUAAUGCACAGCAGUUAGAAGAGUGCUUGGCAGGUACUACACAAUAUAGUAAGGUUAGUUAUUAUUAUUAAAAGUAUUCUUAAACUACUUCUAAUACAUAACUUGCUACUUUAGAAUUUAAAGGGUUAAUACCUAAUUUUACUGUUACUUUCUGUGAUUCAAAACUGGGUAACAUAAUUUGUUUGUUUGUAAUAAAAAUAUAACGCAGGCAAAGGAAAUAAAUACUUUUGAAUUCCGUAGCUAAUAGUUCAUUUCAACAAACAUUCAGCUGUUAAAUAUUUACUUCAACACCAGAAGAGUUACAAAAUGUAGGAUAUAAUCCUGGUCUUCAAUGGACUUAAAGUCCAAUAGUGUUUACAUUCUAGUAAAGUAAAGGAGGAAGACUGAGAAAAAGAGAAACAGAGAGAGAGAGAGAAAGGGAGGGUGGUAGGGAGAGAGAUAGUGAAGGGGGGAGAGAGAGGGAGAGAACAAAGUGUUACAUUUAGUUGGUUAAGAACUGUAGCUGUGGCACAUAACUCCAGUUAACCAAAUUGAUUUAUGUAUUUAUUUACUUAGUGUUUUGAUUAUUCAUUCAUUAUUUUAUGCAUUCUUUUAAAUGGCAUUAAUUAAUUUCCUUAUUAUUUAUAAUAGAUAAAUACUAAUUUUCAUAAAAGUAAAAUAUAAAUACACUAUAUGCCUUCGAGGAUAGUACAAUUUUUUUGGUCUUAAGCCAAAAAAAAAAAAAAACUAAAUUAGAAAAAGAGAGAUUCUAGGUAUCCCGGGAUAUGGAAAAAAGUACAUUGUCUCAAACAAAUGAGUUUCCUUAAAAUAAUGUCAGUAGAGACUAAAGGUUAUUUAUAUAGUCAAAGAAAAUUUGCACCAGACGGAGUUAAACAGACAAGGAAGACUUUAUUCAAGACUAUUGUAAUAGGGGUCAAGAUUAUUACAAAUUGGGAAAGAAAAUAAAUGCAACUACACCAACACAGAGGGGAGGAGAGUUUCUAAGAACUGGGGUGAGCUGGUGGAAUAGUACUGGAGGAGGUUGAUCAAUGUGAUUGGGUCAACCGAUGAUCCCUGUAAGAGGUGAUGGAAGUUGGGCUCCUAACCCCCCACAGAAACUGGGAGACAUAGGUGCUAUUAUUCCUGAAGAUUAUGUUCAAAGACAUAGUUCUCUGAUCCAUAGGACAGGUGUUCUAGGGUUGUAAAACUAGCAAGAAAUUAGGAGAAGAUUUAUAUCUCAUUCAAAAAAUGAAUUUAUACUUGGACAUUUUCUAAAUUAAGUUUUCUAGAAAACCUUUUUCUAGAAGGGGCCUACAGUCAGGAAGAGUCUUGCUAAAGUAUAAUCAAACUGAGGGUUGCAGUAAGACGGUCUUGGUCAAUGUCCAGCUUCAAAAUACAUAUUUACAGUAAUUUUUUAGACUAGCAAACAAAACAGAAAGUGAAAAUAAAAAGCCAUUAACAAAAACCAAAAUGAAGAGUUCCAUAAUAAGUACAUACCCAAAUAUGUGAGAAGAAAGUUCCAAUAUGUGACCAUGCUGCUAAUUUAGUAUUGCUAUUUAAUGUUUAACAAGACUCACAAAUAGUGAUACUGAGACAUCACAAAAGACCAGAUAGAUAAGCAUGUAACAUAGACCAGCAGUUGUAAAGAAAAUUGCCUAUAUGCCAGUUUUUGCAUCUUCAACUUGAACUUAAACCUAGUGCUGUGUGAAUGAACAGCAUAAUGAUUCAAAGGCUGCCCCUAUUUUCCAGAUUAUAUUUCAUUCAAUAUGAACAGAUGGUCUCCCAUUUAGACAAAUUGUACCUCAAAACUUAAGAUUCAAUUCUCUGCUUAUAGAAGAUACAUAUUCUGCCAGGUAUUUUUCUAAGUAAGCAUGAUAUUAGAUAAAUAAGAAAAACAGUUGUAAUUAUAGUGAAGUUACCUGUCAGCACUGGUGAUUUCCUGUGGAGCACAUUUUUAUUUCUAGUCUUGUAAGCAGAAUAUAUUUUAAAUUCUAUCUCAUGGAUGAAACACAUUUUUAAUGCCAGUGACACUGACAUUUCAAAUUUUAAAUGAUUAUUGCUGAAUUACAGAGACUUGCAAUUAAAUUAUAAAAGGGACCAGAGAACUAUAUAAAAGCUGUACUCAUUAACUUCCUAAAUAGCUCUAAAAUAUUUAAAAAUACAAUUCUCGUUAAUUUUUAAACAGUUGCUGGUAAUUACUUAGUGGAGGUGAAGGACGUGAAGGACAAGAUUCCCUCAAGAGGUAGAAAAUAAGGGUUUGACACAGAUUAUAUGUUGUUUUUUUAACUUAAAUGAGAGAAACUACCAUCUCAGUAUGUGAACAAUUACAUAAUCACAGUCAUCACAUUACCAUCACCGUCACCACCAUUAUAAUCAUCAUCACUAUCCUAUCUCCCUCAUCACAUACUAACCUGGGAGGGGAAAAAACUAAAAACACUUCCCUCAGCUCCAAAUACUCCUCCAACUACUAAGCUGUUUGUUUCUCAUGAUCAGCUUAAGAGCUCCCUACCUCUGCUUCUCCUCUGUCCGUCCACCUUUGCUGCAAUCCUCCACAGAAACUGCUUUUGUUAACAGCCUGGAACAAACAGUGCGUUUCCAGAAGAGAUGUUUGCUACUUUUCUCAACCAUUCAACACGAGCGACUUUAAUAUCAUCAUUUGUCCCACCCUCUUUGUAAAUGAUACCACGAUCCCAGCCAAAACACUGAGAUUAUGCUUGGUUCCAUGCUCUCCAUUUCUCUACGCACAAUCUCUAGGGAAGUUGUGUAAUGUGUGAUGGUAUCUAUCCACUUCUCCAAAUGUCCACACCAUUAAACUUGUAUAAGUCAGUCAGUAUUGUUUUGAUUACUGCAGUCUCCCCUAAUUUGUCAUCCUUUUUCUCCUGUACUCUCCAAUCCAAUUGCUACAUGAUACUCAGAAUUACCUUAAAAAAAAAAAAAAAAAAAGAGCACUGCAUCACUCCACUUAAAAGUUUUUAGUUACUUUUCAGUGUACGUUGAUUAAAACUAAAACUUAUUUAAAUGACCCUUUCUGUAAGAGCCUACAAUUUUAUCAUUCUUCUUGCCCAUUUAGUUCUAGAUGGCCUGGUCGCUUUCCAUUUUCUCACACAUAAACCUUGCUGUCUUAAGGCCUUCACACCUGAGAUUGUUCCUUCCUGGCUGUUUUCUAUCCUUGUGUUUGCUUAUGUCCAAACUCAUGACAUGGAAUACAUUAGAUAUGCACAGUACAUUUACGUCAAUUACAUGUUCCUAAAGAUGUUAAAAUUAAAGAAUUGGUCUUAAAGUUAUUUUUCCAGGAUUACUUUAUCUCAUCUCUCAGUCUUAAUUUUCUUCAAUUGUUCCCCAUCUCUUUACCCCAUUCAUUUACGUAUAUCCCAUAUUUUAAUUUGCAAUUGAAUAUUUGCUUUCUUACUUUUUUGUUGUAAUCAUAGUGACAUUAUCUAUCAGGUCUGGUGAUUUCCUAGGGGAUACAUGUCUAUUUAAAUGAGUGAGUCAGAAUAUAGUUUUUUUUUUUUAAUUUUUUUUAACGUUUAUUUAUUUUUGAGACAGAGAGAGACAGAGCAUGAGCAGGGGAGGGGCAGAGAGAGAGGGAGACACAGAAUCCGAAGCAGGCUCCAGGCUCUGAGCAGUCAGCACAGAGCCCGACGCGGGGCUCGAACUCACGGACCGCGAGAUCAUGACCUGAGCCUAAGUCAGACGCUUAACUGACCGAGCCACCCAGGCGCCCCAGAAGAUAGUUUUUUAAAUUCUAUUUCAUAAAUGAGACUCAACUUAUGCUCACUAGUGUAAUGCUGACCAGAGAAUGUGUCCUGGAUGGCAGGAAUCAUGUAUAUACUGUUUACUGCUUUAUAUUCACUGGCCCAUAAGGCUGUAAGUUAUAUAUAAACACAUAACUUUUAAAUAAAUUAAUGAAGUAGGGUUACUCUUUCUCCACUAAGAAAAUUUUCUAAAUUCCCAUUUUAACCACAGUCUAGACUUUCUUUUAUGUUUUUAUUACUACGAAAACAAGAAAAUAUUCUAAACCAGAGUCUGCAUUUCAUUAAGCCAUGUAUAAUAGAAACCCAAAUGUAGAAAUCCAUAUUGGGGCACCAUGGUGGCUCAAUCAGUUAAGCCUCCAACUCUUGGUUUUGGCUCAGGUUAUGAUCUCACAGUUUGUGGGUUUGAGCCCAGCGUCAGUCUCUGAACUGACGGUGUGGAGCCUGCUUGGGAUUCUCUGUCUCCCUCUUUUUCUGUCCCUUGCGUGUGCCCUCUUUCUUUCUCUCAAAAAUAGACAAAUAAGCAUUUAAAAAAAGAAAUCCAUUAUCAACUUUUAUUAUAUAAAACACUAUUUUCUGACGGUGACUUUUUUUUUUUUUUUUUGACAAACCUGUUCCUUGGUGGAAUAGGUAUUUAGCCUAAUCUACCAAGGAGAAAAUUUAAAUUACAAAAAUCAAAUGAAAAGCUCCUGUGCAUUAUAUCUGAGGUUGCUGCUUUGAUUUCAUAGAUGCUAAAUUGUCCUCUAGGUUUGGAAGGAACAUGAUAUAACUGAAUACUAUUGAUGAAAAUUUCUGAAUAUCAUCAGUUAGAUGUUAUCAAGAGAAAAAUACUUUAUAGCAACUGCCCGUAUCCUCUUUUCCUUUGAGGAAAGAAAUAAUAAAUAAAUAAAGAACUUUGAAAAGAGGUUUGUACUGGGAGUCCUCAUCUGAAAGAGCAGGAACAUCUACUGCACUAUACUUGAGCACAGCUGGGGGCCUUAAUGAAUAAGAACAUUGAGUUCUCCUUCAAGCAAGGUUAAUUUAGAGCUUUUCUGCCUUCAGAAUCAUCCAUAAAUUAAUUUCUACAACCUAUAACAUUUUUAUUAGUUCUUUCAGGAGAAAAUUUGAAUGUAAUGUGCAUAAAAAUCCUAUAAUCUCAUAUUUCCUGCCUAAGAAUGAGAAGAAACACCAAAUAGAAAUGUUUAGUGCUGUACCUUACGCUCGUCAAUUAGCAGUGUUAUCAAAAUACACGUAUUUUAGGAAUGUACAAAAAACUAAACUGUGUGCUGAUUAGAAAUUUCUUUUCUGCUCUGAUAAUUUUUCCAAUGUAUCUUCCGGUGCUUAUUUUUAAUAUAAGGUUGUUUUCUUGCUUACCAAUUUUGCUAUAAUCCAUUGUUGAAUUACUACUUGUCAAGAAAUUGAUUUUUUUCACUCCCUGUUUUCUAGUGCCUGAUUAUAUGAACUUUAUCAUUUAUUUAACCACUUUUCCUAAAUUAACCAGGUUUCCUAAGCAACAAAAUGGGUUUUGGGCUAAAAAUAAUUGCUGACAGACCAUCUAUCAUUAACAAAUUAGGAUUGGCCUACUUUAUUAUUAAAUAACUUAUGACUAGCCUUUUCUAACCUUAUCCAAUUACACAGUGGUAUUUAGUCAAAAAGGCAUUCCUUUUAUGGAACUGGUUAAUAAUACACUCCAAGUUGCUUAAGUUGUUUGACUAGUGACAGUGUGGAAUCCUGCAAUUUCUAAAUUGUUAAAGCUUGUGAAAUUACUAUACAUCAUAGUGCCUCUAAGUUGAUAACUCUGAAUGGUAUACUUAAUAUUUACUAAGAAGGCAGAUCUCAAAUCAAGUAUUCUUACCAUACACAUGCAAAUAAUAAUAAAAGGGGUGAGGAGAUACUUUGCAAGGUGAUGGAUGUGUUUAUUACCUUGAUAGUGGUGAUGAUUUCAUGGGUGUGUACUGAUCCCCAAACUCAUUGAGUUGUAUACAUUAAAUAUGCACAGUUUUUUAUACAUCAAUCAUACUUCAAUAAAAUGGUUUAAAAAUAAAUUACUUCCAAAAAGAGUCAAAUGUCAUGCUAUACCAACUCAUACUCAUACUAUAUUCAAGGAAUUAAGAUAGGAACUUGAACAAUUGUGCUUUUAGGCGUGCCUGAGUGGCUCAGUUGGGUAAGUGCUUGACUUUGACUCAAGUCAUGAUCUCACGGUUGGUGAGUUUGAGCCCCCCAUCUGGCUCUGUGCUGACAGGUCUGAGUCUGGAUCCUGCUUUGGAUUCUGUGUCUCCUUCUCUCACUGCCUCUCCCCUGCUCACGCUCUGUGUUUCUCUCUCUCAAAAAUAAAUAAACAUUGAAAAAAACAUAAUUGUGCUUUUAAGUUUUCUUUUAUGAUAUAUUUAAAUAUAACACACACACAAAAUUUGUAUAUACAUAUACACACACUAUUCUAUCAUUAUCUAAUACAUACAUAUAUAUACAUGUAUGAAUGUUAGUAAAAAAUAUUGAACUGUUUAUUGAAUGAUUAAAAUAUUGAAUUAAGAAAUAAAAUAUUAGAAGUAAUUUAGAAACUUUCUUUCCAACAAGACCAACAUUUCCCUCUGUCCUUUCCAGAAUCAAACUUUCUCUUGAAUUUUAUGUGAAAAAUUUUACUGCUUUUUCCUUCCUAUAUAUAUAUAUAUAUAUCCCUAAACAAUAUAUCAUCUUGUAUUUAGCAUUAUGAUGUAGAGAAUCAUUCAUGGUGAAGCCUUUGCUUAUAAUAUUCUUGAUUUUUACCGCAUAGUAAUCUAUUGCAGUAUCACAACACAAUAUAUUUAUCCUUUGUGCUAUGGAUGUAUCCAAUACUUAAGUUACACAAAUAUAAUGCUAUGAAUAUUAUUGUGCAAGUCUCCUGGAUACAUAUAGAAGUGUUUUCAGGGGGUGUUACCUUGAACAGGCAUCUCUGGGUCAUAGAGUUUGUCCAUCUUCAAAUCUGCUAUAGAAGACUAAACACUUUAAAAAUGGCUCAUGAAUCAAUGUACCCUUGUACAGAAAAUGACAACAUUUUAAUUCAAAAUUUGAUAUUGCACAUGUAUUUUUCCCAAUAAUAUAGAAUAUUAUUAUUUUAAUGUACAUUUUUAAAUUUGGCAUUUUCCCCUAUAUUCACAAGACGCUUGUAUUUUCUCUUCUGUAAGAUGUUUGGCAGAUUUUGAUUAUGUUUUUACUUGGCUGUUUCUCCUUUCUCUUAAAUGAUUGUUAGGAGCUCUUUAUAUAUUUCAGGGUUUAAUUCUUCAGCAAACAAUUAUGUUGAAAUACUAUUUCCUAAUUUGUGCCCCUCCCUUUUUUUCCUCUCACACUUUUUCAUGUGUGUUAUUAGGAGCACACUUCCUAAAUUUAAUAAUAUAGCUCUAUUUUUUAUUUUAGUCAAUUUUCUUUAAGUCUUAUUAAAUAAUCAUUUUCCUUACAGAGGAACAGGAAUAUCUAAAGGGUAAUUUGUAUUAUCACCAAUAUUUAUUCUAAAGGAUACUUCAAAUUCUAUACAAUACAUAUUAUUUAUCAAAUCAUAUUCAUUAAUUUCUGUUAAUCUAUAUUAUUUCACUUGAGAGUUAAAUCACUUUGACUAUGAUAUGUGAUAAGAAUUCCAUUUCCUUUCAUUCUCAUAGAAAAGGCCAGUCUUUCCAGAGUCAUUUCUUAAAUCGUCCAUCCUCUCCCCACUGACCGUCAGUGUCCACUCUGCUUUAUAUCACGUUUCAGUAGGUGUGAGUGCAUUUCAGGCUUUAUGUUCUGCCCCCUCACAUGGACGCCUUCCUGCCCACGUUUGGACUCUGACACCCCAUGCCCGAGGGGAUGAUAUCCCAUGCCUCACUCAUGCCAGAGCAUGCAGAAGUCCUUCUCACUUGGCCUGGCUCUGAUAGGGCCCCACACAGCAUCUGUCUCUGUACCUGGGCAUCCUCUUUAUUGUUCUUUGGAUCUGACAAUGCAGACCUCUAUGCAUAACCUUCUCACACUGAUUGGGCUCCCACAUUUCACACCAGGCUCUCCUUCAGCCUGUUUGGGCUCUUCUACCUUGACCAGACCUUCUCCCAACUUGGAACCUUCCAUACCCAAUUAAGCCCUGACAUCCACACUAUGUUAGCCCCAUGUGUGAAUGCUCUCCUUAUUUUGCUUAUGGUCUGACCCCCAAGCUGGGACAUUUGUCUCCAUGACUGUGCUCAGCUAUCUCUUCAGAAUGAACACAACAGUAAAACUGCUGCUCAGCUAAAAGGGUGGGGUUCAAAGAACAGAGUAAAAACAGCAGGGCCCAAAAGUGUCCUUAUGUACUCCAGCAAAUAGUUACUGCAUUAAGGACUACUUCCCAACUUUUAAGCAGAGGAAAAACAAACAAACGAAAACUAUACAUAUAUUCCGGAAUCUAGUGGAUAAAUUACUGUUAAGUAAUUUUUGUGAAUAACUGAGUGAAUACUUUUUAAUGAAUGAUUAAAUGAAUAAAUGAUUAAGUAAAAUAUUAAAAAUAUUAGAAAACAUCAUAAAUUGUAGCUAUAACACUGAGUGAAAUUUAGUCUAUUUCCAUGAUGGUAAUUUAGUUUGUGUUUAAUUUAAUGAUCUCACUUAGGAUUUCUUACAGAUGGAUACAUUCUUCAGAUACAUAUUUACUUUUUUGGCAUCUCUACUCUUCUGUUAGGGAAUAGAUAAUCCUAAGAGAACAAGUCUUAAUAGAAACUAGGAGCCUAAGACAGGUAGGAAAGUGGUUUGGCUAAGUACAAAAGAAUAUUUAAAUAAUGUGGGGGGAAGAGUAGGAAAAAAUUGUUAAAGAUGGGCCUCAGUAAGAAAAAUGGCCUCUUUGAAUAGAGUUUUAGUUGGUAAGUAAUAAAAGCACAAAGUGAGAAUGGGUACAAGAUUUGGAAGGUGGAAAACCUGAGGAGGAACGCAGAUUUAAUCUUCUAUGAAGUAGGGAGUAUUCACUUGAGCAAGAAGAUGGUACACUAAGGAGUAACAUGAAGGGCACACCAAACCAGAGUAAACAUCACAUAGACAAACUUUGGGAGAGAGUCAGAUAACUAGGCACAAGAUAUUCGCAACAUAUUAUGGUGGCAGAAGAAUAGAACGAGGGUUGACAAAUAGUUCUAUGUAAAUUUAAGAUUCUAAUUGUUUUACAAAGUCCUCAGAUAUUCAAGAGUAUUACCAAAUUAAAAUGUAGUAAAAUUGGUUGUUUUUUUCUUCUUCUUCUUCUUUGGGAUCUUCUCAUUCUUCCAAAGUUACCCGCCAGGGGAUAAGUAAUGUAUGCUGAGAUGUCUGUUUAAUGUGAAUUUGAAGUUCAAAAUGAGAUUUCAGAAGCUCAAAAAUAAAAUUAGCAAGUAAAAUAAGUGCAUUUCUAAUGGAACUCUGGAGACCUAAUACUCCAUAAUGGAAUAUGAUGAUAAUUGGUUUUUUGAAUAAUUUUAUGCUUUUAUGUCUAUUUUGAGUGUUCUAUUGGAAUCAUACAAUUUUAUUUUCAUGUUAUCAGGCUACUUCUGCUUAAUAGUAUAACGAUAUGAAUACAUUCUAUUAUUUUAUUAGUCUGGUCAAAAAGUACAAUUAGACCACUUUCUCGAAUGUGCUGAACUGCUUUCAUUACUUUAUCUCUAUAUAUCUUCUAUCACUUAUUUUUCAAAAUAAUAUAAAUUCUCAGUCAUUAGUUCAUGCUUAAACAAGUUAGUGAAAAAGACUUAUGCAAAUUUGUAGAUUUUAUCUGUCACAUUUCAUCUAAUUCUCAGUGCUGUUAAGAUAAAAAUAACACUAAUAAUGUUAAAAAUAAAACCCAUUGCUUAUAUAUGAUCUCAAAACCCUUAUGUAAAAAUCUCUCCUAUCUACUGCACAUUUAUGAUGACAACAGCAUUUAAGUGACAACGGCAACAUUUCAUCUUCACAUUGGAUUAAGAAUGGACAACUCAGUGUAUGCAUGAACCUAAAAGAUUUGAGAACACAAAUGUGAUAAAACACAGAAGUCUAGUUGAUAAAUGACUUUUCUUGAUCACAGGAUAGAUAUUUGUUACUUAUUUGUAGCAGAUCUUCCAGGUAUCAUGUUGAUUUAACUUGUUACAAUAUCAUAAUAACUUGGCAGAAUUAUUAAAAUUUUCAGUUAUAUAUUAGAAAUAUUAAUAAUAUACACUGUGAUAGAGUGUAUUUUACAAUCUAAAUACACAAAACAUUAAACAAACAUAAAUAUGUGUAUGUAUGUAUAUAAAAAUAAUUGUCAAAAUUUUUUUCGAUAUUAAUCAGGUCAUGUUUGUCAAUUUCGAGUAGCUAUUUAUACUCUACCACAAUCCUGUAAGGUGGAUAUUUUAAUAUAUAAUUUGAUUCAGGUUACAUAUCUUAGAUAUUCUAGCGCUAUCAAUUGGAGGAGGUGAUAUUCAAAUGCAAAUCUGGAUGUUAUAAAUUUUGAUGUGAAAAUCAUCAUAAAUAAAUUUAUUAUUAUAUAUUUAUUAUAAUUAAAUACUAUUUUAUUGUGUAAACAACUUGUCUAAAACACUUUUGAUCAAUAUUAAUUUAUUCAUUUUAGCUAUAUCUCAAUUCCAAUAGAAAUCUUAACGUGUUUUAAUGAAGCUUCCUUAAUAAUCAUUUUUUUUAAUGUUUAUUUAUUUUUGAGACAGAGAGAGACAGAACAUGAACGGGGAAGGGUCAGAGAGAGAGGGAGACACAGAAUCCGAAGCAGGCUCCAGGCCCCCAGCUGUCAGUACAGAGCCCCACGCGGGGCUCGAACUCACGGACUGUGAGAUCAUGACCUGAGCCGAAGUCGGACGCUUAACCGACUGAGCCACCCAGGUGCCCCAACUUCCUUAAUAAUCAAACAAUAUUGAAAGUAUCCUCCCCUCAGCAUUCUUUAUUCCCUACACUCCUUUUUUUCCACCCUACCAUUUGUUAUUAUCUGAAGUAGGAUGCUGGUGUGAAUGGUAACACUUAAUGGCAACUGCUAGUAGUUUGACAGCUGCCAUUUAUGCAGGGCUUACCACAUGCCAGGCACUGUUCUUAGUGUUUUCUGUAUAAUUAAGUACUCAUUUAAUCUGCAAGACAAUCCAGUGAGGUAAAAAGUAAAAUUAUUCCCAACUUACAGAGGGGGAAAGUGGAAUGCAGAAAGGUGAAGCAAGAUCUUGCCCAGAUUCACACACUACUGAAAAAGCAUAGCCUGAAUUUAGCCCUUAACUAAGUCCUAGAAUUCUAUUCUAUACUCACUAUUCUAUACUGACUCUCAAGAUAUUAUUUUAAAUUAAACAGCAGUGAUGUGCUUCUACAAAUAUAUAUAAUGUUUUAAUUAUGUAUGUAUAUACUUAUAGGUAUAUAUAAUGUUUUAAUUAUAUAUAUGUAUAUGUAUAAAAAUCAUUUAAUUAUCAGUUACUUUUUGUUCAUUCACAGUUUAACAUAAAUGAAAUUUCUGAAGUCAUUUCUCCCUCUGAAAUAUUUAACAUGCAGUGGAAUGUAAAGAACAGAUAGCACAUUUCCCCCUUUCUCUUGAAAGUAUUAUUUGAAAUAAUGCAUCCUUAACAAAUGACUUGGCAACUUUUUAAUAAGUCUUUUUAUUUCCUACUGAAAAGGAAUUUAUUUCUUGAUAGAAAAUUUGAAAAUUGCAGUUGGAUCAUCUAUUGAAGUCAUUUUAUAGUUGAAUGUAAUUAGAAAAAUAUUUUUAAAGAGAACUUUUUGAAAGUAAUUUUAAUAUAUGUGUUGCAUUCUCAUUGUAAUAUCUAACAUAGAAGAUAUUUAAAGUAACAUAUAUUAUUAAGGAUGAAUUUAUAAAGAAUUGGAAAUAGACUUAGUUCAUUGUUUCACUUUACACAAUUUGAUUUUGAGCCAAGAGGCAUCUUGUCAGUUAAAUAUUUUUUGAGAUGUAGGAAGUUGACCUUAAAAAUAGAAAUUUAACUAAAAAAUGUAUAAUAGUGUAUUAUGUAUCUCAGUGAUAUAUAUAUAUAUAUAUAUGUGAAUUCAAUACUUUUUUGUAAGUUGUUAUACCAGGAGAUACAACUCCUUGUCUGUAUGAGCCAUGUUAUAAAUAAUGUUAAGAUUCUCAGAAAACACAAAAGAGUAUUGUUUUCAUGCAUUAAACAAUGUAUUCAUUCAUUCAACUAGCAUUUAUUGAGAAGUUACUCUGUUCCAAGGAAUUCCUCCAAAAGCUGUCAAAACAAUGGGGAACGAAGCAAAGAAGAUUUCUGUCCUGUGUUUAUCUUUUCAUUGUAGGAGACAGAGAAGAAAUCUAAUUAAUGUAUACAUAGAUUUAAAAGUCCAGAAAAUGAAAAUAGAUACAAUGACAGUUAAAAUGAUAACACUUUACUAAGAAGUGUUAUUUGGGCUGAGGCCUGACUGAUAAGAAAGAAUCAUACAUGCACCCUAUUUAUCUGGGAAACAGAACAUUAUAGAUAGAACAGAUAAUGAGGCACAGGACAGGGUGUGGAAAGGAAAGCCUUUAAUGUAAUCACAAGUGUUUUUACAAGAGGGAGGAAGAAUGAGAUUUGAUUAGAGAUGAUAAGGCAGUAUGACAAUACAAAGAUUGGAGUGAUGCGGGAGGAGGAGGAGGAAGAAAAGGAGGAGGUGGAGGAGGGGGAGGUGGCCACAAACCAAGGAAUACAGGCAGUCACAAGAAGCUAAAAAAUGUAAGGAAAUGGAUUUUUCUCUCACUGCCUCUGCAAGAAAAUGACCCUGCCAAUAACUUGCUUUUGUCCUGGUGAAACUGAUUUCAGAUUUCUGACCUUUAGAACUCUAAUACUUUAAAGUUGUGUUGUUCUAAUUGAAAGAAAGAAAGAAAGAAAGAAAGAAAGAAAGAAAGAAAGAAAGAAAGAAAGAAAGAAAGAAAGAAAGGGAAAAAAUGCUGCGGCUAACUUAAUGGGGUGUUGGAGAGUGCAAGUUCAAAUCAAAAGAUUUGUUUCUUGCAUACUAUGAGUACAAGUUUGAAUUGUAUUCUAAUUACAAUGACAAACUUUGGAGAAUUUUAAAGUAGGGAAGGGAUAUAAUGAGAUUUAUAUUAAAAGGCGAGAGAGUGAGAAACACAUCAACCAAGAUGCAGUGAGACAUAUUAUUCAAGUGCAAUUCUAUAUUGCAUUCAAACAAGCCAAUGAAAUAAGCCAACUAAAUAGUGUAAGCCAAUUGGAAUAGUGUAAGCCAAUUGGGUAUUUGAUGGCUUAAUUAAAAGGAGGAACAUUAUUUUUUUUUUAACAUGCUAGAGGUUUUGCAGUUUUAUUUUCAAUGAGUUGUUAUUUUUAGUGAUGUAUGUUGAAAUAAAAUGGUGUAGUGACUGUUACUUUCAUACUGUGGGAAGAAGCUAAGUGAAAACUAAAUUUAAUAAAAUGUUCAUAAAUUUGUAUGUUUGGAAGUUGGUUUAUGAGUAUGUGAUGAUUCAGCUCAUCUAGGAAGGGUCAUCUCUCUCUCGAGUAUUAGUUACUCUAGUACUUUGCUACCACAGUUCUCCCAGGUCCUCAAAAGUAUGAGGUACACAACUUACCUCUUUUUAUUUUGGUACAAGGAGGAUUGAUGGCAUAGUUUUACCUAUUCUAUCCUAUGUGGAUAAGGGCAAAUCCUAUGCAAAACUUUUCAUUCUUCUUUUUUCUAAUGUAUAAUUUCUAGGGAUGUCAGAGACUCUGGAUGACCUCACCUACAUAGGGAUAUAUUUUCAGGAGGUUUAUAAUUCCAGGAGAUUUAGAAGUACUGUGCCAUCUAUUUGCUGCUGGAACACUGAGUGAUAUGGCAUUUUUAGUGGAGAGAUCAUAUGAAGCUAGCCCUCAAAAGAAGAAUCCAAGACUGAGUUUUUUCAUAGAUUUAAGGAGUACAGAUUUAUAAAUCCAAGAUUUCAUUGAUCAACAAACACCCCCUCUUGUCUGAAGGUAGCUAGAAAUGAUCACUACUCAUUGCCCUAACAAUCAAAUACCAUAUACAUUUGUUCUCCUAAUGCCUUUCAUUGCCUCUUUGCUACUUCCUAUGCCAAAGUAGUGAUAAUCUGACCUACUACGAUACUACUAAAUGCAAUGGAUCACCCAUUUCUCAUUUUUCUCUGUCAAGGAAGUUAUCCCAGGGAUCUUUAAUAUGCAAGCAGUCCAAUGUCAGAUUCCUACUUUGUGGGUCUAUUUUCCAUAAACUUUCCCAGUACCUAUUAAUACAUCAGCCAAUGAUUAAUUAGAGAACAGAUAGAACUCUCAAAUUAGGGUAAUUCCAGUAGAAUUUAAAGGAGCACAGAUCUUCAGUAGAGGGCAAUGCCACAAGAAGGAAACCAUAGGAAUAAAUAUUUCAAAUUUACAUUUAUCCCUUUCAUCUGUUUUAUGCUGGGGCUCCUCUUUGGAAACAAAAAGGGCCAGAGCAUUCAUUGAUUUAGGACAUAGUUGUCAGCCUUUUGGCUAUCGGAUUCAUAAACCAAUCACUAGUGAUUAUAAUAUAAUGUAUUCAUUUUAAAGAAGCCUGGUCAACUUGAGGUACAUGAAUCAUUUGCAGGCUUAAAUAAUGAGAAGUAGAGAACAAGAUCUUUGAUUGUAAUAAUUUCACUGAGAAAUUAUCUAUCCAUCCAUCCAUCCAUCUCCCCUUGAAAAUAUCAAUUCCUUUUUGCAUCCCAAUAUACUAACUAUACAGAUUUUGUUUUAUUAAUUUUCUCCCCCAGCUUUUUAACAAUAAUCAGAUGAACAUUAGGAUAAUAUGAAAGAGUAAACAGAUUCUUUUUUUCAUCUGUCCCCUAUGCCAAAUAUGGAAGGAAGCUUCAUGUGGCUAAAACCAAACAACCAAAUCCAAAUACAAGCAACAACCCAAACACUCAAUAUAUAAAACAAAAAUCUAUGUAGCUUGUCAUUUAUUAUUUGAUGCAUGUCUUCUGCUAGUAGUGAAAUAAGCCUUCACAUGGGUAUAAUUCAGGGGGGGCGGGGAAUUACACUUCUUAACCAUUCUUUUCUUCCACACAUAGAUGUUGGUCCUUGAAAUGGAUUUAGUUCAAGAGUAUUAAAGUUAAUCAUAUUGGAACAUAACAUUAAUGUAUCAAAUUCUAUUUAAACAUAAUUUUAAGGAAAAUUUUUAAAGAAAUCUAACCACUUAAUUUGAUGAAGAUGUAUAAUUUGAUUUGAAAUCAAAUUUGUAAAAGUUGUUUUAGUCUUUAUGAAUUUAAAGUAGUAUUUAAGAAAUCGGUGUAUGAAUACUUCAUCUCAUGAAUUGUAAUAAAUUUCAAUAGGGUUUAAAUUCACAUUUACAGAAUAUGUGAAUUAACUGAAUGAUUUUGGAUACAUGAAAACAUCAAUUAAAUGCUUUUAAUGACUACAUAAUUUCUAACAAUGUAAGUUAUUUGUAUUAUAGAUGUUUUAGUAAUAUACAAAUAAAGCAAUUGUUCAGCACCAUUCUUUUGUGACUACAUCCCAACCUCUUGUCUUAUAUGGAUGAGGUAAGCUACCUGAGCAUCUCAGUUUCAUUCAAAAUUAUUUCUCCUCUUCUCCACUCUUGAUGACAAGUUGUGUAGAAUCAAUCAUCUGCAUAAUUCACAUUACUCCUCUUUUGCACCACCAAUUCCACUAAGCUUUCUUCAGUCCCUCCUAUAUAGUGAUCAAUUCCUACCUUGUUCCAUUGCAUCCAGUUUUUAUCCACAAAUGUAUCACUUACUUUGUCACAAGAUAUAGUUCCCCAAUUCACAAUUCCGAUGAUUUUCUUCCCUUACAAAAGACUGAAAUUUUCCCUCAUGCCAAUAGAACAAUAUUAUUUACCAUGGAUCUUCAGGUGCUCCAAAACCUAGCUGCAAAAACAUAUUAUUUAACUUCUUCUUAUGUGCAAUUUACCUCCAACCUUACUGGAAUGUAAUGUCAGCCACUAUUUCUAAUUCCUCUGCCUUUGAAUCUCCAAGCUUUACACUAAUUAGAGGCAACAGAAUUUCCCUAUCAGAAACAUCAGAAUUUCCCUAUCAGAAAUCCCUAUCAGAAUUUCCCUAUCAGGUCUAAGAUCUGGAAGUAAAGGGAAUAGCAUAGAUUUAAAGUGGAGUUUUCAGGGAUGUCUGGGUGACUCAGUUGGUUGAGCUUCAAGUCAGGUCAAGAUCUCAUAGUUCGUGAGUUUGAGCCCCCACAUUGGGUUCGACGCUGCCGCAGAGUCUGCUUCCGAUCAUCUGUUCCCCCUCUUUCUGCCCCUCCCCCUCUCAAAAAUAAACAAAUAUUUAAAAAAUAAAUAAAUAAAGUGGAGUUUUCAGCAUUGGCACAUGGCUCUUCAGAUAAGCAAAAUAACAAUGUUUUAGAACAUACUUCUGUUCACAAUGUAUGUAAGAAGGAGAAAAUAUCAGUGCUGUAUAUCAAAAAAAAUAUGGUAGGGGCGCCUGGGUGGCGCAGUCGGUUAAGCGUCCGACUUCAGCCAGGUCACGAUCUCGCGGUCCGUGAGUUCGAGCCCCGCGUCGGGCUCUGGGCUGAUGGCUCGGAGCCUGGAGCCUGUUUCCGAUUCUGUGUCUCCCUCUCUCUCUGCCCCUCCCCCGUUCAUGCUCUGUCUCUCUCUGUCCCAAAAAUAAAUAAAUGUUGAAAAAAAAAAUUAAAAAAAAAUAUGGUAGGUGUUAGGAGGGGGGAUGCUAAUGCCCUCCAAAUUACCAGUUGUGCUUACAUGAGUACUUCCAAUGCAGGGAUGAUCCGUCUCCCUGGAAGGUUUUUUUUCUGCUCAGGCUCCUCAGUCCAUCCUAAUUGAAACAGGAAGUCUCAACUCAGUGCUAUCACCUAAUGUGCCUUAUUUCAACUUAGGCUUUAAGAAGAAAACUUAUUUAUUUAAUAUAUCAUUUGAAUAUAUUUUAGGUAUGAGAUCUAAAUGCAACCAGUGCAAAAUUUAGAUAGGGUAUAAAUGAGACUAUUGUGUUGAUGGACCCUUUCACAUGAAGUAAGUUAGAACUUAUUUCCAUAAGAAAUAAAACAAUUUCUAUUCAGAUAAAAAAUUUUUGCAGAUGGAAGUUAUAACAGUAUCUAAUAUUUCCAAAAAUGAACACUGUAAGCCAAUUCUAGAAAUAAUUCUACCACAGUCUCCAUCUGUUACAAUGCUCUGUUAAAUUGUAGGAUCCAUACUUCUGUAUCAUAAAUAAGCUAUGGUAAGUACAUUUUUCCUAUGUAAUUUUACUGUGGUCCACAAACUUAAGCUAACAAUUUUCAUAUAAUCCUAAUGAUGCUAUAACUUAAAUAAAUAACCAUGAUUUUAAAUAACAAAUAAAUUAAUUCAUUAAAAUGAUAAUAAUGUAUUUUCCAUCACAUUAUAUUCUUUAAAGGAAAUAUUAUACCCCCACAAAAGAGAUAAAUAAAGAUAGUGGAACAUAACAAAAUAAAUAAUUAAGAGUUUAAUCCAGGAGUUCUUAGGCAUUAUCCUAGUUUCACAAUUGACUAUAUUACACUUCAUGGAGAAAAAAAUCUUCUUUAGGUUAAAUAAUAAUAAUUCUGUGUAACAAACCACCCCAAACAUCAGUGGUUUCUAUUGCAAACAUUUCCCCCCCUCCUUGUUCACUGUGUACAGCGGUUUCCUUGGAGAAGCUCUGCUCCAGACUGUGAUCUAGUUGGUUUGGCUGGGCUGCUCAGGGUUUGGUGCCAGUUAACCUGACUUUGCAUAGGAGUCAAGUCCUUUUCAAGUGUGCUUAGGCGGAAGGGGUCAAAGCCACAUGGAACAUGCAAGUUUUAUGGUAGAUCAGAGGAGCAAAAGAUAUCAGCCCAAACUGCAAACUUCAUUUAUAAUUUCUGCUCAUAUCACUUCUAUAUGUACAUGAAUGUUCAAAUCAAAUUACCUGGCUAAAUGGAAAAUAAUACUCUCGGGAAAACGGAUUCUUCUGGAAGAGGGAGGGGAAUGGACAAUUGUAGAAAGGAAAUUCACUCUGCUACAGUCUAACCUCUUGUUCAUAACAUCUGAUUUCCUUGUGUAUGCAAAAUUUAUAGGCAUCUGCCCAUGACACACUAAAAGGCUCAUCUAUUUACAUCAGUGGGCUGGACUUCCAGAAUCUGUGGUCAUCAACAAUGUGAAUUUAGCUUUUUCUUUUUUCUUUUCUUUUCUUUUCUUUUCUUUUCUUUUCUUUUCUUUUCUUUUUUUCUUUUUUCUUUUCUCUUCUCUUCUUUUGUACAGACACCUAUGAACUAAAAAUACACUAAACAAUAGAGACAAGAAGAGGGGUGGAAUAAAUGGAAGAUUGUAACAGGUGAAAAUAGAAAGAGCUGAGCCUCACAGAACUCAGUGGUCUCUAGCAACUAUGAAACGUUGCUGGGUGGAUGUUUCCAGUUCCUUCUACCCUGUGUUUAGAGACUGUACUAGCUUAGGUUUCUUUUUUCAUGUUUAAAAGCAGUUGGCUAGUUCAAUAAUAUUUAGUCUUUGGCUCCACUUUCUAGGAGCCACUUCCUUUUCCAAGAUCUUCUUUAGCCAUGACUGAGGAGGAAAUUGGGGAACUGAGUAACUAAUGAAGUGGGGAUAAUGAAUUGAUAUGAAUGUUGAAGUACUGGCUUUCUUUUCAUGCAUUGUGAGUCCAGUUAAAUGAUUGAGUGAUAAUAAUCUUGUCCUUUUUUGUACUCUUGCAUCUCAUUCCAAGGGAAGUAUAUUCUCCUGAUGUGUUUUUUUUUGAUAUUUGGGUAAGUGAUUUGAUGAUUUCCUAACUAGAUAUUGGCCCAAAUAAUGCAUGUUAUUUAAUUUAAGUGGUUGGUUGAUACAACAAAAAUAUUUGAAUAUAAUUUUUGUAAAAUUAUUUACUGGAUUUUCAUAAAGGAAUUUUGAAUAUAUAUGAAACAUUUCAUGGUUUUCUUAUUGUAAAAUAACUUUUGUAAAUACACCUUUUAAUAGCAAUACAACUUUGUAACAUUGUUGUUAUGUUUUAUAAGUUUAAUAUGCAGUCAUAUAAAAUGCAUACAUGUGAUGUUGCAUAGUAAAUGACAUCGUGUAAUAUUAUUUUUCUAAAUAUCUCAUUAAAUUGGAAGGACCAUUAUACAUUGCUAAUGUUUCCUUUCUUAUCCAAUUCAAGAAAAUGUUGAACAUUUGCCAAAUAUAUGCUUGCAAUUAUUAUCAAGGACUCCUGCACCACAGUCAAAUGUCCACAGUAGAAGCUUAAAAUAAUUUCACAAAAAUUUGUUAAUAUGAUUAAUGUCAUGUGAUUAAUAUGCAAAUAGAAUAAAAUUUAUGAUUACAAAAACUGACAUAACGCUCUUGUUUUUAUAAUAUGUACUUUUAUUUAUUGCUAUUAACUAUAGUAAAAUUUUAAAUUUUAGUUUGUUUUCUACUAUUUCAUAUGUUCUCAGUUUAUUAUCUAUUGGAAUACAGACAACUUACUUCUAUUAACCAGCCAUAAGUCAAUAAAGAGCUAUUAACCAAAUGUAGGAGUUAAAAUAAUCAAUACAUUUAACUCAAACAAAUGUUUAGCCAUUAUUUAUCAGUUAUUAAAGAUUGAUUUAAAUUUGCAUAGAAGCAUUAUUUAUCAAUAUUUGUAAAAUAGGUUAGCCACCACACCAGGUUUUUUGUGUUGUAUAUAUCAAAUUGUUUUUUUAAAAUGUUUUUAAUGUUUAUUUCUGAGACAGAGAGACACAGAGCAUGAGUGGGGGAGGGACAGAGAGAGAGGGAGACACAGAAUCAGAAGCAGGCUCCAGGCUCUGAGCUGUCAGCACAGAGCCUGAUGCGGGGCUCAAACUCACAAACCGUGAGAUCAUGACCUGAGCUGAAGUCGGUCGCUCAAGCGACUGAGCCACUCAGGCGGCCCGCAUAUAUUAAAUUGUAAUCACACACACACACACACACAUGAUAGUAAUUUGUUGAACAUCUCAAAGUAUUGUCAUUUUCUACAUAAAAGCCAAGUGAUGCUUUGGUAUGAAAUAGCUUAUAAAAUCUAUUGCCUACAAAAUGUAUAAAGGGACUAAGCAGGUGAAAAUGUUUUGUUACCAAAAGAUUUGUUACCAGGUAACAAGGUUAAUCAACAAAAUAAAUGAAGUAUUUAUACAUCAUUUAUUUUUCUACAUGGUAAUAACAGCAGAUAAGUAAUAGCUGAUGCAUACUUCAAUUGCACUGAUUCAGGAAAUAUUUUAAAAUAUUUUUUAUGUAUCAGAAUGGAUAUCUAUACUAGUAUCUAUCUAUCAAUCUAUCAAUUAAGAUUACAUUUUGCUUCAUAUAACAGAGAAACCUGACCAAAAGAAAAAGAAUGGCUUAAAUAAGCCUAUAGGUCAGAGGUUUAUUUAUUUCAUGCACCAAGAUGUUUUGAGUCUGCAGCUCAGGUUUGGUGGAAAGAACAUAAAGGUCAUUCAGGACUUAGACUCCUCUCUCUCCUUUAGUUUGUGGCUUUUAUCCUCAUUGUAGCAGUAAGAGUAAUGAUAGAUGAUGUGUAACAAGUCUCUCUCUAUAUUAGCGUCUUUAAUAUGGUAAAAUUUCAUUUCCUACUCUUCUAAAGUCUCAUGCCCUACCUUAAAAUUUAACAAAACAUGAUUAAAUUAUUAGUAUAACAUUUGACUUUUUAAAGAAAAAGUAUCAUGCCUUACUUAUCUUUAUAGAUCACCAUUUAUCACGGUGCUUAAGAAAUUUUAUAUGCGCAAAAAUGAGUGUUGGACUACUCUACUAUGGUAACAGUAACUGUUGUGUUUCUUACGCUUCUUCUUAUGCACCAUUGCCUACACAUAGCAGAAAAGCAUGAGGGCCAGAGCACUGAACGCAAUCAUUUUGUGAUCUAUUAAUACUUCUGAAUUCUUUAGAAACCUAUUCCCUGUAACUUGUAAUGAAAAUGGGCUUAAAGUGACACAAAAAGGCAGAGGGACAGAAAAGGGAAUUUUUUUCCUGUUUUGACAAAUUUCAAAUAUACCUUUUAGGUGCUAUGUUUUCCUCACAAGAUUCAAGCUGGGGGAGAAAAAAGUAAAAGAACAAUUUGAAAAAAGAACUUGUUACAAUAAGGAAAAAAAUACUAAUUGAAUGUUCUUUAACAGAUUAAUUUAAUAAUAUACAUUUAUUUCUUAUGUGCUCGCAUGAGUCUGUGUGUGUGUGUGUGUGUGUGUGUGUAUGUGUGUGUAUAAGAGAGAGAUAUUAUACAGUUCCCUGGUAUGAUUGGUAGUGAACAACGUCUGGGAACACUAAUAAAAACACCUGGUUUUACCUUUGUAUUUAAAGUAGAAAAUUCUUGGAAUUGCAGAAAUUCAUUGCUUUUCUGCUAAAUCAUUAGGUAUCAAAUGUGGUGGACAUAAAUGCAUAAAUAGUGGAUUCUAUUGUUCUAGGACGUUCAAACUAUGUAACUGAUUUUUUUUUUCUUUCAUUUCAGGCAUAUUGACAUAGGCAUCGAAAAAACCACAAACUAAUUCUUUUCCAGUGUCCUCAACUACCUCCAUCUUUACUUCAUGAAAUGAUUAAAUAUUGUAAAUAAAUACCUUUCUUCUCUAUCAAAAUUAAAAUUCUAGAGGAUUUCCUCUAAGCCAUUAAUGUGAAUAACACUAAUAGAGUUAUUUGUACAUCAUUUGUGUGUUAUUAGAAAUAAUGUCAGGUUAUGUAUCUCAAAUAUUUAUUUAGCUAAAAUUUUCUUAGCCUUUAUUCAUUUUUGAGAGACAGAGAGAGGGCAUGAGCCGGGGAGGGGCAGCAAGAGAGGAGACACAGAAUCCGAAGCAGGCUCCAGGCUCCCAGCUUUAAGCACAGAGCCCGUCGCCGGGUUUGAACCCAAGAACUAUGAGAUCAUGACCUGAACCAAAGUCAGACCCUUAACCGGCUGAGCCAUCCAGAAGCCCCUUGAAUGUUUAUUUAUAUGAAGACAUGAUCUUUUGAUUUUCACUUUGCUCACUAGUGUAUAGUAUACAUUUGAAUAUGAAGGUGAAAAAGAAUACAUUUAAUAUAUUUUUUAAUUAUGUUUUUUUACUACUAAACCUACACGUUGAAUUCUUUAUUUAAUAUUGGAAAGAAAUUGUGUGUGUGUACUCUUUUUAGUAUUUAAAUAGAAAUCUAAGGCAUACCAUCUUGAAAAUGUUUAUUUUUGGAGGAAUCCUUUGAUAAGACUAAUUUACCCUUAACACAUAUGGAAAUAAUUGCAAACUUUGAAUAUUUGCAUAUUUUUGAUGAUAUUAAAUUAUAACUAUAUAUAUUACUCUAUGUAGUUCUCCCAAGCAGAUAUGACUCAUUAUUCUUUCCUCCUGUUUUUAAUACCAAACAAUAAACAGAAAAUAUUUCAAGACUUUCAAAACCAGACAUAUUUAAUAAUUUGGACUGGAAACAAAACCAUAUCACAAAAUCUACUGCAAAAAAAGAAUCAUCCUAGAGUAAAUACAUUUUAAAAGAAAUGACAAAUUUAAAACUUAUUUAACCUAGAUUGAUAAUUAAUGAAAUCCAGACAUUGUCACCAUUAUGAUGCUAUUGGCCCUAUUAUAUAUAUUUUUAAGUUUUAUUUAUUUAUUUUGAGAGAGAGAGUGUACACAUGUGGAAGGGAGGAGGGGCAGAGAGAGAGGGAGAGAGAAUUGUAAGCAGACUCUACAUUGUCAGCUCGUUAUUGGCUCUAUUUUAAAAUAAAUGAGUUAGUCACACAACUUUUAAUCCAGCAUAUAGAUUUUAUGUGAGGUGAACUAUUAUAAAAUAAGUAAAAAUUAUACUUAUAUAUGAAUAUAUAUACAUGACAUGUUUAAUUAAUAUACAUUAAUAUUAAUAAACAUAUGAAUGAAUAACUCAUAAGAUUUGCUGGAAUUGAAUUGAAAAGAUUGAGCAUCUUCUAAACCAUCUUUAUUUAAACUGCAGGAAUUCUG
rnacentral:lncRNA from 1 species